rnacentral:lncRNA from 1 species
CCAAACCCAGACUUCUUGAGCCUGUUUACAUGGUGGAAAUCCAAGCUCCCGAGCAAGCUCUUGGUGGUAUCUACAGUGUUCUUAAUCAGAAGCGUGGACAUGUAUUUGAAGAAAUGCAGAGGCCUGGUACUCCACUUUACAACAUCAAAGCAUACCUCCCUGUCAUUGAGUCCUUUGGAUUCUCCAGCCAGUUGAGAGCUGCAACAUCAGGGCAGGCGUUCCCUCAAUGUGUGUUCGAUCACUGGGAUAUGAUGUCAUCAGAUCCAUUGGAGGCUGGAUCACAGGCUGCAACCCUUGUGACCGAUAUUCGCAAGAGGAAGGGCUUGAAGGAGCAGAUGACACCUCUCUCUGAGUUUGAAGAUAAGCUUUAAAUGGAUGAUGAUUUUUUUAUUUAUUAUGAUUUUAGAUGAGUUGUUAUUAAAGCUGUCACCUUAGUUUUUUAGGAUUGGUACUUUGAGUUGUUUUUGGCUUUAUCAGUGAGUUGUGGUGUACUUCGGAUUUGCAUUCCUGCUGGUCAAAUUUAUUACUCAGAUUUUGUUUUAAUACUGUCUUUUCAAUGACGUUCUGUUGCUUUGCUUUUAUAAGAUGGUGGUGUGGAAAAUGAUCAAAUCUAAUUGGGUUUGAUGGAUAAUUAUAACACUACUAUUGCCAAAUAGCAUCCUUGUUGAAAAUGGAUCAUGCUAUUAUUUGAUCUAUCUGAGAUAGGUAUUUGGGAAUUGAAGCCACUGUUCCGAAACCGAAUUUUACCCUGUUAAGGCACACGAUUCGUUUCUACACACUUUGCCUUUUCUAUUUAGUAUCAAAACUUAACUAUUGAAAAGAAUGUCAUCUACGGAUAUAGGAUAUUCAAUAAUAACACUGCUAUUAGUUAGCACCUUUAAAAUUAAGUAAGAGCUAUCUUUAAAUAAAAGAUACUAGAUUUUGAUGCAGCACUCUCUAUUAACCUAUCUGAUAUGCAUAAACAAACACGACUCAUCUGAAUGCACAAGUAAAUACCUAAAUAAAAUCAUGAAUUUUACUAGUGGCAGUCCUUUAAGACCUGGUUACAUCAUCCUGAAAUGACAAAUACUGUUAAAUUUCCAAAAUAAAAUAACCUGAAACUCUUUCUCUCAUCACAUUCACUUAUUUAUAUAUACAAUAGAGUAUUAACGAGAUAUUGUGACUCAAUCUUUGAAUGUAUUUGGUCAACAUAUUCAAUGAUGUUUUUGUAAGAGAUGUGAGGUAAAUAUUUAGAGAGAAAUAAAAAAUGGUUUUUGAUUAUUUAAUUUUUAUUAAAAUUUGGGUGUAACUGGAUAUUUUGUGAAUGCGACUAGAAAAAAUCUAAAAUCAUAAAAAUGUUCACUACAAAAAUCUAAAAUCAAAAGCGAUAAGAAAUGCCUGCAGUUGUUCAUAAUCACAAUUUGAAGUGUGAUAAUGCAGAAGUUCCAAUGCCCUUUGCAUAAUAUUGUGUUGAGUAGUCUUUUAAAGAAACAUCCCUGUACAGUGGUGGGUUUUCUUCAGAUAAUAGUUCCUUGAUUGGACCAUAAACUAUUGAUUCAUCAUCUGUUCUAAACAAUGAUGCUACUGAAAUUCUUGGACCUAUAUGCUUUGCUAAAACUCUGUGUUGAACGCUAAUGAACUUGUCAUUAGUUACAAGCUGCACAAAAUACAAUUAAAUUGGCAAUCAUAAUCCAAUUCUUAUUUCACAUGUUAUAACCCUUGCUACAUGUCUAUAAUGUUCACAAAGAAGUAAAAUAAUAAGAACAAAUCUAAUGACCCUCCGACUUCUCGUUCUCUCAAGAUUUUUCAGUGUAAACAUGAAAAUUUUGUUUUGUUCAUGAAAAAUAGAACAAUAUGACUAAUGAUAAACAAAAUUAUAGAUGUUCUUGAAAUCAUGCGGACACUGAUUUUGUAGAAGUGUUGAAUUGUAGAUGUUGCCAAAAUCACAAUGACACACAAUGAUUAUACGAAACUCAAUCAAAAUCAAUUUCAAGUUUCAACUACGCAGAUCCAAACGGUUAUUUACCUGCAAAAGAUCACCAAUGUUUACGACAAGAGCUCCAUUGAUAGGAGUUACAUCAAUCCAUUGAUCGUCAUGAAGAACUUGUAAGCCGCCAAUAUGAUCUUGCAAAAGUAUAGUUAUGAAGUCAUUGUCUGUGUGAUUGGUAUUUCCCAUAGUUAAUUCAGGUUCAGGACAUGGAGGGUAAUAGUGACAUAGAACAAUCAACCCUUCAGCACACCCCAUUUCUUUAAGGUGAAAUCUGUUUAGCCCUAGAGCUUCUGACAAUAACUCAAGCAAUGUAGAAGCAAACACCAUUACUUUUUCUGAGUAUUCAAUCACAAUAUCUCUGCAUAUACAUUAUCAAUGCAUCAAGGUUAGUAGGUUGGCUACAUCAACCAAACAAUAAUUGUGUUACAAAACAAGAAUUUUUCAAGUAUAUUAAAAUUUGUCACUUUAGUCCCUAACAUCGUAAUAACAUAGAUUAAAGUGACUGAUUUCAUAGAUUAUCGAGACUACCUAUAAAUUUUAUAUAUUUUAGAGAUUAAAUUAGAGAGAGCUUGAUGGUUGAUUCUUCAGAAUACGCCUAAAAGGUUUCUUCUAUAAUAAAUUAAAAAGUUAAAAUUUUCUUAACCUUAAGGAUUUUACAACAUUUAAUCGUUAUUUAACUUUAAUAAUAACGUUAAAAGCAGUAUUAAGAAGGAAAAAAACCUGCAAACUUCGGGAAAUUCUUCUGAUUUUGGUGGAUUUGGUGCCAUGGAAAAACCAAGUGAGUCCCUCCAAUUAGCAGCAGGAUCAUGGUAAAGACUAUAAUUAGAAACGUAAACAACUUUCUUGUUAGGAUCACGUGUGUAAUACUCUUUCCUUACCAUAACAUCUUGUUGAUGAAAUCUACAAGUUCCUUUGAUCAUCUCAUCCAAAACAUGAGCUGAAAUUCCAUGAUUUAUUACUUGAAAGAAUCCCCACUUCUCACAUGCAUUUUCAACUUUUCUCACAGCUUCAUCUCUCAAAACAAGAUCAUCAUGGAUUCCUGUUAGGUCAAUUGUAGGGAUACUAACAUUUGAAUUUGAAUCAUUGACUGAAAAAUCAUUCAUACUAGAUUGUUCACAAUAGAACAUUUGUGACACCAUUUUCUACAAGUCCUUGCACACCAGCUUUUGAAUCAUCAAAUUCUUUCAAUUCACUUUUCCUGUCAUAAUUUGAAACAGAUCCUUCUUCCAACUCAUGUGUGCAUGUGACAACCAUAGAUGAUCAUGCAGUAAAUAUUGAAUUGAAAAUAGAAACUUACAGGCUUUGAUUUCAAUUUUUUUUUUCUUUGUACAAUAGCUGAAUAGACUAAGACAUGUUUAACAUCUUGAUGCUCAACAUUUUUUUUUAAAGAAUCUUGAUGCUCAACAUAUAUUAUAAAUAAAUUAUGGUGACAACUUGGAUUUAAUUAAGCAACCAAUUGAGAACCAUUUCUUGUAAUAGACGCCAAUCAAUAAUAGACUAUAAAAAUGAAGUAUUAAAUUAAUUUGUCUUGAUGUUGAGGAUUACUGUACUUCUUUAAUUUAACUAUUAGUUUAGCGGUCAACACAUAUUCAAAUAAACACAUACAAGAGUGGGAAAUGUGGCGACCCGAAUUCAAACCUGGGAUUCCACAUAAAAUGUCUUAAUAGUUCAACCACUAGGUUGUAACAAUGUGACCAACUUAGAACUACAUCUUAUUCACGUGAUGUUUAAGAGUUGAGGAUUACACCAGCUGUAUAGAUGGGUGAAAAUUUAAAAUCCAAACCUUGGUAAGUACGCAAAUCAAAAGCAACAAAAUUGUAUUUUUCAUCAAUCCUCGUAAUGUUAUUUGACCAUAAUUUAACCAAAGAAAAGUUGAAUAAGCUAGCAUUGAAAAAAUUUGUAAAAAUUCCGGGCAAAAAACUACUAUAUAUAUAUAUAUUUUUUUUUGGUCAAGUAGCCUACUGGCUAGAGCUCACACAAUUAAAUUGUGGAGAAGUGGAGUGUCCUGGGUUCGAACCCCGACCCCUGCAUAUAAAAUGCAAUAUCCCUACAAACUAAGCUAAGUCCACGAGGAUAUAAUUUUAUAUUUUAGUCCCUAUAAAAAUAAUGAAAUUGGUUCAUAUUGAAAUUGGUCCACGCGUCAUUCAUUUUUGUUCUUAAAAUCAAAUAUUUUACAUAAUACAAGGACCAAUUUCAAUUUGAAAUGAAUUUGGAGGAAUUUAAACAAAACAAUAAGGACCAAAAACAUAAAAUGGUAUAUUUGCAAGGGUUAAAAGCAAAAAAUAUUUUCAUAGGGACAAAAACCGGAUAUUUGCAGAAUCAUUUACAUAUUUAAACCAAUAAAAAUUAUAUUCUAUUUUUCAUAAUUCGUACAUGAUUGGUAUACAAAAUAUUGAAGACAUCUAUGUCAAAGGGGUGAAGAACGAUAAAGAUGCUAGAAGUAGAAAAUAUUAUCGAAAUUUUAAGAAACGAGUUAUAGAAAAUUUUAUAGAAUGAGAUUAGAUUGGUAUAUAUGUUUUAUUUUUUAUUUUUUAAGGAAGAUUGAUAUAUAUAUAUAUAUAUAUAUAUAUAUAUAGAGUUACAUGAGUAAUAAUUUUUGUACACGUGUGUUAACAAAAUUGUACUUUCUGCAUUCCAAAUUAUUAUAGAAAAUUAGAAAGCAAUAACAGCCCACAUAUUAUUCAUCUAUCAAUACCUCUACAUUCUAAAAAGAAGAUAACUAACCAACAAAUUAGAAAACAGUUACAACAAAGUUCAAACAUACUCAACGCCACUUUAAAUAAUCGCAUUGCAUGAACAACCUUCCAAUCAUUUUGCAUAAGAAUUUCAAAAAUGAAAUAUUUUCUUUUUCAAUGGAGUUGUGUUUCUCAUACACCAGAACCACUACCACCAUACUUCACAAAGAGAAUAGUAGCUCGGCGAAAUCCAACACGGCCUCAACAAGUUCCUGCAUCUAACCCUUUAUUGGAGCAGCAUCAAGAGAGAAGUUCUCAUGAAGAACUUUGUAUUCGCCAUGCUCGUUGCGAACACAUAUCUUCUAGUUGGUGCUUUUUCUUUCGAAGUUUUUUCUAAUUCCUUGCACGUAUAUAAUAAUUAAUUAAAUUAAUAAAUUGAAAUAUAAUAAUUGAGUAAUUUUGACCAAGAUACUCUCACUAAAUUUAUUUAUGUUUAAAAAGGAAAACUAUAAAUUUGUGAGUAAAAAUCUAUUCUAAAAUUUAAAAGUAAAAUUUAUAGUUCCAACUAAAAUCAAUUUUAUUUUGAGAACAACUAAGCAUGCAAUAAUCAAUUUUUCACAAUCUCUAAAAGUGGAAUCAAAAAUACACUUUUCUUAUUUUUUGUGGAAUAGGACAAAGUUUUUUGGUACAACUCAUUGGAUUUCUAUCGGUUAGAAAAAUUAGUAUUUUUAUUUUUUUAUUUUUAUAGAAGUCAUAUUUUGUUUUAUAUUUAUUGAUUUGCGCUUGAAACUUCCACAUUUUCGCUUUUUUGUUAGGGCAUCAUCAAGUCCUUGACCAAUGUUCUUUCCAAAAAAGAAAAAAAAAGAAGUCUUUGACUAGCGUCUAAUUUCAAUAAUUAUCAGGAGGAUCAGAUAUUUAUUGGUAAUUUUUGUAUAUAUGUUAAUAGUUAUAUAGGCAAUAAUUUUUGUAUGGGUAAUAAUUUUUGAACAUAUAUGUUAAUAAAAUUGUACUCUCUCCGUUCCAAAUCAUGUGUUAAUAAAAUUAAUGCAUGUUUUAAAUAUUGAAAACAAGAGAGAGAAAAUAAUUAAUGAUGCAGAUUGUAUCAUUGCAGAAGACCAGAGAGAUUUUCCCCGGAGAAAAUCCAUUCAAAUUAUAUGUCAUUAUUCUAGCAAUUUUACAUGGAUUAAGAAAUGUAGUUUAUUUUGAUAGAAAAGGGUAUUGUGAAUUGUUUUACAAAAAUAUUCUUUAUUAAUGGUAUGAAAAACAUAAAUUAAAAUAAUUGAAAAAAUAUAAAGUAAUAAAUAGUAAGGGUCAUAACAUGAAAUUAAGCAUUAAUAAUUCUUUAAUAUUGUAAAAUGACAUGUAAUUUGGAACAAAUAAAUUUUGCUAAAAUAACAUAUAAUUUAGAAUGGAGGGAGUAUGUAUAUAUAUAUAUUUUUUUUUUUUUAUAAGGCCAAGAGAAAGGUUAGGCAGAGGGAGUAUAUUAUUUCUGUCGUAUGUGUGCAAAAUGAAAGGAAAAGAAAAAAAAAUACAAAAGAAUAUGCAAAGAACAAUAAGAGAAGAAACAAAGAAUUAUCGGUAAUGUUCCUCCUCAUCUAAGUUCAAAGUCCUAACUGAUAUAUUUUUAAUUUGUCCAAAAAAACAAUAGAGUAUUAUAAAAUUUUAUGUUAUUAUUUGAAAAAAGAAGUUACUUAAUAGAUAAUAUAUACAUGAUGCAUAAUUGUAAUACUAGUUGAAUUUUACAUUUGUUUUGUAUUCCAAAUAUAUAUGAUAUUCAAUCUCACAUUACAUGUAUGACUUCAAGAGUCAUGCUUAAUACACGAAGAAUGAGAGAAAUAUGUAUUUUCACAAGAUAUAUCAUGCAAAUAGUAUGUGACAUUCUUUGUGAUUGAAAUGUAUAACUCUGAAGGAAAAAUCAACUGUGAAUGAUUUAUCUAUUAUUCAAAAUUUACAUUUUAAUUUAAAAUUAAUAUGUUCAUUGUAGUUUUACCUUUUAUUUAAUUAAUAUUUGUAACACUUAAAUUAAUAAACCAAAAGUAAAACUCUCAAUUUUAGAUUAAGUUCAAAAUUCAAUUGUAGAUUAUGACUAUCCAAGUUUGGUCUCCAAUUUAAAUAAUACUUAACAUGUUUUUAUUACCUCCCGACUCAAUUUUAUAUUUCCAAGCAAACCUCAAGAAAGUGAGUUGAAUAACAUAUUAAAGUGUUAAAAUUGUGUGUAUAUGGAGUAAAAGUAUAAAUUCUAGCUUAAAAUUAGAAUCAAUUUUAAUCGAAAAUACCAGGCAUAUCAAAAUUAAUUUUACAACUUUGGUAUCAAUUUUAGCUCAUCGAAAUACACUAAAAAUAACAUAUCAUAGUUAUGUUUUUAUUUUUGAGAUAUUAAUAUAUCAUAGCUAAUAAAAAGAUUUAUUCAAAUAAAUAUUUUGUAAUUUAUAAAUGGAAAAUGUUAACUAGUUAAACACUUUAAAUAGUAACUUUUUAUAAAAGUUUGUGUAAUAAAUUGCAUUGGAAAUUGAACACUUUGACAUUAAGCUUAAAAGUCGUUAACAAGACCUAAAUCAGAGUAUCAACUCAUUUUAUAGUGAAAUUGAACAUGCAGGAUAAAAUAAGAAAAAAAAAAACAUCCAAGGCCAUAAAAACUCAAAGCACUGUCAAACUGAGUUUGCAUUGUCGCUAUAGAAGAUUUUAGUUCUAAAAAUUAUUGUACAACUUAAUAAAUCAAUUCACUUCCUAAAAGAUAAUGAAAUAUAGUAAAUCAAAAUUGAUCUCCCUAUUCAUUAAAGUUAUCUCUUAUAGCUUACAAUAUCAGCUUGAAAAUAAUUCAUCUCUAGAGGUCUAACAUGCAUCAUAAUCCUCUUGAGAAAUACACAUCUUGGAAUGUGCCCCUAGACCCUAGUAGUAAUGGUGAAAGCAGUAUUAAGAAGCAAAAAAACCUGCAAACUUCUUGAAAUUCUUCUGAUUUUGGUUGAUUUGGUGUCAUAGUAAAACCAAGUGAGUCCCUCCAAUUAGCAGCAGGAUCAUGGUAAAGACUAUAAUUAGAAACAUAAACAACUUUCUUGUUGGGAUCGCAUGUAUAAUACUCUUUUCUCACCUUGGCAUCUUGUUGAUGAAAUCUACAAGUUCCUUUGAUCAUCUCAUCCAAAAUUUGUGUUGGAAUUCCAUGAUUUAUUACUUGAAAGAAUCCCCAAUUCUCACUUGCAUUUUGAACUUUUCUCACAACUUCAUCUUUCAAAACAAGAUCAUUAUGGAUUCCUGUUAGGUCAAUUGGUGGGAUACUUAGCUUUGAAUUUGAAUCAUUGACUGAAACAUCAUUGAUACUAGAUUGUUCACAAUAGGACAUUUGUGACACCAUUUUCUACAAGUCCUUGCACACCAGCUUUUGAAUCAUCAAAUUCUUUCAAUUCACUUUUCCUGUCGUAAUUUGAAACAGUUCCUCCCUCCAACUCAUGUGUGCUUGUGACAACCAUAGAUGAUCAUGCAAUAAAUAUUGAAUUGAAAAGGGAAACUUACAAGCUUUAAUUUCAAUUUAUGUUUUUCUACAAGAGAUGAGUAAACUAAGACAUGUUUAACCUCUUGAUGCUCAACAUAUAAUAUAAAAUAAAUUAUGGUGACAACUUGGAAUUAAUAAAGCAACCAAUUGAGAACCAUUUCUUGUGAUAGAAGACAAUCAAUAGUAGAUUUAAAAUUGAAGUAUUAACGGUGGCACUAAUGACCAUUGUACAAUUCUCUUUUAUGGAUAAAGAAAAAGUAUUGACGUUUGAGAGAAAUCAUAGAAGUAAAAACAAUAUAUUUUCAAGUACAACUUUAUUUUAAUAAGUACCAUGAAAUUAUUUUUGAUCAUAUUUUCUAGAUUGACUCACACAACAACAAAUGAACUUUAAGCAUUGUAAAGCUAAAGGAGAUCUGGCACACAAAUUCUGAGGACAAUCUUUAAUGGAUAAGCAGUAAAAUUAUGUUAUGAUGCCAAAUAAGAAGAAAUGAAUGUUAGUAAUAGGGAAUGAAACCUUUUUUAUAAGAUAAAGAAAAAAAAUUUAAGAAGAAAAAAAAAGAAUAUUCACUUACCGCCUUUGAUUUCUAUGACUUAUCACGAAAAAUCUUUGGGACUGGAUAGACGACAAGCUUAAUUGUGUUAUUGAUUGCUCUUCGAUUGACUCUCUCCUAUCUUGCAGAUCGGUUAGGUGUUCCUCCCAAGUUUCAGAUAUUUAUUUGGCGGCAGUCUUGCACACGGUUCAUACUAUUUGGUGGGCUAGGAACUCCUUGCAUUUUUCAUCAGUCACGGUAACAAUUCAUUCCGCCAAAGUCUGUAUUCACUCUUUGGUCGCAAUGUCCGGAAAUGUUUGUAAGGGUAAGUGCUUGCCUUCGGACUUCACUUUUCUUGAUUCUUUUGCGGUAUCUCAUCAUUGCCGUAAGGUCAAAGAAAUUACUAUGGUUUUGUUGAAGCCCCAUACCUCUCCUUGGUUGAAGGUCAACACGGAUGGAUCGGUUAUUGGUGGACAUGCGGCCCGUGGGGGGCUGUUUCGAGAUCACUUAAGUAUGUUCUAUGGUGCUUUCUCUUGUAACGUCGGUUUACAGUCUGUUUUUCAUGCUGAGGUUCUUGGAUUUAUAUUUGCUAAUGAGUAUGCUGCUCGGGAAGGGUGGAGAAACAUUUGUCAAGAGAGCGACUCCACAAGUGCUCUUUUGAUUUUUUCGAAUGCCUUGUUGGUUCCGAUUAUGUUACGUAACAUAUGGCAUAAUGGCCGCAACCUUGGGAUUCAAGUUAUUUCUUCUCAUAUUUUCCGUGAAGGUAAUUGUUGGGCGAAUAAAUUAGCUAAUUUGGUUCACUCCAUGAAUGGUUCGGUUUGGCUUGAUUCUCUUCUGGGUGAGUUGAAGGUUGAUUUCUUUCGGGAUAGAUGUGGUUUACCUAACUACAAAUUUCCUUAAUAUGUUUUUAUGGUUGUAUUUGUUUUUUCUGCUUUUUAUUUCCUUUAUGUUUUUUGAGGGUUUUGGCCUAGUCCCCCCUCCUUUGUAAUUUUCCUCCUUUUUUUAAUAAAUUUUUUAGAGUUUGGCGGCUUAGGAUAGAUGUUUCUCGGGAUGCCAACCUAAUUGGAAUGUCGAUGUUACCCCUUAAUGUUUGUCCUCUCUCCUUGCUUAUAUAAAAAAAAUUGAAGUAUUAAUUAAUCUUUGUCUGUUGAGGAUUACAGCCUGUGCUUUUUUAAUAUAGCUAUUGGCUUAGCAACCAACACUUACACAAAUAAAUAUAGACAAAAGAGGAAAUGUGGUGACCCAUAUUCAAAUCCAGAAUUUCAUAUAAAAUAUUCCCAUAGUUAAACCACUAGGUUGUAACACAGGAUUACAAACCUUUACAUAAAACCAUAUCUUCUCAUUCAUGUGAUGUUUAAGAGUUGAGGAUUAUAUAUUUAGUCCCUAUAAAAAAAUUGAAAUCGGUUCAUAUUGAAAUUGGUCCAUGCGUUAUUUAUUUUAGUCUUUAUUUUGAGGAUUAAAAUCAAAUAUUUUACAUAUUAUAAAGAUCAAUUUAAAUAUGAAUGACUACAAACCAAAAGCUAAAAAUGAUAUAUUUACGAGGGAUGAAAACAAAAUAUAUUUUUAUAUGGACUUAAACCAAAUCUUUUGAUAUUUGACGACCAUUUUCAUUUCUAAGCAAAUAAAAUACUAUCUAUUUUAACUUACAUAAUUCGUACAUGAUUGGUAUAGGAAACAUGCCAUGGAACACAUCUUAACUAGUAAAGCAUAAAUGUACUUGGCCCUUUUUGGAUAAACAUAUUAACUAAGAAUUUAUGCAUAAGUGCUUAUCUUACUUAUGUAUAAACUAUUUGUCAAAAAAGAUAAAAUGAUAAGUUAACAAGAAAACCGUGUAGAAAUAAGCUGAAAACAAAUUAUGAACAUGUCUUCUAUAAGUUCUCAAAAACAGACUAACAAGUGCUUAUACCAAUUGAUAAACUUAAACGAGGCAAUCGAAAUAUGCCGCUGUAGCUUCACAUGACAGUAUAGUUUCACCACACAUGACGUUGUUUUGAAACCAAAACCAAGCAAACGUUAGAAAUAGGCAUCUCCUUGGCAAUGUAUUAUUUGCAAGACAUAAGCAUAGCAAAAAUUUCAAGUCCAAGAUAAUUAAGAUCUACAAUCAUAUUGAAAAUUGUUAUUAUUUCCCAACUACUAAAUAAACCAGCUCAAUCCACAUUAUCCAACUCAAAGCUUGAAGUCUUGAAGAACAGAAGUGCCAUCAAGCCCUUUUGCAUACACGUAGGCUAUAAAAUCAGCAACAGUGGUUUCUUUGUAUCUGGGAGGGUUGUUUUCUGAUAAUAAUUCUGUUAUAGGUCCAUAAAGCUUUUUAUGUGCUCUAAGACCUGCCUUGAAAAAGCAUGCAACAGAUAUUCUUGGACCAAUGCCAUUUGCCAGUACUCUAUGUUCAACACUCUUGAAUUUGUCAUUUGUUAUCAGCUGUAGUUCAUUAAAAAUUUCUAAUUAGAUAAAUUCAUGUACUUGCAGUGAGUAGUACAAUAUUAAAAACUAGGGUUUAGCCUGUUUUGUCAUGCCUUGAGAAUGAUCUCAAGAGGGGUAUUUAUAGCCCUUUGUGUGCUUGUUUUCGCGUGACUUAAGCCACAAGCAAGCUGGCCUUAAGUAUUUUUACUAAGCUCUAGAUGCUUCUAGAAGCUAGAUGAGGUGGCGCCUCUGGGAGGGCGCGCCUAGGCCUCAGGAGCCCUUCUGGAGGGCGCCUAAGCCUUUCUAGAGGGCAUUCGAGCCCUUAGGAAUAUAUUGACGGUCCAUAGCUCCCCAAGCACGAGCUUUGGGAACCAGGCGAAGUGAUGAUUUUAUGAGAUUGAUCAUUCGUAUGAGCUAUUUGCGCUUUCGGAUGCUUGCUAGGGGGCGGUGUGCUUUGGGGGGACACGCCCAGGCUUCAGGGAGCCUUUUGGAGGGCACCUGGGUCUUUCUAGAGGGCAUUCGAGCCCUUAAGAAUAUAUUGAUGGUCCAAUUCAUGUUAAGGUUAUUUACACAUAAAAAAAGUUCUUGCUUAGUCGCACAAUGAAACGAUUCAUUUGUAAAAAAAAUCUAUCAAAAAAUUAUUAACAAUUUUAAUUUUCAAUGCAAUAUUACAAGCCUAAUAGUAAAAUAGAGAACUUGCCUGCAGAAGAUCACCGAUAUUAACAACAAGAGCCCCGGGUACCGGUGGUACAUCGAUCCACUUGUCUUGGUGAAGAACUUGAAGGCCACCAAUAAUACGGUCUUGGAGAAGCACUGUGAGAAAACUAACAUCAGAAUGUUUGGUGGUUCCCAUUGUUAAAUCUGGUUCAGGACAAGCAGGAUAGUAAUGACCAAUUAUCAUAUUCCCCUCACAACAAUCCAAGUCCUUCAAAUGGUUUGGAUGCAAUCCAAGAGCUUCUGAUAGUAAUUCAAAGAGUACUCUUCCAAGUUUCAUUAGACAUGUUCCAUAUUCCAUAAGUAUAUCCCUACAAGAAUAUGAAAUCACCAAGCAAUAAAUUAUGUUCCCUAUAAUAGGAAUAACAUGUUAAACUUAACCUCCUAGCUUUUUAUAAUUAGUUGUUUAAUUUCACUUAACAUCUUUGAUUGAUAAUCGGUUCAUGUUCAUUAGUAGAGUUUGGACACUCUGACAUCGGACACGACAGUGACACUCAAAUAUAAGUACAAGAACAAGUUUAAAAAUGUUGGAAUAAAAUGUGUUUAACAUUAACCCUUAAGAGUUUUGAUGAUAACAAGGUAUUAAAAAUUGUCAAUUGGAUAUGCUAAUAUUUGUUCAAGUGUACAGGGCUAUAGACAAAAUUUGACAUCUUAAAAAGGUCUUGGAAGAACAAUAAAGAGCAAAGGAAUCAACAAAAAGGGAAGCUUAAAGCGUCUGAAGAAAACUGCUCCUGAAGAUAAAGCGCUCCUGAAGACAAAGUGCUCCUGAAGUGGUGACAUCAUCAGAAGUGAGUUCAUCAGAAACAAGUUUAUCAGAAGCCAAAAAAUCACCAGAAGCUGCAGUUCAUCAUGGGAUGCAACUUAAGGCUUCAAAAGCUGUUUAAUAGAUUCAACCUCGUCUUAAGAUUGCAGAAGACUGGAAAAGUAAAGCAACAGAUAUUUUGAAAGGAUUUGAAGGCAUUGGAUGCUUGUUCUUCAAAGGGCGUUGACAAAGUAAGUUUGUACGAAGUGUACAACCAUUACCUCCACUACUUUGUUUUUGUCCCUGCUACAAGACAAGAAAAAUAGUUCUACUUGCAACGAUGUUCCUUCACAAUGGGAAUAGAUUUGAAAUUGAUCCUUCAUGGGACAAUAACUAUAUCAGGCAAAAGAUCAUUGGAAACGACUCUAUUUUGAAUGUGCUGACAAUUUACAACGUCUCUUUCACACCUCUAUAUAAAGGAGUGAAGACUCAGAGUUACAUACAGAACAACAACAAUUUAGUAAUGCCAAAACUCUGCUGAAAUUGUUCUGCAUUCAAAAGUUCACUUAGAAUUUCUUAUCAACUUUCAUAUCUUAGAAAUUCUAAGGUCUUUAGAGUCUGUAUCUAAUUUAUAUUGUGAACACCACUCAUUGUAUAUCAAGUGUUCAACCUUAAACAUUUUUCUUUCUAAUUCUGAUUGAAUUAAGAAUUCUCUUGUAAUUGUGCUUGAGCAAUAGAAGUCUCUUGAUUGUGUUCAGGAGCAUAGGAAGUCUCUUGCAGUUGUUCUUGAGAAUUUGAAGUUUCUUACUAAGUUUAGUAGUGAGCAAUUGUAAUCAGAUAUUACAUAGUGAACUCUCCUUGAAAGUGCAAGGGGGACAUGACUGACUUCCGGUUUGUGGAAGGAACCUGUAUAAAUUGUUCUCUCUCUCUCUCUCUCUCUCUCUCUCUCUCUCUCUCUAUUUAUCCGCUGCAACUAGUUCUGAACAUCACUUCAGAAGUAGAACUCUAUUUGCUUCUGAUCAGUGUUUUCAGCUUAGGAGAAAAAGAAGAAAAAGAAAACACAAUUCAACCCCCCUUCUUGUGUUUUUCUCACCUUCAAUUGGUAUCUAGAGCCUUGGUCUGUUGUCAAAACACUUAACAGUGUAACAGAAAAAGAUCUGUGAAAAACAUGUCUGGUGCGGAACCUGAAUCCAAUACGAGCACUACUAUUCCAUAUGAUUAUGGUAGCAAUAAGAAAUCUGACUAUGGAAAAGUUUCAAAGUUCAAUGGAUAUCCUGAAUAAUUUUCUUGGUGGAAGACCAACUUCUAUAGUCAUGUCAUGGGUUUAGAUGAAGAACUAUGUGAUAUACUAGAAGAUGGUAUUGGUGACUUGGUCGUUGAUGAAGAAGGAGCUGGUAUUGAUAGAAGAAAACAUACUCCUGCUCAUAAGAAAUUCUACAAGAAGCAUCACACAAUCAGAGGAGCACUUGUCAAAGCUAUACCUAAAGCAAAGUAUAUGAAGAUGAGUGACAAAUUCACUGCUAAGUCAAUGUUUACUUCUCUCUGUGCUAACUAUGAAGGUAGUAAGAAAGUCAGAGAUGCAAAAGCUCUUAUGCUUGUUUAUCAGUAUGAGUUGUUCAAAAUGAAAGAUGAUGAAAGUAUUGAGCAAAUGUACUUAAGAUUUCAGACUCUAGUUUCUGGACUUCAAAUACUAAAGAAAGGCUAUGUAGCCUCUGAUCAUGUGAGAAAGAUACUUAGAAGCUUACCUGCAAGAUGGAGAUCAAAGGUGACUGCUAUUGAGGAAGUUAAAGAUUUAAACACUUUGAGUGUUGAAGAUCUUGUCAACUCUCUCAAAGUUCAUGAGAUAAGCCUUAAUGAGCAUGAACCUUCUAAAAAGAGUAAAUUCAUUGCUCUACCAUCAAAAGGGAAGUCAUCAAAAGCUCUUAAAGCUGUUAAGUAUGAAGAAGAAUUAUCUGAUGGAGAUUCUGACGAAGAUCCUACUGAGAAGAUGUCUAUGCUUUCCAACAAGCUUGAGUAUCUGGCAAAGAAGAAUAAGAAGUUUAUGAGUAAGAAAGGUGGCUAUAAGAACUCCAAGAAAGAAGAUCAGAAGGGAUGCUUCAACUGUAAGAAGCCUGAACAUUUCAUUGCUGAUUGCCCUGAGCUUCAGAAGGAGAAAUCAAAGGACAAGUCAAAAAAGUCAAGCUUCAACACAAGGAAAUUCAGAAAGUAGAUAAAAAAGAGUUUAAUGGCAACCUAAGAAGAUUUAGAUAGUGACUCAGACUCUGAAAAGGAAGAUUCUGAAGAAGAUGCUAAAUGAGCUGUUAGGUUAGUGGCUACUGUGACUCCAGAAGCAGAUUCUGAAGAUGAAAAUGCGGUAUAUUCUAAAUUUCCUAGAGAAGAAUUGAUUGAGUCUCUUAAAGAACUUCUUACACAUUUUGAAUACAGAACCAAUGAGUUGAAAGAUUUAAAAGAAAAAUAUGUUGCUUUGAUGAAACAACAAGAAUCAACUCUAUUGAAUCUGAAAGCUUGUAAAGAAGGACUUAAAGGGUUUGACUUCAUUUGUAGAACUUAUGAAGAAAAACUCAAGCAUCUUUGUCAGAAGCUAAAAGAAAAGUGUAAUGGAAAGUCUUUAAGCGAAGAAGAAAUUGCUCUUGAGGAGUAUAUUAUGUCUGGUAUUGACAGAAGCAAAGUUGCUUCUAUGAUUUAUAGCAUUUACAGAAACAAUGGUAAAGGGAUUGGAUUUUCAGAAGGGAAACCUAAUGAAAUCAGUCUUAAAGCCUAUUGUGAAUGCAUCAAGGAAGGAUUGAAAACCGUUUUUGUACCUGAAGGUGCUAAGAAUGAAACUGUUGCUCAGUCAGAACCUAAAGCUUCUAGCUCUAAGGCCAAGAUUACUUCAAAGCCAAAGAACUUUAAGCCAACGACAAUGAUAAAUUAUGAUUCUAAGACUUCAAAGAUUAAGAUUCUGAAGAGAUCAGAACCUGUUCCUCAGAGUCUGAUGAAGCCAGAAGCUGGUAUCUUAAAGUUGAAGUCUCAGAGGAAGAAAGCAGUUGUUUUUACUGAGAACUCAGAACCUAAAGGUAUUAAACCUAAGGCAAUGAGUAACCGGAAGCAAUCAAAUUCACAGCACAAGGUACAAGAAGUGAAGAGUAAAACUUCCAAUACUAACUCGAAAGGACCCAUAAGACAAUGGGUACCUAAAUCUGAAAAUGUCAAUAUUGCAGAUAUGUCUAAGAGCAAAAGUAAAAAAAAAAAUCAUGGUACCUAGACAGCGGUUGCUAAAUGCAUAUGACAGGAGAGAAGUCUAUGUUCCUCACCCUUACAAUGAAAGAAGGAGGAAAUGUGAUGUUUGGAGGCAGCCAACUUGGCAAGAUCAUUGGUACAAGAACUAUUGGUAAUUCCUCUAUCUCUAUUAAUAAUGUGUGGCUGAUAGAUGGUCUGAACAUAACCUUUUAAGUAUCAGUCAGUUUUGUGAUAAUGGUUAUGAUGUGAUGUUUGGUAAGACCAGCUGUACAAUAAUAAAAAAUGAUGACAAAUCCAUAAUAUUCAAGGGAAAGAGAGUAGGGAAUCUCUAUAAAAUUAACUUCUCUGAACUGGUUGAUCAGAAGGUAGUUUGCCUUCUAUCAGUGAAUGAUAAGAAAUGGAUGUGGCACAGAAGGUUGGGACAUGCUAAUUGCAGAUUAAUCUCUAAGCUUAGCAAGUUACAACUGGUUAAAGGCCUACCUGACAUUGAUUAUCAUUCAGAUGCACUUUUUGGUGCAUGCCAGAAAGGGAAGAUUGUAAAAUCAUCUUUUAAAACAAAAGACAUUGUCUCAACCUCCAGACCCUUAGAAUUACUUCAUAUUGAUUUAUUUGGAUCAGUUAACAUUGCAUCCUUAUAUGGAAGUAAAUUUGGUUUGGUCAUUGUUGAUGAUUACAGCAGAUGGACUUGGGUAAAAUUCCUAAGAAGUAAGGAUUGUCCAUAUGAUGUAUUCAGCAGCUUCUGCACUCAAAUACAGUCUGAAAAAGAAAUGAAAAUUUUAAAAGUCAUAAGUGAUCAUGGUGGCGAAUUUGAAAAUGAGCCAUUUGAACUUUUUUUGUGAAAAACAUGGAAUUGUCCAUGAAUUCUCUUCUCCUAGAACUCCACAACAAAAUGGGGUUGUAGAGAGAAAGAAUAGAACUUUACAAGAAAUGGCUAGAACCAUGAUUUAUGAAAACAAUUUGGUUAAACAUUUCUGGGCAGAAGCAGUGAAUACAACAUGUUAUGUCCAAAAUAGAAUCUAUAUCAUACCUAUCUUGGAAAAAACAACAUAUGAACUCUUUAAGGGAUGAAGACCCAAUAUCUCUUACUUUCAUCAAUUUGGAUGUACCUGUUACAUUCUAAAUAACAAGCUCUACCUAAAGAAAUUUGAUGCCAAGGCCCAAAGAGGAAUCUUUUUAGGUUAAUCUGAAAGGUCAAAGGCAUACAGAGUGUAUAAUUCAGAUAUACUCUGUGUUGAAGAAUCAAUGCAUGUUAAAUUUGAUGAGAAAGAGCCUAGAAGUGAAACUCUAGAGCAAGAUGAAAGUUUUGCAGAUAUACAAGUCACUGAAGAUAGUUCAGAACCUGAUCAGAAAGCUGUAUCUGAAGAAAGUCCAGAAGCUCAACCCACUCCAGAAGCUGAGCCAAUCUCAGAAGCAGAAAAUGAAAAUACUUCUGAAGAAAUUCAAGAUGAAUCUCAGCAAGUAGUUCAAUCCAAAUUCAAGCAUAAGUCUUCACAUCCUGAAGAUUUAAUCAUUGGAAACAAAGAUAGUCCUAGAAGAACAAGAUCAUAUUCAGACAAGAAGAGUCUAUGAUAGGAUUAUUAUCAGUGAUUGAAGCUACAACAAUUGAUGAAACACUUUCAGAUGAUGGAUGUAUAUUAGCUAUGCAAGAAGAGCUAAAUGAGUUUCAAAGAAAUGAUGUGUGGGAUCUAGUACCCAAACCUCAACAGAAGAACAUUAUUGGAACAAAAUGGGUAUUCAGAAACAAGUUAAAUGAACAAGGUGAAGUGACCAGAAACAAAGCCAGACUUGUUGCACAAGGUUACAAUCAACAAGAAGGCAUUGAUUACACUAAAACAUUUGCUCCAGUUGCAAGAUUGGAAGCAAUCAGGUUACUUCUAUCCUAUGCAGUAAAUCAUGGCAUAAUAUUAUAUCAAAUGGAUGUCAAGAGUGCAUUUAUUAAUGGUGUCAUUGAAGCAGAAAUGUAUGUCAAGCAACCUCCUGAUUUUGAGUAUCUUAAUCAUUUUAACCAUGUUUACAAACUUAAAAAAUCACUAUAUGGCUUGAAACAAGCUCCUAGAGUUUGGUAUGAUAGACUAAGUAAUUUCUUAAUCAAAAAUGAUUUUAAAAGAGGUCAAGUUGACACAACACUCUUCAGAAGGACUCUUAAGAAAGACAUUCUGGUUGUGCAGAUAUAUGUUGAUGAUAUAAUAUUUAGUUCUACUAAUGCAUCUCUUUGCAAGGAAUUUUCUAAGUUAAUGCAGGAUGAAUUUGAAAUGAGCAUGAUGGGAGAGUUGAAGUUCUUCCUUGGAAUUCAAAUUAAUCAAAGCAAAGAUGGAGUAUUUGUUCAUCAAACAAAAUAUACAAAGGAGCUUCUGAAGAAGUUCAAGCUGGAAGAUUGUAAAGUGAUGAACACUCCAAUGCAUCCAACCUGCACCCUAAGCAAAGAAGAUACUGGAACAAAUGUAGACCAGAAGCUGUAGAGGUAUCUCACUGCAUCUAGACCAGAUAUUUUAUUUAGUGUAUGCUUGUGUGCAAGAUUUCAACCAAUUAUCAGUUGGUUGGAUUUUGUGAUGCUGAUUAUGCUGGUGACAGGAUUGAAAGAAAAUCAACCAGUGGAAACUGUCAGUUCCUGGGAGAGAAUCUAAUAUCCUGGGCUAGCAAAAGACAAGCAACUAUUGCUAUGUCUACAACAGAAGUAGAAUACAUCUCAGCUGAAAGUUGUUGUACACAACUACUUUGGAUGAAACAUCAGUUGUAAGACUAUCAGAUGAAUGCUAACAGUAUUCCCAUUUAUUGUGAUAAUACUACUGCUAUUUGUUUGUCGAAGAAUCCAAUUCUGCAUUCAAGAGCCAAGCAUAUUGAAAUCAAACACCACUUUAUAAGAGACUAUGUUCAAAAAGGAAUUUUAGAUAUACAAUUCAUUGAUACUGAACAUCAAUGGGCUGAUAUAUUUACUAAGCCUUUAUCUGUGAAAAUAUUUGAUUUUAUAAAGAAAAAAUUGAACAUGCACUUUGUGUCUGAUUAAAUUUGCUUGCUCCUGAACUAGAAGUUUGGUUCUGAAGUCUGUUCAGAAGCUUUGGUCCAUCAGAAGCUCUUAAUUGAGACUCUAAGGAAAAUGUGCUUCUGAAGAUGACGUCAGCACUUAAACUUUAGAAGUUGUAUUAUUUGCUUCUAAAUAGCAGUGUUAGUGGAAACGUUGGAAGUCACUCUUCAGUAACACCUGUCCUACUAACUAAGCAGUUAUUCUGAAACGCCUCUGACGUGGUCUAUUUGUAUUGGUGUAUGACUUUAGUGGGCGAUGAUGAAUUUUUGCUUCGAAUGUACUAUCUCGCACCCCCAAUUGUCAUCAAUGAUGUGUCUGUUUGUCCCCUUCUGAAUUGCAAACGUUUUUACUCAAAACACUUAGCCAAAACACACACUACUCACUUCACAACCUAUAUGUUCAUCUUUUCAAACCUUUCUCGGCGAAGUAAGCGCAUUUUCUGUAUCUCAAAACCUUGAAACCCAAAAAUCAUCUCUAUCAUCUAAUGACAUCAUCUAGUUCUGCUCCUGAAUCCUCAUCAAACAUGCAACAAGAAGUUGUUCCAAUUUACGAAAUCAAGGGAAGAACCAUGUCUUUGGAGGAAUGGGACUUGAAGAUUCAAACAGAAAACCAUGUUGAUUUCGUAUCUCUAGCUUAUCAUGGAUGUAACAUAAGUAAAUACUACGAAGCACAAGGCUUAGUAGGUUACUUCAACUUGCUAAAUGGACCUACCUAUCAGACUUUGGUGAGACUUUUCUGGGUAAGGGCUAGCAUCUACGAUAGAGAAGCAUCUAAGCUUGAAGAGGCUGAAAAGGUAUUGAUAAACCCAGAACUUGAAGGGAAAUCUAAAAGGGAAAUGGGUUUGGAACCCUUUGUAAGCACUGAGAUCAAAUCCAGCAUAAUGGGGAUUCCAGUUCACAUAUCAAAAGAAAUCAUUUCAUUCAUCCUCAGAAGGCCUGCUGAGGGAACAUACAAGGUUGGCAUCAAGAAUGUGAAGAUCAGUCCUUGGAAUGAAAUAGUUCACCAAACAAUAUUCAAUAGCAAGGAGAAGGGUGUUUAUGCUGACCUAUGCAUGGAAAGAAAAAUGAUGCUGAAGAUUCAGAACGAGAAUCUGUUACCAAAAUGUGGUGACAGUGAUCAACCUUCUCUUGAGCACAAGAUCUUCCUCCACCUCUUCAUCACUAGAGAAAGAACCAACGUGUCAAGAUACAUCUUCAUGCAUAUGAUCCAAUAACUUAGAGAAAGCCAAGAGAAGAAAAGAUGAUGGGUUCCAUAUGGAAGACUCAUUUCAGAAAUUCUUCAUCAGGAAGGGAUUCUAAAAGCUCUAAUCAAAGUUAACUUAUUUACUGAUGAACAGCUAGGCACUGAAACCGGCAAAGUCAUAAAUGGAAGCAGACUGAAGCAUAUGAAGCUGAUCAGCAAAACUGAUUACAAGACGCUGGACUCAGACCUGAAGGAGUCUUUUGUUGUAUCAAAUUUAAUACAAGAUUUUCCUCCCAUCUGCAAGCAAGAUCCUCUUGAUGUCCAGAUGAACUACAUCAAAGAUCACUUUGCUUCAACAUGCACAAAGAUUAGUCUGGAAGAUGUGCCUGAGACAAUGUAUGGUGGAGCUCUUCUUGUGGCCAAGAGCAGAAAAUAAAAGAGGAAGGCCAUCAGUAAGGAUGCCUAUCUUGAGGGAGCUUCUGAAUAAACCUCCGAGAAGGCCAAGAAGUCUAAGAUAGUAAAAGCCUCAUCUGAACUGAUUGUUGGUUCUGAUAUGCCAACAAUUCAGGAUUAAGUUCAGAACCACAAUGCUGAGAGGGUUCUGAACAAGAGGACCAGAAACGACAAGGAAACUGCACCAUCUCAAGUAGCUCCUGAUUAGCCUAAAAUUCCUAAGAAGAAAAGGAAGCAGGCCCUCAGGAAGUUAAAGGUGUCAGCAGAAGUGGCUGAAUAAGAGGGUGAAGAGGCUGCAACUGAAUUAGUUUUAAGGAAAUUAAGGAAGAAGCAAGCUGAGGCUGCUGCUACACUCCAGAAGGCUAUGGAGUUGGCAAAGCAGAUUAAAAUCCCUGCAUCCAGCAUAGCAAGGGAAGAUGCUGGAGCAGAUGCUGAGAAAGUGAUCAAGGCAGCUGAAGAAGUACAAGAACUGGUUGCUUCUGAAGCUGGAAGUCUGAUGAACAUUGCUGCUGGUUCAUCAGAAGCCACUAUUCCAAAAGGUCUUAAAGGUAUUCUUGACUCUCCUCACUCUGAUAGUGUUGUUGUAGAAUCAGACUCAACUCCAUCUAUAUCAACUGAAACCACUUCAUCCACAUUUUCAUCUGACUUAGAUGAUGUACCUUUAGGAAAGAUAUAUACAACCAUAAAAAAAAGCCUUUCACCAUCAACCAAAAUCCAUAAAAAGGCAGGUGUGAACUAUACAACUUUUGAACCUAUGGUUCCUAGUCCAGAUGAAAGGAUUGGGGGCCUAGCCCAAAGGAGAAUAGAUGUCUGCAAACAUCUACCUCCUAACCAUCCUUUCCAACCACCAUUCAUCCAACCACUUAACACUUUACCAGCUGAAACCAACCCAGAAACUACAUCACAAUACCCCACAUCAACCAACCAAGAUCCUGAACCACAAAAAGCCUCUGAAGUAGCUUCAGAAGAAGUUACUUCAGAAAGUCCCCAACAACAACCAACAACAAACUCACAAACAACCAUUCCCACAUCUGAACAAACUGUUCCUGAACAAGUUGUUUCUGAACAAUUUGCUUAUGAAUAACCUCCAUCACCAACCAUUCCUGAAUCCAUUCCUAAACCUGAAACUAUUCCUGAGUUAGAACCUAUGAUCACAUCAAAUGCCUCUGAUGUUGAGGAAGAGCUUAUCAACUCUUUUUCUGAUGUAAUCAUGGAAUCUGAUUCUGAUCAAUUGAAUCAAUUUUGUCAAAUUCCUACCUCCUUAAACAGCCAACCUUCAUCAUCCUUAGCCAUUCAACCAUUAGCUCAUAUUAAACCUAAGAUAUCCUCACCACCUACCAUCUUUUUUGAUUCUACAAUUCUAUCAGAUGUGUGUGAGAACAUCUUUCAGGAGCUGAAUAAGCUAAUCCAGUCAAGGAAUAACCUUUUUCAUAAGGAGAAUUAUCAAAAGAACUAGAAUAGGCUCAAGGAAAGAGUUGACUUUGUCUUGGGUGAACUACAAAGGACAUGUUCUGAUGCUCAAGACAUAGCUCAACAGAAGUUUCAAGACUGGUUAAGGGGAGUAGACAACAACUUGCAAGAAGUGAAGAUCCUCAGAACCUGGGUGCAGAGUCCACUGAGCCUAAGAGAAAGGAAUGCCACAUACUUCAUUCCUACAGGUGUGCAUCCUAGGGAGCUUGAUCUGACCUUCUUGCAGAGAAUCAAUGUACUGUCUGCAUCUUCUGAACUAGCCCUGCUGCAAAGGAACGCAGAACUUAAGGUUGAGAAUAAAAAGCUCAGAAAGGAAGUGCUAGAACAGAAGCUACUCCUGCUGAAAUACAAGACUACAUCUGAAGCACAAUUAGGGCCAGAGAGGAAAGAUUGGUCAAGAGUAAUGAAGAGUUCAAACAAGAGAUGAACAGAAAGGCAGAUGAAACUCAUAAGAUGAUGCAAGAAAUGAUGAAGAUGAUUCAAAGAUAAGCCCAACCCUAGUUUCACACAUAUUUAGCUUGUUUAGUUUUAUCUCUUAAGUUGUUUUAUGCACUUUAUCACUUUGCUUCUGAAUUUACUCUAUUGAUCAAUUUACCUCUGAAUGAAUAUGAAUGCUUCUGAAAAGGGGAGUAGAUGUAUAGUAUUUAUAGGCUCUGAGCUCCAUUAAUUUAAUUUUAAUCAAGUUAAAUUAAUAGGAUCUUCUUCUAAUCUCUUAGUCUAUUAAUGCGAGUUUAUUCUGAGAGUUAUUGCGUUUUUAAUUUAUGAAUUUAAUUAACAUGGAUAGAACUCAGAUGGAGCUUACAAACCUCACCUUAAAGUACUAUUGGACUCAGGGGGAGCUUACAAACCUCAUACCCUUAUAGUCAACGUGUUAAUUAGAUUAACAACAAUUGAAAAUUUUAUAUACUAUUGUUUGUCAUCAUCAAAAAGGGGGAGAUUGUUGGAACAAAAUGUGUUUAACAUUAACCCUUAAGAGUUUUGAUGAUAACAAGGUAUUAAAAAUUGUCAAUUGAAUAUGCUAAUAUUUGUUCAAGUGUACUAGACUAUAGACAAAAUUUGACAUCUUAAAAAGGUCUUGGAAGAACAAUAAAGAGCAAAGGAAUCAACAAAAAAGGAAGCUUAAAGCGUUUGAAGAAAACUGCUCCUGAAGACAAAGUGCUCCUGAAGUGGUGACGUCAUCAGAAGCAAGUUUAUCAGAAGCCAAAAAAUCACCAGAAGCUGCAGUUCAUAAUGGGAUGCAACUUAAGGCUUCAAAAGCUGUUUAAUGGAUUCAACCUUGUCUAAAGAUUGCAGAAGACUGGAAAAGUAAAGCAACGACUAUUUCGAAUGAAUUUGAAGGCAUUGGAUGCUUGUUCUUCAAAGAGCGUUGAAAAAGUACGUUUGUACGAAGUGUACAACCACUACCUCCACUACUCUGUUUUUGUCUCUGCUAAAAGACAAGAAAAACAGCUCUGCCUGCAAUGAUGUUCCUUCACAAUGGGAAUGGAUUUGAAAUUGAUCCUUCAUAGGACAAUAACUAUAUCAGGCAAAAGAUCAUUGGUGAUUGAUCAAAGCUUCAAACGACUCUAUUUUGAAUGUGCUGACAAUUUACAACGUCUCUUUCACACCUCUAUAUAAAGGAGUGAAGACUCAGAGUUACAUACAUAACAACAACAAUUUACUAGUGCCAAAACUCUGCUAAAAUUGUUCUGCAUUCAAAAGUUCACUUAGAAUUUCUUAUCAACUUUCAUAUCGUAGAAAUUCUAGUGUCUUUAAUGUAUGUAUCUGAUUUGUAUUGUGAACACCACUCAUUGUAUAUCAAAUGUUCAACCUCAAACAUUUUUCUUUGUAAUUCUGUUUGAAUUAAAAAGUCUCUUGCAAUUGUGCUUGAGCAAUAGAAGUCUCUUGAUUGUGUUCAGGAGCAUAGGAAGUCUCUUGCAGUUGUGCUUGAACAUUUGAAGUCUCGUACUAAGUUUAGUAGUGAGCAAUUGUAAUAAGAUAUUACAUAGUGAACUCUCCUUGGAAGUGCAAGGGGGACAUGAAUGACUUCCGGUUUAUGGAAGGAACCUGUCUAAAUUGUUUUGUGCCCCCCCCCCCCCNNCCCCCCCUCUCUCUCUGUAUUCACUGCAACUAGUUCUGAACAUCACUUCAGAAGUAUAACUCUAUCUGCUUCUGAUCAAUGUUUUCAGCUUAGGAGAAAAAUAAGAAAAAGAAAACAUAAUUCAACAAAUACGUUUUUGUGUUUCUCACCUUCAAAAAAGUUCAUUAAUUAAUAGACUGCACCUAUAUGUGUCGAUGUUAGAUAGUGACACAUAUUUGACAACAAAUACGUCUUUGAUUCAUAGUGUUGGUGUUAUGUAGCUGGAGACCAGACAAUUCAUGAUCAAUUUCAAAAAGGAAAACCGACCCGAACAAAAUUGUUAUGACGGUUUGGUAAAAUUGAACCCAACUGUUAUUGUUUCUUCUUGAAUUGAACUGAACUUGUAUAAAAGUUGGAUCCAUGCACCAAUUACGUGUUUCCGAACCAAAACUACUUUAAUAGAUUUGAAAUGUACUUGUUUGAUCCCAACUAAUUCUUUGUGAACAAUAAUGUGCCAAAUUUAUAUUAUUAAUGGAUAUUUGGACAGUUAAAAAAAUCAAGAUUCAAAUAAAAUAUGAUGACCAAUGUAAAAACCUCAAAAACUGAGUUGCAUCGAAAAUAACCAAACUGGUUUUUCACGAACAACACCGAUCAGUUAUUUUUGGCGCGAUUUGGUUCAAUGAUUCAGUUCAAUUUUUGGUUUUUUUAACAACUCAAUUUGGAGACAAUUUCUAACCUAUUUUGCUAAUUAAUACAAAUGUAUUCAAUAUUGAUGAACAUAACAAAAAAUUUGAGGCAAUAUAUAUAUAUAUAUAUAUAUAUAUAUAUAUAUAUAUAAACAAGAACUCACCUGCAUACUACUGGCAAAUCUUCUAGUUUGGAGGCAUUAACAGCAAAGUCACAUAUAAAAGUAUCCCUCCAAUUAAGUGCUGGUGAUCUAUACAAAUCAAAAUUGCUAUUAUAAACCAAUGGCCUUGUUCGAUCUCUAGUAUACAUCUCUUUCUUCACUUCAGUAUCUUGUUCAAAGAAUCUCUUCACUCCAUCUUUCAUAUCUUCAAGAACAUUCAAAGGAAUACCAUGAUUAAUCACUUGAAAGAAACCCCAUGUCUCAGAUGCUUCCUUUAUUUUGGUUAUAAUUUCUUGCCUUGUAUUUGGAUCCUUGUCAAUAUUUGCAAAGUCUAUAACAGGAAUAAUGUGUUGUGUGUUGGUUGAAUUUGUGGCCUUUCCAUAUUUAUCAGGUGGAUGAUGAAAUAAGGUAGGGAUUUUGAGAAUACCUUGAUCAACAAGGCCUUUAACACCAGCUUUUGUUUCAUCAAAUGCUUUGAGCUCUUGUAGCCUAUCAGAGUUGAAUUUGAAGUUGCCUUCAACUUCAUCUGUAGCAGUAAACCCCAUCUUAGUUUCUUCAGUUUGCAGUGAGUGAAUAUAUAUAUAUAUAUAUAUAUAUAUAUAUAUAUGGAAAACGCUAACAAGUGCCCUUAGAGCAUUGUUUAAGCAUCUUACAUUGAAAAUUGUAUAAUUAUUACUUUUACAUAAUUUUAACUUGUAUUUUCAAGAAAAUUGUGUCAUUAGCAAGACCCUAUAAAUUAUAAUCCAAAUAAUUAGAGACACAAAUUAUGAUCCCUAGAUCUAAUCAAACAAAUGUCCAUUAUAAAAAUGCAUUCUUGUUGUUUUCGAUUUGCCUACUUACCAAGGUUUGGAUUUUAAAAUUUCACCCCAUUGUACAAAUAGUACUGCUAAUUCUUAAACUAUUAAUCUGCACAUGAACGUGGAGAUUGCAGUUUUAAAUAAUCUGCACAUGAACGAGGAGAUUGCGAUUUUAAAUACAGGCUGUAAUCAUCAACAUCAAGACAAAGAUUAGUUAAAUACCACAUUUUUGAAGUAUUUUAUUGAUAGUGGUUUAUCUUUAGGUAUAAUAUAUUACAAGAACCGCUUCUUAAUAAACACACGUUGCCACCAUAAUUCAAGUGUAAAAUUAAAUUAUAUAUGGUGCAACUGUCUUUAAUAAAUCAAGUAAUUAAGAAAACAAUAUGGCGUGAACAUGGUAAAGCCAAUAUUGUUGACUAUUGAAUGUCAUGGCUGAAAGUUAGUGGCGAUUUGGCAAGUAAUGGCUUAUGGUUCUGCUUGUGUUCACAUGCAAAAUUAAGACACAGUUGGUUAGGGAGUUCGAUAUGAAAGACUUGGGACCAACAAACAAGAUUUUAGGGAUGUAAAUUCACUGAGAUAGAAAAGAUAGAAAGAUUUGGUUUUCUCAAAAGAAUUGUAUAAGGAAAGUCUUGCGGCACUUCAACAUGCAAGACUGUAAGCCAAUCUCUACCCCACUUUCUAUGAAUUUUAAACUAUCCACAUGUAUGAGUCCUAGCAAUGAAGCAGAGAGGAUGUAAAUGUCUCGAAUACCGUAUGCAUCGGCGGUGGGAAGCCUUAUGUAUGCCAUGAUAUGUACAAGAUCAGAGAUUGCACAAUUAGUGGGAGUGGUUAGUCGGUUUAUGACAGAUCCUUAUAAAGAGCAUUGGAAUGUUGUUAAGAGAAUCAUGAGGUACAUUAAAGGAACCUCAUGUGUUGCAAUAUGUUUCGGAGGAUCAGAGUUAAUUGUCAUGGGUUAUGUUGAUUCAGAUUUUGCCGGUGAUCAUGAUGAAAGAAAAUCUUUUACUGGUUACGUGUUCAUGCUUGCGAGAGGAGCAGUAAGUUGGUUAUCCAAGUUACAAACUGUUGUAGCUAUGUCAACGUCAGAAGCUGAGUACAUGGCAGCUACCCAAGCAUGCAAGGAAGCUAUUUGGAUGCAAAGGUUAAUGGAGGUACUCGGGCACAAGCAGGAGCAAAUUACUGUGUAUUGUGAUAGUUAUAGUGCCUUGCAAAUCCAACUUUUCGUUCAAGGAUGAAGCACAUAGGUGUUCAAUAUCAUUUUGUUCGAGUAGUGUGGAGGAGGGAGUGUGAAUAUGCAUAAGAUUCACACCAAUGAUAACCUAGCAGAUGUAAUGACAAAGUCGAUCAAUGCUGACAAGUUUCUAUAGUGUCGAUCCUCAUAUGGCCUAUUGAAAAUGUAGCAACGGAAGUUGGCGAGGUAGAGAGAUUUUGAAUUCUAAAAAAUGUAGCUUUAAGUGGGAGAUUGUGAACAUGGUAAAGCCAAUAUUGUUGACUAUUGAAUGUCAUGGCUGAAAGUCAGUGGCAAUUUGUUAAGUAAUGGCUUAUGGUUCUUCUUGUGUUCACAUGCAAAAUUACUGCACCAAAGUUGAAAAUACUACCGUGCCAUAAAUGUAAAUGGUUGGGGCAUGGUUCUUUCACUCCUAUAAAUAGCAUGCUCUUGCACCAUUCUAAAUCAUCCCAUCAUAGAACAAAUUAACACAAUAACAAGUGUUUUGUUCUAGUAAAGUUAGAGAGAAAGAAAAAUAGUUUCUCUUGUAAGGUUUCUCCUAGGUAGUGUUAGUAUUCUCCUAUUUAUAGGAAACGGUGGUAAUUGUACUCUCCUUGCAUUUAGAGAGAUGUCCUGUAAUUUCUUCCACUUUGUGAAAGUUCUCUAUUCUUCUCUUGUGGUUUUUCCCCUUAUUUAAUGAGGGGUUUCCACGUAAAUAUUGUGUGUUCAAUUCCUCUUUUGUCGUCUCUUAUUUUAAAUGUGUGAUAAUAUUUUGUUACUCUGGUAUCCAACAUACGACGACUUUGGUCCACUAAAAUUUUCGAUGUCAUUUCUGGAGGCAGCCAAAUCCAUUGAAAAUGAUACCAUAUGAAAACGACAUUACUCACAUAUUUUCCUGCGGUCAAUAUGAUAUUGGUGGCAGCUUUUUCCCCGCAAACGUUUCCGACGACCUCUAACCCACAUAAAUAAAUGAAAAAUGGAGUUGAGAUCUCUCCAUUUAUUAAAAUAAAUGGAGAUUAUCAUUAUGAAAGGGAAAAUGUUAUUUUUCUAGAAAAAUAGCAUCAAGAAUUUUUCAAGACACAACUGGCAAGUUUUAAUUGCAUUAUUUAUUUGUUCACUUCCUAUUUUUCAGCCACACCUCUUUGAAUUGUCAGCCACACCUCUUUGAAUUGUGGCAAAUAGUGCAUUGUGAUCGGCUACUAUUUAUUCUUGAAGAAUUCUUGAUGUCAUUUUUCUAGAGAUAUAACAUUGCUCUUAUGAAAGAGAUAAGACACAAAACAUUAGUUGUGGGUUCUAUCAUUAAAUGGAUCCUACUAUCAUUAAUUAUUUUUAAAAUUGUGUCUUUCUCUCUUUAAAUGAAAGAAAUGGAGAAGAUGUUAAAUGGAGGGGAUCUUAACUCGCCGAUAAGCACCGUGAAGCUGCUGAUACCAUUGUGGCGGACAUAGCCACCAGUAACACACAAAAAGCGGGAAAUUUCAAAUUUUCUUAUUUUUUAAGUGGUCAAAAUUUGUCGUUAAGCACCCUGACUAGUAAUGCACCUCUGCCGCAGGAAAUGACCCUAUGGAAAUGGUUUCCCUUGAAUGUUUCUUGCUCGAACUCCUUUUUCAUCGUGGCCGGAAACAAAUAAUGUCGGUGCCAGUAACGACCUUAAUUUCUACCAUUCACCUCUUAAUAUUAUUUUUUUCAUAUCAUAUUUUUUUUCUUCUUCAAUUCAAUCUAUACUAGAAUAUCAGAUAUGUUUAUAUGAUUAUCUUUUCAGUUUUGGUAUCUAAACUAAGGGGUCAUUUGCUUUCUAAACUCAAUCCAUACAUAUACAUAUACUCCAUAGUUCAUACAAAGUUGCACACAACACAAUGGAUGGAGGAUCAUAAAACUACUAUGAGGAUGACCCUUGAUUUGAAUCAUCUAAUGUGGACAGUUGGUUGAAUAUGAUAGAGUAACAACAGGACUGUUAUUGCGUGUUGAUAAUUUUAUGACAAACGGUAAUGCACUACGAUGAAGUAUAAAGAGAGAAUGAAUAAAAUAGACAUGGUGUGCCAAUAAACAAUGUAAAGAAUGAAGAGUAGGUUGAAUCGAAACUCAAAUUCAAUGCAGAUUGAUAUUUUUUUUCCGAAAAAUACGACGAUCGAAUUGGCAGAGAGAGAGAGAGAAAAAAGAAAUAAGAGAUUUUGAAAUUAAAAAGGGAAAACCAAGUGAUUCUCUCCAUUUGGCAGCAAGACUAUAAUUAGAAAUAUAAACAACUUUCUUGUUAGGAUCACAUAUGUAAUACUCUUUCCUUACCCUAACAUCUUGUUGAUGAAAUCUACAAGUUCCUUUGAUCAUCUCAUCCAAAACAUGAGUUGAAAUUCCAUGAUUUAUUACUUGAAAAAAAAAAAAAAACCUCUUCUCAAAUGCAUUUUGAACCUUUCUCACAACUUUGUCUCUCAAAACAGGACCAUCAUGGAUUCCUAGUAAAUCAUUUUGAAUUUGAUUCACUGACUGAAACAUCAUUGGUAUUAGAUUCUCCACAAUUAUGCGUUAAUUGAGAUUCAUCCAUGAUUAAUAUACAUAUCUUGGAAGAUAUCCCUGUCAAGAAUUUCAUCUAGAAAAUGCACCGAUAAUUUAGAGGGAAAUUCUUUGUAGUAAAGCAUACAUCUACCUUGUGUACCUUCACAUGAAAAAUAUUCUAGUUUCACUAAACAUGAUGUUUUAAAAUCAAAACCAAUGUACUUAGCAAUAUUAUAGUUGCAACACAUAAGCAUAGCACAAAUUUCAAGUCCAAAAUUAUGACCUACAAUCAAAUUGAAAAAUGGUAUUAUUAGGUCGAAAGAAAACACUUGUAUAUGUGGAAAUCAGUUAUUUAUGUCGAAAGAAAGGGAAAAAAGAUGCAGAUGAAUGAUUCUAUGUCAAAAAUGACCUAAAACCACCCCUUCUCAAUGAGUUAAAGAUAAAGAAAACUUAAAGAGAGUUGGAGUUUCUCUCACUUAAAAACGGCCGACUAUUUUUCACAUAACUUCUUCAUAAUGAUUAACUAAUCUUCACAAUAAUGGUUUUUUUGUUGUAGGUUAUAAUUUUAAAAUGUCUACAUACAAUGAAGCAAUGUCGCCUCUUGAUGUAUAUAGUGAUAUAGAUGAAGUGGUAUUUAAUAGCGUUAAUGACGUUGACACUAACACAGUGAUACUAGAAGUUAAUAGCGGCAACGAUGUUCGUACUGAUAGAGAUACAGGCGAUAUGAAAUUCAACCAUGGUAAUGGUGUUUGCAGUGAGCAAUUGAAAAGAGAAUUCUAAUGGCUACAAAUGCAUCAGUGAUGUGACCAAUGAUGAAAUAAUCGGUAGACAGUUGUUAAUAGCACAAAACAAUCUGUAGAUGAAAUAAACGAAAUAAUUGUGCCGAGCGUAACACCAAAACGUUCACAAAAUGCUGAUGUCAAAAGUUUGUACGAAAUUUUGCAAAAAUUUGCUAAAGAAAAAGAUUCGUAAGAGAAAGAACAUAGAGGUUGCAAAGAAUCUACUAAAAAUCACAAUGUCAGGAAAUUGUAUUCAACUAAAGUAUAAACUACUCCCGUUGUUUCAACCAAAACACCCUUAGGUUACAACAUAAUAUCCUCAGAAGGAAAGGAAUCUGACUCAAAAUUAAUUGAAGCUCUUUGGGAGAAUAUUUUAUGAAACUUUUAUAACAUACUGUGUAGUAUUCUCACGAUGAGUCAAUCAAGUAUAAAUAUUACUCCUAAUAUUUAUAUCUACGUACAGACUUAAUAUUUCAUAUUCAUAACUCCUGUCUCUUGAGAUAUGGUCAUCAGUCUACAUACAUAAUAGUCUCUACGUUUUAUUAUUAUCUCAAUUUAUACUAAAACUUGACUACUUAUACUUGACUACAAAUACUUUUAAGAAUAAUAUUCUUUCUGUUAAUGUAAUCUCAUGAUUAAGUCACACUUAAUGUUCCAUCACAUGAACUAUAUAUUCUAAGGACUUUAUUAAUUUUACAAUAAGUAUAAUAAAAGAAUGUCUUAUUUUGUUUAAUAAUAAAAGUCAUGAUACAUAUAAUAAGUUUAAGGCUUAAUUGCCCUUUUGGCCCCCUAUGUUUUAAGAAGUUGCGAUUUUGGCCCCCUAACUAAUUAAAAUACAAAAUAGCCCCCUAUGUAUUGGAUUUUUGGCAGUUUUGGCCCCCUAACUGAUUAAAAUACAAAACAGCCCCCUAUGUAUUGGAUCUUUGGCAGUUUUGGCCCCCUAGACCAAUUUUGACUCGGUCAACGCUGACGUGGCACUUCAAAGGCACCACAUGUGCAUUGUUUUAAUUAAAAAUAAAUAAAAAAAAUCCACAUAUAACUUAAAGAAUUAAAUAAAUGAAAAAAACAACAAAUAAUUAAAAAAAAAAGAAGGAAAUUGUGCUCCAAAAUCUGAUUCUAGCUCUUCUUCCUCUCAUCUCUCUCUAAAACACUGAUUCAAGAACCUGCUCCAUUGACAGAAGCAUGGAAAAAGUGAAAAAAAUGAUGAGUAGCUCAAUGCAAGCACGAUAAUGAAAUAAUCUUCUAUUGAACGAAACGAAAGUUUCGUUUUUAUCAAAAGAAAAAGGAGCAUAUCACAUGCACUUUGACAUAUAUAAAAUGCACAAAACAAGGCAGGUAUUAGUUGCAUGUUGCUUAUACAUAACUUGAAUAAGAAUUACACCUCCAUUGUUCCCUAACAAUUCAAUAGCCUGAUAUAUUUAUCAUAUAAAUUCUUUUUUUUCCUCUGUUACUCUGUCAUUUCCUAUCUGUAUAUUUAUUAUAAACUGCUCAGUUAUUUGUUAAUUUGCAGUUAUAAAUGCAAUAUUAUCAGUGUCAGCAUGAAUAAUGCAAGAAUAUCUGAAUAAUCUUUGAUAAUAUGAAUAUCUAUUCUUGAAUCAAUUCUUGAAUCAAUUAAAAAGUGGUUUAAAACUCCUCAUCUGAGACACAAUAACUUCUACAUGUUAUCUUGAAUGCAUGAAUAAGAACUCCCUGUAUUGUCAAUUUGAUGAUCUCCCAAAAAAAUCAGAACAAUCACAUACUUUUUACAUUAUUAAAAGUAGGGUUAAAUAUGUUUUUGGUCCCUAUAAAUAUGGCAAUUUUUCAUUUUAGUCCCUCUAAAAUUUUUCUUCAACCUUUAGUCCCUAUAAAAUUUUCAAUCUUCACUUUUGGUCCCUCUUUUAAAGUAAACUCAUAUGUAGAAUUCAUAUUUCUAAAUAUAAUCUUCCAGAAAAAUUCAAAAUAUUAUAAGAAUUACUCUAAAAAAUUUUUAGAAUUUUUUAACAAAACAUGAAUUUAAUAUGAAUUUUUAUAUUUUUUACGGUUAAAAAUUCAUAUUUAAUUUGUGUUUUGUUAGAAAAUUCUAAUUGUUUUUAGGAAAUUCUUUUAGAAUAUUUUACACAUUUCUGCACAAUUUCAUUAAAACAUACAAAAAUUAAAUUUAAAAUAGGGACCAAAAGUAGUGAUUGAAAAUUUUAUAGGGACUAAAAAUUGAAGGAAAAUUUUAGAGGGACUAAAACAAAAAGUUGACAUAUUUAUAGGGACCAAAAACAUAUUUAACCCUUAAAAGUAUAAUGAUAAUUUCUAUUUAUAUUUACUCAUCAACUCUAUUCCUGAAUGCUACAACUAGUUUGUUGGAACAAAAUGUGUUUCACAAUGAACCUUAAUGAGUUUUGAUGAUAACAAGGUAUUAAAAAUUGUCAAUUGGUUAUUACUAAUAAUUGUUUAAGUAUACAGGACCAAAAGCUAGUAAAGUAAUUUCAAUAGGUCUUGGAAGAACAGUGGAAAGCAAAGGAAUACUAAGCAUCUGAAGAAAACUGCGUCUGAAGCUUAAAGUGCUUCUGAAGCUGAAGUGCAUCUGGAGUGAUGACGUCAUCAGAAGCAGAAGCUCAUCAGAAGCAAGGUUUUCAUCAGAAGCGAUAUCAUCACCAGAAGCUACAUUUAAUCCGUAAAUUCAAACUCAAGAUCCAAAGUAGCUGUUUCUCAUUUCAACAUUAUCUAAGAAGAACGAAGAAUUGAAAGGGAGGUAUCAACGGUCAUUUGGAUAGCACUGAGUAUCUGUCCUUCGUUAACAGAGUUGACAAAGUACAAGUGUACAACCACUACCUCCACUACUCUGUUUUGUCCACGCUACAAGACAAGACAACAGCUAUGCCUGCAGAAUUUGUGCCUUCAAGAUGGGAAUGAAUUUGAAGUUAAUUCCUCAAAGGACUACACCCAAAUCAGGCAAAGGAUUACUGGUGAAUGAUCAAAGGAUUUCAAACGACUCUUUAGACGUGCUAAUCAUCUCAACGUCUCUUUCACACCUCUAUAUAAAGGAGUGAAGACUUGAAGAUUGUAGAUAGAGAUACACAAGUUAAAAAGCGCCAAAACUCUGUCAAUUUGAUUCUACAAAGCACACUGAAUUUUUGCACUGAUUUGAUACAUCUUAGAAAUUCAAAAGUCUAGAGUCUUUAACGUAUUAUAUUGUGAACACCACUAAUUGUAUAUCAAGUGUUCAAGUCAAACUUAUAUCAUUGUAUUUUUGUUUGAUCAGAAGCCUUUUGCCUGCGUGCUUGAGCAUUAGAAGACUCUUGCUUAGUGCUUGAGCAUUGGAAGACUCUUGCGUGUGUGCUUGAGCAUUUUUGAGAAGUCUCAUACUUAGAGAGUAUUGAGCAUUUGCAAUCUUUGUGAUUAUAGUGAAAUCUCCUUGGAAGUGCAAGGGGGACUGGACUACUUCCGAUUUGUGGAAGGAACCAGGAUAACUGCUUGUGUCUUGCCUUUCUUUUCUCUGCUUUGAUCUUUUUCGCUGCAUAUCUGAUUCUGAUCAUUUCAUCAGAAGCAUUCACAAACUACUUCUGAAGUUUUAUCAGAAGAAGAUUUUUUUAGAGAGAAAAAGAAAACACAAUUCAACCCCCCCUUCUUGUGUUUUUCUCACCUUCAAUUGGUAUCAGAGCUUGCUCUGUUAUCAUAGCACUUAACCGUGUGACAGAUCAAAAUCCAAGAAAAACAUGUAUGAUGGAGAGGAAUCAACUACUUCUAUAAAAUACAAUAGUGUCAAACAUGACUAUGAUACUGCUGAAAGGAAAUCAGAUUCUGGAAAAGCUUCAAAGUUCAAUGGAGAUCCAGAAGAGUUUUCAUGGUGGAAAACCAAUAUGUACAGCUAUAUCAUGGGAUUGGAUGAAGAACUAUGGGAUAUUCUUGAAGAUGGAGUUGAUGAUUUGGAUUUGGAUGAAGAAGGAGCUGCUAUUGACAGAAAAAUACACACUCCUGCUCAGAAGAAGCUUUAUAAAAAGCAUCACAAGAUCAGAGGAAUUCUUGUUGCUUCUAUUCCUCGUGCUGAAUACAUGAAGAUGAGUGAUAAAUCCACUGCUAAGGCAAUGUUUGCAUCACUCUGUGCCAACUACAAAGGAAGCAAGAAGGUUAGAGAAGCAAAGGCCCUAAUGCUAGUUCAUCAGUAUGAGCUGUUCAAGAUGAAGGAUGAUGAGAGUAUAGAGGAGAUGUACUCAAGAUUUCAAACUUUAGUAUCUGGACUGCAAAUACUGAAGAAGAGCUAUGUUACUUCUGAUCAUGUUAGCAAGAUUCUCAGAAGCUUGCCUUCUAGAUGGAGACCCAAAGUAACUACUAUUGAGGAAGCUAAGGAUCUAAACACUUUGAGUGUUGAAGAUCUUGUCAGUUCCCUCAAGGUACAUGAAAUGAGUCUGAAUGAGCAUGAGUCCUCUAAAAAGAGUAAAUCUAUUGCUCUACCAUGUAAAGGAAAGUCUUCUAAAUCUUCCAAAGCUUACAAGGCCAGUGAAUCUGAAGAAGAAUCACCUGAUGGAGAUUCUGAUGAAGAUCAUUAUGUGAAGAUGGCUAUACUGUCUAACAAGCUUGAGUAUUUGGCAAGGAAGCAGAAGAAGUUUUUGAGCAAGAUGGGUGGCUAUAAGAACUCCAGGAAAGAAGAUCAGAAGGGGUGCUUCAACUGUAAGAAGCCUGGUCAUUUCAUUGCUGAUUGCCCUGAUCUUCAGAAGGAGAAGUCUAAAAGCAGACCCAAGAAACCAAGCUUCAGCUCUAGCAAAUUCAGAAAGCAAAUCAAAAAGAGUUUGAUGGCGACCUGGGAAGAUAUGGACACUGAAUCUGGUUCUGAUAAAGAAGAAGCAGAUGAUGAUGCAAAAGCAGCCAUGGGGUUAGUGGCAACAAUAUCAUCGGAAGUAGUAUCAGAAGCUGAAUCAGAUUUAGAAGAUGAAAAUGAGGUAUAUUCCAAGAUCCUCAGACAAGAACUUUUUGAUUCUCUAAAAGAACUCUUAUCACUAUUUGAACACAGAACCAAUGAGUUAUCUGAUUUAAAAGAAAAAUAUGUUGAUUUAAUGAAACAACAAAAAACAACUCUAUUGGAACUGAAAGCUUCUGAAGAAGAACUCAAAGGGUUUAACUUCAUAUCAACAACAUAUGAAGACAGACUCAAGAUUCUUUGUCAGAAGCUACAAGAAAAAUGUGAUAAAUGUUCAGGCAAUAAACAUGAAAUUGCCUUGGAUGAUUUUAUUAUAGCUGGCAUAGACAGAAGCAAAGUUGCUUCUAUGAUCUACAACACAUACAAAAACAAUGGCAAAGGGAUUGGAUAUUCUGAGGAUAAAUCCAAAGAAUACAGUCUCAAGAGCUACUGUGAUUGUAUCAAGGAUGGAUUGAAAUCCACCUUUGUGCCUGAAGGUACUGAUGCUGUAACUGCUGCUCAGUCAGAACCUGAAACUUCUGGUUCUAAGGCUAAGAUCACUUCAAAACCAGAAAACCUCAAGUCUAAGGUUAUGACAAAAUCUGAUCCUAAGACUCAAAAGAUAAAAAUUCUGAAAAGAUCAGAACCUGUUCCUCAGAGUCUGAUUAAACCAGAAUCUAAAAUCCCAAAGCCAAAGGAUCAGAAGAACAAAACAGUUACUGCUUCUGAGAAAACAAUACCUAAAGGUGUUAAACUUAAAGUAUUGAGUGAUCAGAAGCUACUCAGCACUCACCCCAAGGUACAAGGGAGGAAAAGUAAAACCUCCAGAACUAACCCAAAAGGACCCAUGAAGAUAUGGGUACCUAAAUCUGAAUUGGUUAAAACUGCAGGUGUGCCUAAGGGCAAGAGAGAAACAAAGGUCAUGGUACCUAGACAGCGGGUGUUCAAGGCACAUGAUUGGAGAGAAAGCUUUGUUCCUUACCCUUACCAUGAAAGAUGGAGGAGAAGUGAAGUUUGGUGGCAACCAAACUGGAAAAAUCAUUGGUACAGGUACUAUUGGUAAUUCCUCCAUUUCAAUUAAUAAUGUGUGGCUUGUAGAUGGUCUGACGCAUAACCUAUUGAGCAUUAGUCAAUUUUGUGACAAUGGGUAUGAUGUAAUGUUCAGUAAGACCAACUGCACACUAGUCAACAAGGAUGACAAAUCCAUUUCAUUCAAGGGAAAGAGAGUUGAGAAUGUCUACAAAAUUAAUUUCUCUGAUCUGGCUGAUCAGAAGGUAGUUUGCCUUCUGUCAUUGAAUGAUAAAAAGUGGGUAUGGCAUAGAAGGUUGGGACAUGCUAAUUGGAGAUUAAUUUCUAAAAUUAGCAAGUUACAACUUGUCAAAGGAUUGCCUAACAUUGAUUAUCAUUCAGAUGCACUUUGUGGUGCAUGUCAGAAAGGGAAAAUUGUGAAAAGUACUUUCAAAUCCAAAGACAUUGUAUCAACCUCAAGACUCUUAGAAUUACUCCAUAUUGAUCUUUUUGGACCAGUUAAUCCUGCAUCUUUAUAUGGAAGUAAAUAUGGAUUAGUCAUUGUUGAUGAUUACAGCAGAUGGACUUGGGUAAAAUUCAUUAAAAGUAAAGACUAUGCAUGUGAAGUGUUUAGCAGCUUCUGCACUCAAAUACAAUCUGAAAAAAAAUUGAAAAUUUUGAAAGUCAGAAGUGAUCAUGGUGGAGAAUUUGAAAAUGAGCCAUUUGAAUCUUUUUGUGAAAAACAUGGGAUUCUCCAUGAAUUUUCUUCUCCUAGAACUCCACAACAAAAUGGGGUUGUAGAGAGAAAGAACAGAACCUUACAAGAAAUGGCCAGAACCAUGAUCCAUGAAAACAAUUUAGCUAAACAUUUCUGGGCAGAAGCAGUUAAUACUUCAUGUUAUAUUCAAAAUAGGAUCUAUAUCAGACCUAUGUUGGAGAAAACUGCAUAUGAACUCUUUAAAGGAAGAAGACCCAAUAUCUCUUACUUUCAUCAGUUUGGAUGUACCUAUUACAUUCUAAACACUAAAGACUAUCUGAAUAAAUUUGAUGCCAAGGCUCAAAGAGGAAUCUUUUUAGGUUACUCUGAAAGGUCAAAGGCGUACAGAGUGUAUAAUUCAGAAACACAUUGUGUUGAAGAAUCUAUGCACGUUAAAUUUGAUGAUAGAGAGCCUGGAAGUAAAACUCCAGAGCAAAGGGAAAGUAAUGCAGGUACAACUAAUUCUGAAGAUGCAUCAGAAUCUGAUCAACCUUCUGAUUCUGAAAAGCAUCCAGAAGUUGAAUCUAGUUCAGAAGCUGAACAUACUCCAGAAGCUGAGUCUAUUUCAGAAGCAGAAUCUAGUCCAGUAAUACAGAAUGAUAAUGCUUCUGAGGACAUUCAAGAUAACACUCACAGGUUAUUCAACCAAAAUUCAAGCACAAAUCUUCACAUCCUGAGGAGCUAAUCAUUGGAAGCAAAGAUAGUCCUAGAAGAACAAGAUCACAUUUCAGACAAGAAGAAUCUUUGAUAGGUUUGCUUUCAAUAAUUGAGCCUAAAACUGUUGAAGAAGCUCUCUCAGAUGAUGGAUGGAUAUUAGCUAUGCAAGAAGAGCUAAAUCAGUUUCAGAGGAAUGAUGUGUGGGAUCUGGUACCCAAACCUUGUCAGAAGAACAUUAUUGGAACAAAAUGGGUAUUCAGAAACAAGCUGAAUGAACAAGGAGAAGUAACCAGAAACAAAGCUAGACUUGUUGCACAAGGUUACAGUCAACAAGAAGGCAUUGAUUACACUGAAACAUUUGCUCCAGUUGCAAGAUUGGAAGCAAUCAGGUUACUUCUAUCCUACGCAGUUAAUCAUGACAUAAUAUUAUAUCAAAUGGAUGUCAAAAGUGCUUUUCUUAAUGGUGUCAUUGAAGAAGAAGUGUAUGUCAAACAACCUCCUGGGUUUGAGGAUCUUAAGCAUCCUGACCAUGUUUAUAAACUUAAGAAAUCACUAUAUGGCUUGAAACAAGCUCCCAGAGCUUGGUAUGAUAGGCUAAGUAAUUUCUUAAUUAAAAAUGAUUUUGAAAGAGGACAAGUUGACACAACACUCUUCAGAAGGACUCUUAAGAAAGACAUUUUGAUUGUGCAAAUAUAUGUUGAUGAUAUAAUAUUUGGUUCUACUAAUGCAUCUCUUUGCAAGGAAUUUUCUAAGUUAAUGCAGGAUGAAUUUGAAAUGAGCAUGAUGGGAGAAUUGAAAUUCUUUCUUGGAAUUCAAAUCAACCAAAGUAAAGAAGGAGUAUAUGUUCAUCAAACAAAAUAUACAAAGGAGCUUCUGAAGAAGUUCAAGCUAGAAGAUUGUAAAGUGAUGAACACUCCAAUGCAUCCAACCUGCACCUUAAGCAAAGAAGAUACUGGAACUGUAGUAGACCAGAAGCUAUACAAAGGUAUGAUUGGUUCUCUAUUAUACAUCACUGCAUCUAGACCUGAUAUUUUAUUCAGUGUACGCUUGUGUGCAAGAUUUCAAUCAGAUCCUAGAGAAUCUCAUUUAACUGCAGUUAAGAGAAUCUUCAGGUAUCUGAAAGGAACAACUAAUCUUGGACUCCUGUAUAGGAAAUUCCUAGAUUAUAAGUUAAUUGGAUUCUGUGAUGCUGAUUAUGUUGGUGACAGGAUUGAAAGAAAAUCAACCAGUGGAAAUUGUCAAUUCUUGGGAGAGAAUCUGAUAUCCUGGACAAGCAAAAGACAAGCAACUAUUGUUAUGUCUACAGCAGAAGCAGAAUACAUUUCAGCUGCAAGUUGUUGCACACAACUACUUUGGAUGAAACAUCAGUUGGAAGAUUAUCAGAUUAAUGCUAACAGUAUUCCCAUCUUUUGUGAUAAUACUGCUGCUAUUUGUUUGUCUAAGAAUCCAAUUCUACAUUCUAGAGCCAAGCAUAUUGAGAUCAAACACCAUUUUAUCAGAGACUAUGUUCAAAAAGGAAUUUUAGAUAUACAAUUCAUUGAUACUGAACAUCAAUGGGCUGAUAUAUUUACAAAACCUUUAUCUGUUGAAAGAUUUGAUUUUAUUAAGAAAAAUUUGAACAUGCACUUUGUGUCUGAUUGAAAAUUUGCUUGCCUCUGAAUAAGAAGUUUGGUUCUGAAGUCCAUUCAGAAGCAUCUGGUCCAUCAGAAGCUCUUAACUGAAGUUCUGAGGAAAAUGUGCUUUUGAAGAUGAUGUCAACACUAAAACUUCAGAAGCGGUAUUCUUUGCUUCUGAAUAGCAUGGCUAGUGGGAUCGUUUUCUGAAAAGUUUCUGACGUGGUCUAUUUGUAUUGGAGUAUAACAAAAAGGACACUGAUGUUUUAUUUGCUUUUAAACAUACUAACACGCGCCCCCAAUUUGUCAUUAAUGCUAUGUUUGUUUGUCUCAUUUGAAUUGCAAACGUUUUUGAUAAAAACACUUAAACAAACACACACUACUCACUUCACAACUCACACUUUCAUUUCUUUUCAAACCUUCUCUGCUAAGAAACUCCAAAAACCCUAGAAACCCUUUUCAUCUUCAAUCAAUUUUAUGGCUUCUUCAAGUUUUGCACCUGAUUCAUCAUCAAACAUGCAACAAGAAGAGGCUCCUGCCUACGUAAUUAAAGGAAGAACCAUGUCAUUGGAGGAAUGGGAUUUGAAGAUUCAAUUAGAAAAUCCAGUGGAUUUUGUUUCUUUGGCCGCUCACAACUGCGAUAUUGGAAGUUUCUACGAAGCGCAAGGCUUGGGGAGCUACUUCAAUUUUCUGAACGGUCCAACUUAUCAAACUUUGGUACGACAUUUCUAGGUUAGAGCCAGUAUCUUUGAUAGAGAUGCUGCUAAGAUUGAAGAAGAUGAAAAAGUUCUUCUCAAUCCAGAACUCAAGGGUAAAUCCAGAGAGGAAAUAGGCUUGGAGCCAUUUACUAAAACUCAGAUUCGAUCAAGCAUCAUGGGGAUUCCUGUAUGGAUCAAUGAGGAUGUGAUUGCUUUUGUCCUCAGAAGACCAGCAGAAGGAGAUUAUAAGGCUGAAAUCACUAAGCCCAAGGAUAGCCCCUGGAAUGAUGUUGUGAAUAAAACUCUCUACAACAAGGUCAAGGACUUUACCUAUGCAGAUAUGAAUGCCAAGACCAAAGUGAUGCUGAAAAUUCAAAAUGACAACCUACUACCAAAAGGUGGUGGUAGUGAUCAACCAUCUCUGGAACACAAAAUCCUCUUACACUUUUUCAUAACUGGUGUAAAGGCAAAUGUGCCCAGAUACAUUUUCAGACAUAUGGUACAACAGCUCAGAGAGAGCCAGCUGAAGAAUAGGUGCUGGGUACCCUAUGGGAGGCUACUCUCUGAGAUUUUUCAUCAAGGAGGUAUCAUCAAGAUGCUGAAGGAGGCAGAAUUCUUCACAGAUGAACAGUUGGGAACUGUUAGAGGAAGAUUAUGAAUGCUGAAACUUUGAGGUCCAUGCGUCUGAUUGAUGUAAAAUAUCUUAAGAAACUACCCACAGAUUUGAAGGCAUCUGAUGCCAAAUCAGCAUUGAUUCCAAAUUUUCCCCCCAUCUGUAAGCAAGAUCCUUUGGAUGUUCAGAUGAACUUUAUCAGAGAACAUUUUGAAAGGACAAGGGAGAAGAUCAGCCUGAAAGAUGUGCCUGAACAGAUGUUUGGAGGUAUUCUUCCUGUUGCCAAGAGCAGGAAAUCAAAGAGCAGGCCCCUUUCAAAAGAAGAGUACUUGGAAGAAGAAGAGGCUAACAGGAAACCUUCCAAGAGGACCAGAAAAGAAACCAAGGUUGAGGUUGCAGCACAAAAGCCCAAGAAAUCCAAAACAAUUGUCUCUGCUUCUGAAGAAGCUGCUGCUUCUGAAGAAGUUCCUGUUUCUGAAGAAGUUGUUCAGAAGCAAAAAAACAACAAAUCUGAUGCUAGGGAAGCUGCUCUUCAAACCAUCAGAAACAAGAGAACAAGAAAUCUGAAGACUUCUGAAGGAAGCACGGAGGAACGUGUUGAACAGUUAGGAGCUUUGGAAGAAGAGCCAAGUGCUAAGAAGGCUAAGAGUAAUAAGCCUAGUGUAAUGUCAAUGUUUGUUCCUACAGAAGAACAAUGGCAAUAUGCUAGAAAUUAUACUACUACUGAGUUGGCUAGGAGAAAGCAGUUAAGACAACAGAAGAAAAGGGAGGAACAACUCAAGGCUGCAGGGUAUAAGUUUGCUCCUGAGAAGGCUGCUGAGUUUGUUGCUUUAGCUGCUGAAGUUGAACAAGAAACUGUCCAGGAAGGAGUAAAAUUGUUAUCUCAAGCUUUGAAAGAUAAGCAUGCUUCAGGAGCUACUUCAUCAGAACCAGCAUCUAAAGCUCCAGAAGCAGCUCAUCCAGAAGCUCACUCUUCAGGUACUUCCUUAAAAGCUAAAGUCAAUACUCAGAUUCCUGACCUUCCAUCUUCACCCUCAUCAUCAUCCACUGAAUCAGAUGACAAACCUCUAAGUCAGCACAUUGAAAAACUCCUAAACCGCAAACCUACCAAACUAACAACCUAUGUAUCAAUUGAUUAUGAGCAGACCCAAAUUGAAUUCUCUAAACAGAGGAUAAAAAUCUGUGAAAAAUUCAAUUUACCUGCUGAUCACUUCUUUCAACCAUCUAUUCCAGAAGCUGUUAGUAUACAAUUUCCUGAAACCAACCCACAAAAUAACCAAUCCCCACCAAAAGCCUCUGAAGUAGUUUCAGAAGCAACUACUUCAGAAAUCCCCCAACAACAAGGAUCAUCAACCCUUCACAACCUAGAAAAGCAUUUAGGUGGUGAAAUGCAACCUACACCCACAAAGGCCUCUAAGACAGUCCCUGAAAAGACUGUUUUGGAAAACCAACAAACAACCGCUCAAACUGAAACAAUUAUCCCUGAACAAACUGUUCCUGAACAGGUUGUUUCUGACCAAGAACAAGGUGCUUCUGAACAAUAUGUUCAUGAAUACAAUGUUUCUAACCAACAACAAACUACCACAGAACAACCCCAACCUAACACAGAACAACAACAACCAGAAUCACCAAAAAUUGACUUAACCACUCCUGAACAUCAAACAGCCUCUAACCAACCUUCUACAUCUCAAUCAACCAUUCCUGAAUCUUCACCCAUCCCAGACACCAUCCUGGAAUCUGAAUAUAUUGAUGAACAGCUUAUCAGGUUAAGUGAUGAGAUUCAGACACUGAUUCUUCUCAGAACAGUUCCUGUACCUCCCAUUCACUAUCUUGAUCAAUGGAUGGUUCUGAAAAAAGGCUUCAAUAAACUGCUAGAUCAACUGAGCACAAAAUGUGUCUCAUCUCACUCUGCUAUGCUGAAGAAAAUAUUGGAUGAUAUGCAUGAAGCAGCUAGAGUGAAAGAGCUUGAUUAUGUGCCUCUGUUAGCCAACACUCCUUUCUAUCCAGAAGCUGAUUACAUCUCAAGGGCUGAUAGAAUUCAAGAAGGGCUGAGAAGAAGACUGAGAGCCAAGGAUGAAGAACUUCAGAAGUAGUCUGAGCAGAUUAAAUACUUAUUGGAACAAGUGUCUAAGCUAUCCAAACCUUAGUUGCACACCAAUUCUUUUUGAAUGUUUAGAUCUUGUUUUAAGUAUUGCAUUGCUUUGACUAUGUAUUUUAACUGGUUUAUCAUUGCUUCUGAAUCAAUUCAAUAUUUCUCAUGCUAUUUUCAAGUUAUUGCUCUGAAAAUAAUUGCUAUAUUUGUUGUGUCAUUGGCUCUAAUACACUGUAUUUUAAAGUUUAUCCUUCUGUUGCUCUGAUACUCUUUCUUUUGUUUUUUUACUUACUUUUUGUUGAUGACAAAAGGGGGAGUAGAUGUAUAGUAUUUUUAAGGCUUUGAGCCCCAUCAAAUUAACUUUUUGAUAUGAGUUUUGCUCAAAACCACUUCUAAACCUUUUUUUUAAUACUUCUGAUUUUUCUAUGAGUAUUUUAUUGAAAUUUAAUUAAUGAGUAUAGAACUCAGGGGGAGCUUACAAACCUCUCCUUAAAGAUCUAUUAGACUCAGGGGGAGCUUACAAACCUCUAUCCCAGUAGUCAACUUAUUAAUUAAAUCAACAACAAUUGAACAGUUUAAAUACUAUUGUUUGUCAUCAUCAAAAAGGGGGAGAUUGUUGGAACAAAAUGUGUUUCACAAUGAACCUUAAUGAGUUUUGAUGAUAACAAGGUAUUAAAAAUUGUCAAUUGGUUAUUACUAAUAAUUGUUUAAGUAUACAGGACCAAAAUCUAGUCAAGUAAUUUCAAUAGGUCUUGGAAGAACAGUGGAAAGCAAAGGAAUUCUAAGCAUCUGAAGAAAACUGCGUCUGAAGCUUAAAGUGCUUCUGAAGCUGAAGUGCAUCUGGAGUGAUGACGUCAUCAGAAGCAGAAGCUCAUCAGAAGCAAGGUUUUCAUCAGAAGCGAUAUCAUCACCAGAAGCUACAUUUAAUCCGUAAAUUCAAACUGAAGAUCCAAAGUAGCUGUUUCUCAUUUCAACAUCAUCUAAGAAGAACGAAGAAUUGAAAGGGAGGUAUCAACGGUCAUUUGGAUAGCACUGAGUAUUUGUCCUUCGUUAACAGAGUUGACAAAGUACAAGUGUAACCACUACCUCCACUACUCUGUUUUGUCCACGCUACAAGACAAGACAACAGCUAUGCCUGCAGAAUUUGUGCCUUCAAGAUGGGAAUGAAUUUGAAGUUAAUUCCUCAAAGGACUACAUCCAAAUCAGGCAAAGGAUUACUGGUGAAUGAUCAAAGGAUUUCAAACGACUCUUUAGACGUGCUAAUCAUCUCAACGUCUCUUUCACACCUCUAUAUAAAGGAGUGAAGACUUGAAGAUUGUAGAUAGAGAUACACAAGUUAAAAAGCGCCAAAACUCUGUCAAUUUGAUUCUACAAAGCACACUGAAUUUCUGCACUGAUUUGAUACAUCUUAGAAAUUCAAAAGUCUAGAGUCUUUAACGUAUUAUAUUGUGAACACCACUGAUUGUAUAUCAAGUGUUCAAGUCAAACUUAUUUCAUUGUAUUUUUGUUUGAUCAGAAGCCUCUUGCCUGCGUGCUUGAGCAUUAGAAGACUCUUGCUUAGUGCUUGAGCAUUGGAAGACUCUUGCGUGUGUGCUUGAGCAUUUUUGAGAAGUCUCAUACUUAGAGAGUAUUGAGCAUUUGUAAUCUUUGUGAUUAUAGUGAAAUCUCCUUGGAAGUGCAAGGGGGACUGGACUACUUCCGAUUUGUGGAAGGAACCAGGAUAACUGUUUGUGUCUUGCCUUUCUUUUCUCUGCUUUGAUCUUUUUCGCUGCAUAUCUGAUUCUGAUCCUUUCAUCAGAAGCAUUCACAAACUGCUUCUGAAGUUUUAUCAGAAGAAAUUUUUUUUAGAGAGAAAAAGAAAACACAAUUCAACCCCCCUUCUUGUGUUUUUCUCACCUUCAUAGUUUACAUGUGUUUGAAAAAUAGAAUACCACUUUACUUCCUCGUGUUUCUGGUUACAAUUCGAAUACGAGAGAGAUUCAAUCGGAGCAAAUCCAUUGUAAAGCUUCAAGAUUUUGGAACAAAGGGUUUUGGAGAGAGAGAAUCAGUGUUUUAGAGAGAGAUGAGAGAAAGAAGUCGAAGAAUCAGAUUUUGGGACACGAUUUCCUUCCUUUUUUUAUUUUUUUUUAUUUUUUUAAUUAUCUGUUGUUUUUUUUCAUUUAUUUAAUUCUUUAAUUUAUAUGUUGUUUUUAUUUAUUUUUAAUUAAAACAAUGCGCAUGUGGCGGCUUUUAAGUGUCACAUCAUCUUUGACCGAGUCAAAAUUGGUUUAGGGGGCCAAAACUGUCAAAGAUCCAAUACAUAAGGGGCUGUUUUGUAUUUUAAUUAGUUAGGGGGUCAAAACUGCCAAAAAUCCAAUACAUAGGAGGCUGUUUUGUAUUUUAAUUAGUUAAGGGGCCAAAAUCGCAACUUUUUAAAACAUAGGGGACCAAAAAUACAAUUAAGCCUAAGUUUAAUAUAAACUACUGGCUUUUGGGGCUUACACCAACAACUCCAUAAUUUAUUAUUUGAAUAAAACAGGAUCAUCAUGGAUUCCUGGUAAAUCAAUUCUAGGGAUACUAAUCUUUGAAUUUUAUUCAUUGACUGAAACAUCGUUGAUAUUAGAUUAUCCACAAUUACGUGUCAAUUGGGAUUCAUCCAUGAUUGAUAUACAAAUCUUGGAAGAUAUCCCUGUCAAGUUAUUUAUCUAGAAAUGCACUGAUAAUUUAGACAAAAAAUAUUUGUAGUAAAGCAUACAUCUACCUUGUGUACCUUCACAUGACAAAUAUUCUAGUUUCACCUAACAUGAUGAUGUUUCAAAUCAAAACUAUUAUGACAUUCAUAUAUCGGAAAUUUUACCCUAUAUCUCUACAUUUAUACCUUUGAAAAAUUCUAAUAUGGUCACAUGAUCAAAGAAAUAGUGUUUGGUCAAACAUACAUGAAUAAGUAUUUUUUUACUCCCUUCGUCCCUUAAUGUAGGCACCCAUUUUCUUUUUCACAUUUUUUAAGAAAAAUUGUCGGUGUAAUUAAUGUGUCUGUUUUAUGUUAAUAUUACCAAAUUGUCAUUUGUUUGUAUGUGUAUAAAAUUUGACUUUUUAUAUUUCAAGAUAAAUUAGUAGUAUUAAUUAGGGGUAUGUUUAGGAAAACAAUAAUAAAUGCAUAUAGUAAUUUGAAAAGAGGUUUAGAUUUAGGGACAAAAAUAAAGUCAAAUGGGUGCUUAGAUAUAGGGACGGAUGGAGUAAUAAUAAAGAAGAAAUUGAUAAAAAAAGAUGAGUGAGUAUUUUGAGGAGAAUUUUUUAUGUGUGUGUCCAAACAUUAUUGAUUUGGUCUUGUGACCGUGGAAGAAUACCUCCUAUACCCUCACCCCUGCAUUUAAUAUGAGUUGUCUAUUUUACCCUUCUAUAUAAAGUUGAAACACCAAUUUUUUUUCCUAACAGUUCUUCAAAAAUUGUCUGUUCACCCCUCUCCCAACUGCAAAUAUUCUAGAAAAAACAUUCUAAGUUUUCCAGAACAACAAAUCGAUCCUUUUCGCGAUUUCACAUACAAAUAACACAAAAGGCAACGUUUACACAUGCUAUGAUUUGAUGAUUUGUAUCAAUUUUUAUUUGCCUUUCAUAAUAGAUCAAAUGAUAACAAUUUACAUGAUAUGUAUUUAUCACUGAUGUAAAUUUAGACUUGCUAGUAUGUGAAUAAGAAACUAAGAAAGGGAAGCUUUACAUGGUCAGAUCAGAUGAUAUGUGUCAGUAUUUCUUUGCCUUUUGAUCCGAUUCAGAUUUUCCAGUCUAAAAGCAUCACGUUUUUUGAAGUAUCUUAUUUUGUUCUUAGUAAUUGGUCAAGUAGCCUAGUGGCUAGUUUCACUAUACAAGAUGAUGUUUUGAAAUCAAAACAGCAAACGUUAGAAAUAGGCAUCUACUUGGCAAUGUAUUAUUUUGAAGACAUAAGCAUAGCAAAAAUUCCAAGUCCAGAUAAUUUUGCUCUACAAUCAUAUUGAAAAUUGUUAUUAUUUUCCAACUCAAAGCUUGAAAUGUUGAAGAACAGAAGUGCCAUCAAGCCCUUUUGCACAUAAGUAGGCUACAUAAUCAGCAAACGUGGUUUCUCUAUAUCUGGGAGGGUUGUCUUCUGAUAAUAAUUCUGUUAUAGGUCCAUAAAGCUUUUCAUGUGCUCUAAGUCCUGCCUUGAAAAAGCAUGCAACAGAUAUUCUUGGACCAAUGUCAUUUGCCAGUACUCUAUGUUCAACACUCUUGAAUUUAUCAUUUGUUAUAAGCUGUAGUUCAUUAAAAUUUAUAAUUAGAUAAAUUCGUGUUAAGGUUAUUUCCACAUAUAAGAAAAAAGUACUUUCUUAGCCGCACAAUGAAACGAUUCAUUUCUAAAAAAAAUCUACCACAAAAUUAUUAACAGUUUUAAUUUUCAAUGCAAUAUUACAACCCUAAUAGUAAAAUAGAGAACUUGCCUGCAGAAGAUCACCAAUAUUAACAACAAGAGCCUCGGGUACCGGUGGUACAUCGAUCCACUUUUCUUGGUAAAGAACUUGAAGACCACCAAUAUGGUCUUGGAGAAGCACUGUGAGAAAACUACCAUCAGAAUGUUUGGUGGUUCCCAUUGUUAAAUCUGGUUCAGGACAAGCAGGAUAGUAAUGACCAAGUAAUAUGUUCCCUUCACAACAAUCUAAGUCCUUUAAAUGGUUUGAAUGCAAUCCAAGAGCUUCUGAUAGUAAUUCAAAGAGUAUUGUUCCAAGUUUCAUUAGACGUGUUCCAUAUUCCAUAAGUAUAUCCCUACAAGAAUAUGAAAUCACCAAGCAAUAAAUUAAGUUCCCUAUAGUAGGAAUAUCAUGUUAUACUUAACCUUCUAGCCUUUUAUAAUUAGCUGUUUAAUUUCACUUAACAUCUUUGAUUGAUAAGUUUUUCAUGUUCAUUAGUAGAGUUUGGAGACACAUGAAACACUAACAUUAUAAUCACAAGAAUAGUUUAAAAAAUCAAGUAAUUAAAUGAAUGUAUCUGUAUGUGUUGGUGUUAUAUAUAGAUACGUGUAGGACACCAAAUACGCCUUUUUGGUGUUAGCUAGUUGGAGAUGGGACUAUUCAUGGUCUAGUUUAGAAAGGAAAAUCAACCCGAACAAAGUUGUUAUAACAAUUUCGUAAAAUUGAAACUGACUAUUAUUGGUUCGUUCUGAAUCGAUCUAGACUUAUAUAAAAGUACAAUUGAUGCAUCAAAUGUGUUUCCGAACCAAAACCACCUUAAUAGAUUUGAAAUAUACCUUUUCAAUCCGAACUGAUUCUUUGGGAACAACAACCUAUGAAAUUUAUGUUAUAAACGGAUAUUAGGACUGUUAAAAAAUCAAAAUUCGAACAAAAUGGGAUGACCGUGUAAAAACCUCAAAAACUGAUUUGCACCGAAAAUAACCAAACUGUUUUUUCACACACAAUACCGACCAAUUCUUUUUGGUGCGAUUUGGAUUAAUGAUUCAAUACAAUUUUUGGUUUUUUUAGCAGCCCGAUUUGGAGACAAUUUCUUACCUAUCUUGCCAAUUAAUAAAAUAUAUUCAAUAUUGAUGAAAGUGACCUAAAAUUUGAGGCCGUGUAUAUGGAUAAGACAUAUAGAGUUAAUGGUAUUUCAUAACUAAUCGAUUGAGCAGCAGCUCGUAGACCACACAAAAAGAAAUAUUUAUUAUUUGACCCAUAUCCUGACAUAAGAAGUCCAAGGGAGCAAUACUCAAAAGAUAAACAAGAACUCACCUGCAUACUACUGGCAAAUCUUCUAGUUUGGGGGCAUUAAGUGCAAAGUCACAUAUAAAAGUAUCCCUCCAAUUAAGUGCUGGUGAACUAUACAAAUCAAAAUUACUAUUAUAAACCAAUGGCCUUGUUUGAUCUCUAGUAUACAUCUCUUUCUUCACUUCAAUAUCUUGUUCAAAGAAUCUAAUCACUCCAUCUUUCAUAUCCUCAAGAACAUUUAUAGGAAUACCAUGAUUAACCACUUGAAAGAAACCCCAUGUCUCAGAUGCUUCCUUUAUUUUGCUUAUAAUUUCUUGCCUUGUAUUUGGAUCUUUGCCAAUAUUUGCUAAGUCUAUAAUAGGAAUAAUGUGUUGUGUGUUGGUUGAAUUUGUGGACUUUGAAAACUUAUCAGGUGGAUGGUGAAAUAAGGUUGGGAUUUUGAGAAUACCUUGAUCAACAAGGCCUUUAACACCAGCUUUUCUUUCAUCAAAUGCUUUGAGAUCCUGCAGCCUAUCAGAGUUGAAUUUGAAGUUGCCUUCAAUUUCAUCUUUAGCAGUAAACCCCAUCUUAGUUUCUUCAGUUUGCAGUGAGUGAAUAUAUAUAUAUAUAUAUAUAUAUACGGAAAAUGAUAACAAGUGCCUUUACGACAUUCUUUAAGCAUCUUACAUUAAAAAUUGUGUCAAUAUUACUGUUACAUGAUUUUAUCUUGUAUUAUAAACAAUUCCCGUAGGACAUUUAUUAACAAAACUAUGUAAAAUUGGUCAAAAAAAAAAAAAAACCAUGUAAAUUAUAAUCCAAAGAAUUAGAGACACAAAUUAUGAUCGCUAGAUCUAAUCAAACAAAUGUCCAUUAUAAAAAUGUAUUCUUGUUGUUUUUGAUUUGCCUACUUACCAAGGUUUGGAUUUUAAAAUUUCACCCCGUUGUACAAAUAGUACGACUAUAAUUCUUAACUCUUAAUCUGCACAUGAACACGAGGAGAUUGCGGAAUACAGGUUGUAAUCCUCUAACAUCAAGAAAAAGAUUAGUUAAAUACCACACUUUUGAAGUAUUUUAUUGAUAGUGGUUUAUUAGAUUGAUGUGGCCAGGAGGGUUUCCUUAAUAAUUUUGUGUAGUAUUUUUAUUUUAGCCUAAUUUUAAUAACUUUCUGUUUUUGUUUCACUUUGUUAUUUUCGGUCUAUGGUUUUUGUUAUUUCCCUAUCUAAGCUUAACAAUUGUAGCUUUUGUAGCCUAACAGAGCAACUAAUUUUUUAUUCAUUCAAUAAUAUUUUAGAGAGUUUUCUCAAUUUCUGUUGGAUUCUGAAACUCUAUUUUCACAAGUUUUGUCUCUUGCAAACUUACUCUUUUCAAUUUAGGUUUAGCGCUUGCUAGCCUACGUAUUUUCAAAAGUUUGUCGCUUGCAAACUUGCUCUUUUCAAUCUAGGUUUAGCACUUGCUAGACUACGCUUCCGACUGCGUCAGUUGGUAUCAGAGCAGAUUUCUCUUGUGCUUUUCCUAACAUGAUCAGCCAUGGGAGAUCAAUCAAUUACGAGUGCAAAAUGUAGGGUAAAAUUUGACGGUUUAAAUGCGGCCAUCAAAGCUCCAUCAGAUAGCGGCGUUGACAUCUAAGGUUGACAAGAACAUAAAAAAAAAUGGAAAAUUUGGACCAAUUAGAGUUCCACGUGGUGUAAACAAUCAAAUUUUUGAGGAUUCGAAUUCUUUAAAGGUGAAGGAGAAGGAUAACAUGAAGCAUCACUGUGAUGAAAAAAGAGAAGUUUAUGAAUACAUGAUUAUCCAACCGAAAGAAAAGGGGAAGUCAAACAGUGGUAAGGGUGAACAUAUAACUUCACGGCCUUUGCAAGCUGCUCACGAUGAAUAUGAAGAGGAAGCUACACUCGCCAAACAAGGAUGUCCUCACAUCGCCAAACUCGGCAAAGGUAGAAGAAUCAAACCGCUCAAACAUUCAAACUUCAACGAAAGAAACUGCAGAGACAAGUUUAGACAAGAUCCAUGUAGGUUUUAAAGUAUCAAAUAGAAAGCCAUGUAGGUUUGAAAUAUAAUUUGACAUUUAUCUCUCUAUAUAACCAUAAUAAUAACAUUGUUUUAUGCUAUGAUUAGUUAUAUGUAAGGUUUACUAUUUGUUAUAAUUUAAAAAUGUCUGGCAUACAGUGAAGCAAUGUCGCCUCUUGAUGUAUAUAGUGAUAGCGUUUAUGAUGUGGACACUAAUAGUGAUACUGAAGAUAUAGAAGUCAAUAACGACAUCAAUGUUCGUAGUGAUAGAGAUGUAGGCAGUAUGGAAUUCAACCAUGGUAAUGGUGUUUGCAGUGAGCAAGGGAAAAGAGAAUUCCAAUGGUUACAAAUGCAUUAGUAAUGUGACAAAUGAUGAAAUAAUCGGUAGAUAGUUGUUAUAAUAGCACAAAACAACCUGUAGAUGAAAUAAAAGAAAUAAUUGUGCUGAGUGUAACACCAAAACGCUCUCAAAUUGCUCAUGUCAAAAGUUUGGCCGAAAUUUUGCAAAACUUUGCUAAAGAAAAAGAUUUGUAAGAGAGAGAACACAGAGUUGCAAAGAAUCCACUAAACUAAAAAUCAUAGUUUCAGGAAAUUGUUUUCAACUAAAGGACACACUACUCCCAUUAUUGCAACCAAAACACACUUGGGGGUGUAUUGAAAUAGGAUUUUAAAAGACCGUCUGAGAUUGUAUUGAUUCUGUGAGAUUUUAAAAGACUUUUUAGGUAAAAGACUUUAUACACUCAAGAUUUUAAAGGAUUUAUCACACUGACUUUUAAGGAUUUCAAAGGAUUUUAUAUGAUUUUAAAAUUUCAAAGGAUUCAAUGAUUUUUAGGGGAAAAAGAACAAACUUACAAGCGUGAAUGAUAAAAGUAAUGAACAAAUAAAGGGUUAAUGGUGCUUUACCCCCUGUAAUAUAGGUCAUUUUUUGUCUUCCCCCUGUAAAAUAUUUUAUUUUUAUUUAGCCCCUUGUAAAAAAAAAAUUUUUGGAAUAUUCCCCUAAUAGGUCAUAAAAAAACGACUUUAUUUUUUUUUUUUCAGAAUUUUUUCGUUUUUUUAAGACUUAUUAGGGGGGUAUUCCAAAAAAAAAAAUAUUUUACAGGGGGGACAACAAAAUAUGACCUAUAUUACAGGGGUGUAAAGCACCAUUAACCCAACAAAUAAAUUCUAGCGUUUGAAUAAAGAAAAAUAUAACCAAUAAAAAAUUCUUUUACUAUUGAUUUUCAAAUUUUAAGAAUUUUAUAAGAUUUUAAAGGACUAAAAAACACUUUAACACAUUAUUCUCAAUACACAUUUUUUAUUUGUUAAAAAUGUUAAUCCCACAAAAUUCAAUUGUACAUAUUUAAAAUUAUGCCAUCACUUACAAAUCUUUCAAAAAAAACAUAUUUUGUCGGCCAUUACAAAUUGUUCGAGUUACACGAGUUUACCGAGUGUUAACUCAGUCAAACUCGUUAAACCUUCCAAUUUUACCAGAAACCGAUUUUACCUCAGAGUUAACACGAUUUUUGUACCUAAAAACAUAAACUCGGUAAUCUCGGAGAGUUAACACUCGAUUUGCGGAACAUUGAUUACGACAUAUUCUCUAUCAUAAUAUUCUCAAUACAAUUUUUUAUUUUUUAUGAGAUAGAGAGAGGGAGAGAGGGGGGAUGAGAAAUGAGAGAGAGAGAGAGAGAGAGAGAGAGAGAGAGAGAGAAUUGAGAGAUAGAGAAACGAAGAGAGAAAGGAGAGAAUAGGGAGGGGGAGAGAGAGAGAGAGAGUAACUUUUAAAAGAAAAACAAUCUCAAGAAAUCUCAUCUUUUUAUGAAAGACUUUUUCUUGUUAAAAUUACACCACAAAAUCCAUCAAAAUCCAAUUUAUUAAACAAUCCUUCGAAAUUUGAAUGAUUUUGAAUACCACAAGACUUUUUUUAAGUGAUGAAAAGUCUUGAUUGAAUACCUCAAGACUUUUUUAAAAUGACAAAGAGUCUUGAUUGAAUACCACAAGACUUUUUUUAAGUUGCAAAAAGUUUUGAUUGAAUACCACAAGACUUUUUCAUAAUUAAAAAGUCUUUUAAAAUCCCAUAGAAUCCUAAUCCAAUACGUGUGUUUGAAUGGGGAAAUGUUUUGAGGGAAUGUAAUGUUUUGAGGGAAUUCAAAUACUUUGAUGUAAAUUCCAUUGUUUAGAUGAUAAUUUGAAGAAUUUUCAAAAUGAUGGAAAUUUAUGAAGUAUUUUGUUCAAGUUAAAUUUAAAGAAUUUCAAAUGACACCUAAAAGUUAAGAAUUUCAAAACUCUUCAAUGUUAUAAAUUUUCAAAUUUUGCAAUUUGGUCCUCAAACUUUCCAAAAUUUUCAAUUUGACCCCUAUAAAUUUAUAAAAAAUUGCAAAUUGGACAAUAAAACUCUUAUAGAGUCCACAUCUAGGGAUCAUAGUGGUUUCAGAUCUAAGAAUGGUAUACACCAUUAUCAUUAUGAGAAUGUCUUAUGACACUUCCAUAACAUACUAUGCACUAUGGGAUGAGUUUGCUUGUUGUAGAAAAAGCACGCUGUUUCACGCUGUAAACAAUCUCAGCCACACAUUUGCAAUCAGACGGUCCAGCUUAACACAGUUACAAAAUCACUGUAAACCAUCUCAGCCACACAUUACAAUCUGACGGUCCUAAUUCGUUACAGCGUGCUUUUUCUACAUCACCAAAUCCAAACCGAUGUACUAUUCGUAUGAUGAGUCAAUCCGGUAUAAAUAUUACUCCUAAUAUUUAUACCUAUGUACAUACUUAAUAUCUCAUAUUCAUGACGCAUGAGAUGUGAUCAUCAGUCUACAUACAUAAUAGUCAAUACGUUUUUAUAUUAUCCCAAUUUAUAUUAAAGUUUGACUAUAGAUAUUACUCCUAAUACUAUCUCUUUAUUAAUCUUACAACAAGUAUAAUAAUGAAUACCUUAUUUUAUUUAAUAAUAAAAGUCAUGAUAUAUAUCAUAAGUUUAACAAUUUCAUGAUUUAUUACUUGAAAAAAAAAAUCCUCUUCUCACAUGAAUUUUGAACUUUUCUCACAACUGUAUCUCUCAAAACAAGAUCAUCAUGGAUUCCUGGUAAAUCAAUUCUACGGAUACUAAUCUUUGAAUUUCAUUCAUUGAAUGAAACAUCGUUGAUAUUAGAUUCUCCACAAUUAUGUGUCAAUUGUGAUUCAUCCAUGAUUGAUAUCCAAAUCUUGGAAGAUAUCCCUGUCAAGUUUUUUAACUAGAAAUGCACUGGUAAUUUAGACAGAAAAUAUUUGUAGUAAAUCAAACAUCUACCUUGUGUAUCUUCACAUGACAAAGAUUCUAGUUUAACCUAACAUGAUGAUGUUUCAAAACAAAAACCAAACCCAAUGUAGCAAUAUAUUAGUGUCAACACAUAAGCAUAGCACAAAUUUCAGGUCCAAAAUUAUUAUGACAUUCAUUUAUCAUGCUAAAUAAACCAGCUUAAUACACAGCAUCCCCCAACUCAAAGCUUGAAAUGUUCAAGAGCUGAGAUGCCAUCAAGCCCUUUUGCAUUGUAGUAGGCUACAAAAUCUGUAAAAGUGGUUUCUCUAUAUCUUGGAGGGUUGUCUUCUGAUAAAAUUUCUUUUAUAGGUCCAUAGAGCUUUUCUUGUGCUCUAGGACCUGCCCUGAAAAAAGAUGCAACAGAUACUCUUGGACCAAUAGUAUUUGCUAGUACUCUGUGCUCAACACUCUUGAAUCUGUCAUUUGUUAUAAGCUGCAGUUCAAUAAAAACUAUAAUUAGCUACAUUCAUGUAAGUUCAUUUCACAUACAAUGAGUUUUAUUGUGAAGUACUAAUAUCAAUUUUGGUUGCAGGAAAUAGACAUUGCAAAAUAGUAAUAGAGAACUUGCCUGCAGAACAUCACCAAUAUUAAUAACAAGAGCCUCAGGUAUUGGUGGUACAUCAAUCCACUUUCCCUUGUGAAGAACUUGAAGGCCACCAAUAUGGUCUUGAAGAAGCACUGUGAGGAAACUACUAUCAGAAUGUUUGGCGGUUCCCAUCGUUAAAUGUGGUUCAGGACAAGCAGGAUAGUAAUGGCAAAGUAACAAAUUCCCCUCAGAACAAUCUAAGUCUUUUAAAUGGUUUGGAUGCAAUCCAAGUGCUUCUGAUAGUAAUUCAAAGAGUACAAUUCCAAGUUUCAUUACAUGUUCUCCAUAUUCCAGAAAUAUAUCUCUACAAAAAGAUGAAAUCACCAAGCAAUUGGUUAAGCUCCAUAUUGUAGAAAUAUUAUGUUUAACUUAACCUCCUAGCCUUUUAUAAUUAUUUGUCUAAUUUCACUUAACAUAUGUUUAACUAAACAUAUUUCAUGUAAAUUAGUGAAAAGUUUGGAGGCCUACGUAACAUUCACUCGUAAUAGAAAUAUUGAUCGACUAAUGAGUCAGUUGACAAUAUUUUUUCUAUUAACACAAAAACAGACAUCCGACAUAACACAUGUUGGACACCAAAUACAUCUUUAAUUCUAUGUGUCAGUGCUACAUAGAUGGAAAUAGAAUUGUUCAUGGUUUGGUGCACCGGUUAUAAAGUUUGGUGCACCGGUUAUGUAUAUUCGAAACUUGUAGCCUAAUUUGCUAAUCCUGAAUUUCUAAUUGAUAUUUUGAUAAUUAAAACAAAUAUAUACAAAAUUGAUAUCAAAGUGGCCUAAAAUUUGAAGCAGUAUACGACAAAAAAGAACUCACCUGCAUACUACUGGCAAAUCUUCUGGUUUUGGAGCAUUAGGAGCCAUCUUCAAUGCCAAAGUAUCCCUCCAAUUAAGCGCUGGUGAACUAUACAAAUCAAAAUUACUAUUAUAAACCAAUGGCCUUGUUUGAUCUCUAGUAUACAUCUCUUUCUUCACUUCAGUAUCUUGUUCAAAGAAUCUAAUCACUCCAUCUUUCAUAUCCUCAAGAACAUUUAUAGGAAUACCAUGAUUAACCACUUGAAAGAAACCCCAUGUCUCAGAUGCUUCCUUUAUUUUGGUUAUAAUUUCUUGCCUUGUAUUUGGAUCUUUACCAAUAUUUAGAAAGUCUAUAACAGGAAUAAUGUGUUCUGUGUUGGUUGAAUUUGUGGAUUUCCCAUAUUUAUCAGGUGGGUGAUGAAAUAAGGCAGGGAUUUUGAGAAUACCUUGAUCAACAAGGCCUUUAACACCAGCUUUUGUUUCAUCAAAUGCUUUGAGCUCUUGUAGCCUAUCAGACUUGUUUUCAGUUUCAUCUGUAGUAGCAUACCCCAUGUUAGUUUCUUUUUGCAGUGCCUUAAUUAGAAUGAAAAUUCUUUGUUCAAGUGAAGUACUUUUAGGGAUCACUUUGAUAUUAAGGGUAUAUUUUCAGUAAUCAAUUUCAAAAGCAAUUUGUAAAAGUCAAUUUAAUAAACAACUUUCAAAAGAAUCACUGAAAAUUGUCAAUUAAUUAGCAAAUUAUAUCCACAUAAUAUGGUCUCGGUGACUUAAAAGUUAAAUCACAUGUAUGUACAUGGAGACAAAAAAUCGUUGCAUGGUCUGGUGGCGAUUGAUCUUUAUGGUGAAGUUUUUGUUAACGUGUUACCCGUUUUCACCACUACUUGCCCCCUCAAUAAAACCUAGGGUGGGCCAGAACCAGCCGUCUAAUAUGACUAUAUUUUUUUUUUUUACAAAGUCUAGUAUGACUAUAUUAGAAGGGGUUGGUUGAUCACAAAUAUUAUUUAUUUAUUUUUUUUACCAAAAAUAAACGAUGUUCAUUCAUUCAAAUAUCGAUACAAUACAAAUUCAAAGUCGCUAAAAGCGAAAAUAAUGAAUCUAUAAACAACUCACAGCAUUCAUGUUAAUAACAUAAACCAUAAUGCCUUGCAAAUAUGAUCAUAUUCAAUGUUUCCGAAUCUCCAACAUUGACGAGGCAAAAUCUGUACUUGAUCAAAUCUAAUAUUUCAACCUGAAUUAAAUAAACAUCACACUAAGACAGGAAUUAAAAAUAGAUAAAGCUGAGAAAACUGAAAAUAUAUGAAAAUCACUUAUAUACUCUAAUUAUAAGUCCAAACAUGACCGAUUUAUUAAAUUUGUUGUAUUCCUUUUUUUUUAUUAAAAAUUUGGACUUUUUGUAAAAUUUUGGUGUACUCUUUUUUUUAUAUAUAUAAAUAUGGACUUUUUGUAAAAUUUGGUCUUGAAAAUCAGUUUUAAACCGAUAAAAGACCAAUUUUUAAUCCAGAUUAAAAAAUAGAUAUUUUUUAAAUCAAACCAUACCUAUUUAAAAUCCUAUUUUGUGAAAAUAUAGUCUGAUAUAUAUUAAUAACUAGUUGCACAACUUGUUCAAAAAUAACUAGUUGCACAACCGAGGUGUUGGCUAACCCCGAGGUUGCAGCUCGGGUUGAAUCUAUUAUCUUGUCGGUUUCGCCUCUUCCUGAUAAAUUGGUUUGGAUACACUCCCCAGAUGGGUGUCUGACUGCAAAGCAAGCCAUCACUUUUUUGCUUCCCUUAACCGUACUUAUUCCUUGGGCAGAUUUGGUUUGGAAAUCUUGCAUAACGUCGUCGCAUUCUUUCAUCUUUUGGCACCUAUGGCAUCAAAAGAUGCUCACGGAUGAGAACCUUCGUAGCCGUGGCUGUUAGAUUGUUUCUGUUUGCUCCCUGUGUAGAUAUGUCUCAGAAACAAGGCAAUACUGCUCAAUUAAAACGAGGGUGAGAAGAAGAAAGCAAAAUCGACUGUGACAUGGCACAUAAUCAAAUGUGAUGGUUCCGUAAAAAAAAAAAAAAAACAAUUCGAAGGUGCCGGUGUACAAUUAAUCCAGACUGAGGAAGAGUGGAAGGACUUGUUACUUUGGUCAUCAACAGUGGCAGAGCCAGAAAAAAAAUGUCAGGGUGGGCCACUAAAAUUAACUAUUGAAAAAUUGUUUAAAGUCUCGCAUAAUUGAAUUAUUUAAAUUUUUCAGGUGGGCCACUACACCAAUUUGCGGGAAUUUAGAUCAACCAAAAUCUAAAACCGGCAUAAAAUUAUAUAAAAUCUCGCAAAAUAGACCUAUAAUUGAAUUAUUUAAAUUUUCGGGUGAGCCACUACACCACUUUGCAGGAAUUUGGAUAACCAAAACAUAAAAUCGACACAAAAUUGCAUAAAAUCUCGCAAAAUAGACCUAUAAUCGUUAAUUUUUUAAUUUUCCCGGGGGUGGGCCGUGGCCCACCCCAGCCCAUGAAGGGCUCCGCCACUGGUCAUCAACCAAAAAGCAGGUGCCCCAGGCACUAUCUGGGACAAUCCAAUUCACUUAAGCCACUUAAGCGACGAGGGAGAUGAUUAAAUGUAAUUGCUUGUAAUGUCUUGUUUUUUUUUUAUGUUUUUUGAUAUGCUGCGCAUUUUGGUAUAUAUUUUGGUACUUUGAUUAAAGUUGCGUAUUGAAUAAAUUUAAAUAAAGUUGCGUAUUGAAUAAAUUUGAAUAAAGUUUUGUAUUGAAUAAAUUCGAUUAAAGUUGUGUAUUGAAUAAAUUCGAAUAAAGUGGCACAAGUACACAAAAUAAAUUAAAAAAUACACAAUUUUAUUUAGUUUUAAUUUCAUUUACAUUACAUUCUCCCUAAAUAUAUGUGGUAUCAUCAUUAUGUUGGAGUUUAGUUUAGUUUUUGGAUUUACGUGUCUUAUACUUCGGGUAGAGAUUUACAACUUUCUUUGAAAAUUCAAAAGAAUGAAGAGAACACAACACAUGUAUUCUAUCAAAUCAACUAUAUAAGUUCUCACCUGUGAAGCCCGGAUACGAGAUACGAUACGGAUACGAUACUGCACUGAUACGCCGAUACGGGAAAAUUUCAAAAAUCAAGAUACGAUACGGCUGUGAUACGUUAAUAAAAAAAUUAUAUAUAAUUAAAUGUACAAUAUAAUUAUAACCAUUUUUUUAAUAUGCAAACAUAUUAACAAACAAAAGAAAUCAGUCAUAGGCUCGUAUCACAUCAGCAUAAAUAUAAAUAAUAUUGAUGAUUAAGAGAGUGACGAUUAGUCAAUUACAUACACAAUAUAUCCAAAAAAAAAGCACCAUAAGUGCUAUACUAUAUCCAAAAGAAACAUUGUUAUUGUUAUACUAUAUCGAUCCAAAAAAGAAGAACUAUAUUCAAGAGUUAAGUUAUUUUAUUUAACGUUAAUUGGGAAUUAUUGGGGCAGGUAUAGGUGUAAUUAUCGGAUACUUUCUUGAUACGUAUCGGGAAGUAUCGGAUAAUUAUUUAAAAAAAAAAAAUUAAUCUUCGGAUACUCUUCUGAUACGUAUCGAAAAGUAUCGGGCAGGUAUCGGUGCAGGAUACGCAGGGGAUACGAUACGUCAACCAUUUUGAAGUAUCGGGGCUUCACAGGUUCUCACAUAUAUAGUUGAUUUGCUAGAAUACAUGUUGUGUUCUCUUCAUUCUUUGACUUUUCAAAGAAUCUGCAAAUCUUUACCCUAAGUAUAUGACACUUCAAUACCAACAUCUUCAGCAAACUAACAAGAAUUAAAACUUAAAAUCCAACAAAAUAAAGACACCACAUAAUAAUGAUGCUACCGAAACAUAAUUUUCUGGCAGAAUCAAACUGUUGAGAAUAUUUUCAGGCGAUCUCAGCAACGUAGCUUCCAUCUCAAUUACUAGGAACAUGCAUUCCUGAUAAUAUCUGGAGAACAUGCUCCUCAAGCAGUCAUCAUCUUUCAGCAUUAUCUUUUCAGUCUGCAAAUAAUUGGGACGUGCAUACUGAAGGUCAUCCACCCUCCUUGUGUCUCCGAGGUUGAGUUCUUGAUUGAUUUUAUUCAGUUGAUCCUUCGUAUCCUUUAGUAUAUCGACCCGGACCUUGAACAAAUGACGGUUUUCACCGUUGAAACGUACUUGAGCUUUGAACAAAUUGUCCAUUGUUUCAUAUCUACACCAUAAGAAAUUAAACAAUCAAUGAAAAACUCAUUUAAACAUUUCAUCAAAAACUUGAAGUGCAAAUUAUACAUAAACCCUAAAACUCAUAACUAUAACAUAAACAUGCAAACAUUUUAACAAAAUUAAUCAACUUACAUAUACUCUAAAAAUGAAUCGUAAUAUCUUACUUGUAAAUCUACUCAAAAACUAAAAUUAUAAAAAUAGAAAAACAAAAUUUAAAUUAGCCUAAAACUAAAAUCAUAAAAAAUGAAAAACAAUAGCACUAUGAUAACUUACUUGUGAUUUUGUUGAAUAAAUUUGGAUGAAUUUUGAAAAAUUGAGAGAUCGAGGUAUUUUGGUAGAGAUUUUGAGAGAGAUUGAUAGUUGAUAAUGAAUGAGAUAAUGGAAGAGUGAGUUCUGCCUGUAAUUUGUAUGAGGAUCACAGCGGCAGUUAACUGCUGAUGGAUGCCGCGGCAGUUAACUACCGCCGAUUAAUUCCUUCAGCAGUUAACUGCCGAAAGGUAUUUUAGUCUUUUUGUGGUGUUUUUCAGCCUUAAGACAAGUGUGAACAACAAUUUUUGGAUUUUUAAGCCCCCUUACUUGGAAUGGGGCCAAAACUUCAAGGCCAUAUGAUAUUGACACCUCUAUUUGUAAGACUUUUUUAAGUCUGAUAAGGAUUCAACUCAUUCGUACACGGCUAUCCUUAUUUUGAGUCAUUUCUCAUUCAAUUAUUUUGAUAUCGGCUAAACCUAGUUCAGGUGUAAGCCGUUCCAACUAAUAACUUGGAACAAUUUUAGUGUAUUUUUAACCGUCCAUCCACUCUAAAGUUGAGAAUUAAUGCCUCAUAUGAAUGUUUUAUUUCCACUCAAUGACAACCACACUACUUAAGCACAAGCCUAUAUUGCUGGCCAAAUUGAUAAACCACCCCUCACAAUGAUGAUGGCGGUUAAGCAUUUUUUUUAUUUCUCUCACUUUGCCCCCUCAAACGCAAAUAUAUAUCUACCCUCUCCUAAUACCUAAAACCUUUUGGCCUUUGAUUACAACAUUUAAGCAGCAAAAACAUAAUUUGAUAGGAGGCUGAUAAACUUCUAGUUAAAAAGUAUUUUUGUACAUUAGUAGUUGUUAUUUUCAAUUGUUAUGUUUAUAGUACUUUCAUAGGGUCCUUAAGAUUACGGCAUAUGUAUAGUUAGGAUUAGGAGUUAUUUCAAAUAAUUCUUUUGAAUAAUGUUUGCCCUUGACAGAAAUAGUUUAGUAGCUAGAGCUCACACAAUCCAAUGAAAAAGUGGAGUAUUCGGGGUUCGAACCCCGACUUCUGUAUAUAAAAUGUAAUAUUCCUACCAACUGAGGUAAGCUCGCAGAGAUGACAGUUCUCCUCUUAAUUUGGUUGUAUUCAGUUUUUUUCCGUGUAUUUUGGUUGUCAAUGACGUUUGAAAUUAAUAAAAGCAGACAUUGACCAAUUGAUGAGAAAACUAAAUUCUCCUAUAGGACGAGUAUGAACGGGUUGUGAAACUUUCUUUAGAUGUGUGUGUGCGCGCUUGUGUGUUAUAUGCUGUGACGAGUCCUUAUAUAUGGUUUUUCAGUAUUGGCAUGGUUCUAUAUAUAUAUAUAUAUAUAUAUAUAGGGUAUAUCAAGUGAGAGGAGUAAUUAUGGUGAAAGGUGAGAGGAGCAAAUAUAAGCCAUAGGAUAUAAACGUACGGUCAUGAUUAAAUUUUUAAUGUGUACUGCAUCUCAUAGAAAAUUUGCUCUCCAUCUUCCCACUCUCAUCUUCUUCUUCGUUACCCACACCCAAAUCACUGUACCACACCCAUCUUCAUCUUCAAUAAGAACAUGGUUGUUCCAUAUCACAAAACAAAAAGGCUUCGUUCCAAAUUCAGAUAUUCAGAUUGAUUUAUAUUUUUGAUUUUAUUUCAACUUUCAAAGGUUUGUGCACUGUAAAAUAUAGUUUCUAAUGGUUUGUGCAACCAUUGAUGAUUGUUUUAUGGAGCUUCUGGGUUAUUAUAAGAGGAGUAGUUUUUAGAAUCUGAGAAACCAAAAGUAUUAGAGAUUUGGGUUUCAACAUGUCUAUUGAGCUUCUUGCUUAUGUUUCCAUUGAGUUUCAACAUGUCUAUUUCAUCUUUUUGUGAUAGAACAGUCGAAAAUUCGAUAUUUGGGUUCUUUCGGUAUCAAAACGAUGAAGAUUUGGGUCUUUUCAACGUUGACAAGACCUAAUUGAGAUUUGGGUUGAUUGAUCGUAAAUCUCACAAGACUUAUAUCAUCUUAUGUCUAAUAUAGCCAAUUUAGGUCAAUAUAAAAAUAAUAUAAAGCAAAUUGGGUGCCAAUUACCACUUAUGUCUGUUGCUGGGAAUUCUUAAGCUUUGUUUUAGGUUUCAAAGAUCUGUCAACGUUAAUGGAUGGUGGUGAAGGUGGUAUACGGCGGUUGCAGGGAUAUGUUAAAACCGAGGUGUUUGGAAUCAAUGGAUAGACUAAGUGAGACAUAGUAAUUAAUUAAUUGGGACUUUUAAUCUCAACCAUCUAUUUAAAUCUAACAGUUGAGAUUUGUUCUCAUCAUUCUCAUAUAAGAUAGGCAUUCUCAUAUGAUAUGCCCUAUAUAUAUAUAUAUAUAUAUAUAUAUAUAUAUAUAUAUAUAUAUAUAUAUAUAGUGGCGUUGCCAGAACCCCGAGUCAGGGGUUCAAAGUUUGAACUUUAAUUAAUCUAUACUAUAUAUAAAGAAAAUACAUUUUAGGCUGGCUUUUUCCUUCCUAAUUUUACCUUACAUUUAAAUUAUUUUAUUUACUAUUUUAUCCUUUUAUAAUAUUACUUAAAUUAUUAAUUAAAAAAAUUAGUUAAAUACCAUUAAAAUAUAAACCACCACAUUAUAAUAGAACAAUAUUAUCGAUAACAAUAUACAAGAGAAAUGGGAGAUUUUGGACAAAAAUUUUCAUUAUUCUAUUUAUAUAUUUUAACAAAUUUUCUAUAAUAAUGAUAUAUUGUAAAUGUCAUUGGAAAAGAUAAGAGUUUAAACGUCAAAAAUAUCUAUACAUAUAAUUUUAAUUAAAAUUUAACUAAUUUUAAUAAAAAAUCUACAUGUGUCUUAUUACUAAUAUUAAUUAUUCUGGUUCUCAAAUCCAUUUUUAGAUAAUCAAUGUUGUACUCAAAAAGUGUUUUUCAUUGGUUAAUUUAGUUCAUAAAAUUAUUAAGAAAGGAAGCAUUAAAGUGUACUUGCAAUUUGAAUACAUUUAAAAAGUAGAGUAACAGCGUCUCACAUUCCUAAAGAUCAAUCAAAAAUGUUGUUUGUUCAUAAAAGAUAAAUGAAAAGGAAUGAUAGUUGUAAAAAUAUUCAUGAUUAAUAUAUAGAUGAAUAAAAGUUUGUCUUAGUUACUGGCAUAACAUUUUCAAAACAAUUCAGAACAUAGGUUCCAGACGCUGGACUUUCAUGCUUUUGCUUUUAGGAGAAAAUUAAAAGCAACAAAAUAAAAAUAAAUGAAGUAACAACCAAAAAUAACAAAAGGCUAGUCAGUGUUAGCAUUUCAAAAACUGAUCCACGUGACUGAUAUAAUAUGGUGUGGGAGAGAGUAAAACUUUACAUGAUUGGUGCAACAUGGGUGCAAAGCAAAACUUUGAGGGGAUAUUCAAGAUACAAAAUAGAUGAAAUAGUGGGUGUAAAUUCAAAAUCUGAGGGGGUUCACUUGAAUCCCCUAGUAUGUAGCUCCAAUGUGUGUCUAUAUAUAUAUAUAUAUAUAUAUAUUGGAACACUAGUGUAUAUUGGCAAAAACUUGGAGUAUACUAGUUGUUAUGUGGAGCCUUUGGAAUGUAAACACAAGGAUGGAGAAACUAGUGUAAAGUGUGAAUUGAAAAUUUUAUGUCCCACAUUGGGUAGAUCACACACUCUAGUAGUGUUUAUAUAUGUGGGAUAUCACUUCCAAGGGUGUGCCCUUGUGAACGGAGUGAGCGCUUACCAAAAAUUAUAUAUAACGCGUGACGACGACGCCAACUGGACUUGGCCUGGCCUUGCCUUGGCUUCAAAGAAAUAUUAUUUUUGGUGCUUAGAAAAAUAAUUUUUUAUUUUUUGCUCCGAGAUUCCCGCACGCGGAGACCAAGUCUCACACGUUUUCCACACGCGCAAGCUUCAGCUCCACGUUUCCGCGUCGUGGGUUACCGUUACUGGGUCGCGAACCAGGUCGGCGGAGAAAACGAGGUCAAAUCCCCUCUAUAAAUAGAGAGCUCGGGAAUGAGAUUCUUCACUCCAAAACCGAGAAUCGAAUCCUCUUCUUUGGUUUUCUCCCCUUCUCAUCUCCCUCGGUUUGUGUUGACGAACCGUUCUUUUCUUCCUCCUUCUUUGGUUUCUCGAGUGGUCUGCGUACCAUAUUAGAGUGGUUUUUCAAAACCAUAUUGAGGUGUUAUUCUCGAGCGAUUUCUGGCAGUGCAGCCUUUAAUCGUACAGUUAGAAUCUGGGCUGUUUUAUCCUGGAGACGGUGCGGUUGCUUGUCUACCUUGCACAACUUAGGUAGUGCCGCGAAACGUCUAAAAGAAAGCGACCUGGUCGUGACUCACCCCGGUAAUAGUUUCAAAGCUCUGUCGUAAUUUUUAAAUUACAAAAACAACAAUAUAUAUAUAUAUAUAUAUAGCUCCACUAUAUGUCUAUAUGGAUGACAAAAUCGGAUCAUUUCAUUUAGCCAGUUAUUUUUGGUGGUGCAAGUUAGAAUUUUGAACUCGCCAUUCUUAGGUUGCACGCACUUGCCCUUCGCAACCUAUAUAAAAUGAGGUGGUGAUAGGGCGGACGGGUUGGCCGGUCAGGUUUAAUAAUGAUAAAAAUUCAUUCUUUUUCCAUUACUUUUUAUUAAUAUCACAAUCAAUUUUCUAAUUUUUUUUUUAUCCAAUAUUUGACUCAUAUAAUGGAGAGAGAAAACUCAUUUGAUUAGAUCACUUCGACUUGAUAAUUUUAGUCUCAUGUUUCUAUUAGUUUUUACUCGGUAAAUUCAUUAACUUUUUAUUUUUGUUGUCUUGUUGGUUAUUAUAGAUUUUUUAUGAUGAAUCAUGAACUUUUGAAUGAUUUUUUUUUUUUUUUUAUAUAUAUUAUUAGUUAAUAUUUUGAUUACUUAGAAUGAUCCUUGAUGUAAUCAUGUUUACAUUGUUUUUAUGAAUUUUUUAAUUAAUAAAAUUUUAUUUAAAAUUUAUGCGUGGUAGCCUAUCAAUUCGUCUGCUCACCAUAAAAUGAGGCAGAAUGAGAUUUUCAAUCCACUACAUCUAAUUGAUCUUUCCAUCCCGCCCCAUUUUAGACGAGUUAAUAACGAGGUAGAUCAUCGUGGGGCGGGUUGGCCCAUUUUUACACCAAUCUUCUUUUAAUCAUUGUUUGUCUUGUUAGUUCUCCCUUAAUUUGGUUGUAUUAGUAGUUUCUGUCUCUGUGUGUUUCUUUUUGCUAUAAAUGAUAUUGACUUUUCUUUUGGUUCUAUCGACUUGUUGUAUUAUAAUAUACAUUUAAAAAAAAAAAAAAAAAAAACCAGAACAUGCACGUUAGCACUUUCGAGUAAUUUUGUCACUAUUGAGUUUUAUAACAUGACAUAAUUAAAUUAUUGAAGUUAAAGUUGUGAACUGAACAAAAUAAUAUAACAUCAAACCAUGAUAUUUUUAUCCACUUAACUGUAAUAAUAUGUAAGUACAAAAUAAUAUAACAUGUAACCAUGAUACUUUUUUAUGGGUGAAAUACAUAUUAAUUUAGGAAAAUAUAUAUGCUCAUCCUAUUACAGACUAUAGGUAUAGAGCAAGGUAGAGUCCAUGCUUCCAUUAUAUAGGAUACCAAACAAACAUGCAUAUGUCUGAUUUUCAUGGAAGUCGUCCUCUACGGGUACGCCCUCCAUUUUUAUUUUUACUGUUAAAGCCACCUCCUGAAUCUAUUGGACCUCUUAAAUGCCAACCUUCACCAAUGCGACCACUUCUUUUGUUAUCCGUUCGACCUCCGUUGUCUUUUACACUUCCAUUGCGUUCACCUUCUCCUUUUGCACCCCUGCCAUUUCCACCACCAUUUUGUCGUCUUCCUUCUGAAUCUGUCAAACCAUCUAUUCCAGUAUUUGUUUUGGAUUCUUCUCUUGCACCAACUACAAAUCAACAAACAUUUUUUUAUUAAAUAUAAUAAAUAAAAAAGUAAUUGAACGUACAAUUAUAUACAUAGAUAUUGAUUCUCACAUUUGGAUGACUCGAUUACCACAAUAGAGUUAAGAAUUAGGGCACAAAUAAAGAACAUGUAGAUAAAAGGUUUAAUUUUCAUCCUUAUCAACUAAGAGUAUACCGUAAUCAAAUAUGAAUACAAUUAGUAGCUAUUUAUUGUGACCACCAGACGAUAUAUAUAUAAAAGAAGAAUAACAAUACCUUAUUGAAUAGAUAAAAUAUAUUGUAAAAUUAAAAUAAAGAUAAUAUAUAUCAUUUGGCUGGCUAGCUAAUUGUGAGAAUAAUAGGUCACUAACACCUAUUGAUAAAUUGAAGGGUUAUAUUAGGACAUGUUUAUUAAACGAGGUAAGAUUAUAUUGCUUUUUUUUGGUAGACAAAGUUUAGGGUGAGAGGAUUGUGCCACAAUCUAAAUUAAGGAUUUAGAACGACCUAAUUAUAAUCUAAAGAGUCAUUUAUUUUGGGACUAAAUAUUUUUAUAAAUAGACUGACCACUUGUUGUGGGACUCAAAAGGGUAGUUAACUUGCAUAUUAUUUUGGUGUAGUAGUAAAAUAUAUAUACGGUUUAGUGGCUGAACAUGACACAUGUUUUUUUGAGUAAACUAUACAUCAUGGUGAAGAGAAAAUGGACUCUUGGUGGCUCUUAAGUAUUAAUUCAUAAAUACUAAUGGAGAAAUUUUUGCUACGGUGUUAGUGGAUCUAUUUGUAACCCACUACUUGCCGGCCCCUUCAGUAAAUAGCAAAGGUGAACCAAUGAUCUAGCUAGUGAGUACUGCAUGGUAGCUUUUCACGUUGUGGGGAAGUAACACUGCGGGCGUGAGUUUAAUUUAACCAAAGAGAAAUAAGAAGAGCUACUAAUAAAAUCACAGGGACCAAAUGCAACUUAGCUUGUGUGAAUUUAAACCAGAUGCAACUCAUAGUCACCGUCCUAACUUGUGUCUUCACUACUACAAAAAUGGACUUAUAUAAUGCUUUUUUUUUUUGCUUUAGCUAGCGCUUUUAGAGCGCAUUGUAAAUGGCGCUGGUAAAGGUAAUAUAGCGCUUUUUUUUUUCCUGUAUAAAGCGCUAUCUAAAGUAGGGAUUAUAUAGCACUUUUUGUCAAAAAGCGCUAGCAAAAGUUCUUCUUAGAUAGCGCUUUCAAUAAUAAAUGCUAUCUUAAAGGGGUUUAAAAUUAUGCAAGCACAAGUAAAAUGUAGCAUUUAUGUUUUAAAACGCUAUGUAACACUAGGUUUAGAUAGCGCUUUAUACAGGAAAAAAGCGCUAGGAAAAACAUUAAUAUUUUUUUUUUAGGUCAGAUUUUUUUUUGGUCUAGUAUUUUUAUUUUCAUUUUUACAGAUAGCAUUUUUUAUUAAUUUAUAUAUAUAUAAUUUUUCUAAGGGAAAUAUAUAUACUUUUCGCACAAUAAAAUUGAGACUAUUAUUUAUCAAAUAAAACUUAAACAUGUAUCAUAAAAAAUGUAUGUAUAUAUAGCAUAAAAGUCAAAAAUGUAUAGCCACUAAUACAUGGAUAUCUCUAAGUUACAACUAAUUAGUUAACAUAAAGAUCAAAAUCUUCUAUGGUAGCAUGCAAUUUUAGUCUAUCUUUUGGUCGUCUCAACAUUUUUAUUCAAAACAAACAUGCAAAUCAUUAUUCAUUUCCAAAUUUCGUUCAUUCUCCACCAGCUACAUAUAUAGCAGAAAACACCAUUAAACAAAAGCAACUAUAUUAUAUUAAAGACAAAUUCAUAUAGACAUUGAUAGGAUCGUCAUCUGUUGCGGCACCUCUGCCCGACACUAAAAGUUGCCAAAUUCAAUUUGUAACUCUGGCCAACAUUCGGCAUAAUGGUUCCAUUGUAUGUCGGAAGCAACAUAUAUAUAUAUAUAUAUAUAUAUAUAUAUAUAUAUAUAGGUAGUAUAUACAACCUAUUAUACAACUAAAACUGUAAUGCAAAUUCUUCCGGUAUGUCGGAAGCAACAUAUAUAUAGGUAGUAUAUACAACCUAUUAUUCUUUCAAAAAAAAAAAUACAACCUAUUAUACAAAUAAAACUGUAAUACAAAUUCUUCCAUAAGUGGAGAAUUAAAUCAACUAAAAUUUCAAAUUAAAAGAGCAUGGUUUAUUGUUUUUUAUCUAUGUUUAAAUCAACAACGACUAAAACAAGGUUUCAUAUUCAAUAAACAUGUUUUAAAUUUACAGCUAGUUUAUGUCAUGUUGUGUCGGCGUCGAUACCGACGCGUGUGCGACACUGAAAUACAUCUAAUUUAAGGAGUGUCUACACCGGAACACACCUAAUUCGAGAAGUGUACGUACUUCAUAGGUGAAACCUAAGCAAAAUUUAAACCAUCAAACUGUAAUCACCUAAAUAACUAGUAAUUUCCAUUAUAAAAAUUAAAAUUAAAAAUAGCAAUUUAUCAAAUCUUAAUCUUAAAAAAAAAAAAUUAAUCUCAAGGAAAAAAAUUAAUCUUAACUACAGAUUUUUUUUUUUGAAAUCUUAAUCUUAAAAUUAUUUUAUUAUAGUUUUUUAAAGAUUUUUUUUAUAAAAUCUUGAAAUAUUGUUCUAGAAUUCAGAUUUUACAUAAUUUUGAAGACUUUUUAUUUUUUUAAAUUCUGAAUAUAACAUUUUUUAAUUCAAAUCAAAAUCUUAAUUUCAGUUUUUAUUUUCAAAAAAAUUAAAUUUAGAAAAGAAUCCAGAUUUUUUUUCGACAGUUUUAUUCCUGAAUUUAUAUGAAAUCUUUUUCGAAAUUAGGAAUAUUUUAACAAAAAAAUUAGAUAAUAUUAUAUUUUUCGAAGUAUUUUUAAUUUUAAUUUAUAUUUGGAUAUUUUAGAAUCUUUUUUUUGUAAUUAUUUUAUAAUUUUUCGAAAAUUUUGAAAUAUAUUAAAUUUGAAAUUUUUUAUAAUAUUUUCUAAAUUUAAAAAAGAAAAUAAUUUCCUAAUUAAUUUGUUUUUUAUAAUUUUUGAAAAUUAAUUUUCAUAUAUUUUUAAUUAUUAAUGACGUGUAAAUUAUUUUUUACACAUGGCAAUCAAAAAAUAAAUAAAAAAAGAAAAAGAAAAAGCCAGGUCAGAGAUUCUGCUGACUCAAGGGUUCGUGGGGCAAUCCUGAAGAAUCUUUAUUUUACGAGGACGAAAUAUAAAAAAAAAAAAUUAUAGGAGGCAAAAUCAAAAAUGUAUUAUAUUAGAGGGAGAUAAAUGUCUAUUAACCCAAAAUUACUAUGUUAUCUUUCUACCAAAAUUGCAGAUAAUGGAUACGUGAGGGGGAAUGAAGAAUAAACUACAGAGAAAGAAUAUAUGAGAAUUGAGAAGUGAAGAAGAAAUAAAAAAAGUAGAAACCGCAUGAUUCCAUAACAGAGGCAUAUAUUCCAACACCACUAAUUCCGGCAAGGCGGCACAAAUUCCAGUGCGGUGGUUACUGGGAAAAUAUUGCGAUCAUAAAAAAAAAAGAAAAACUGUGUCUUUGGCAUAGGAGAUGAUGGUUAGUCCUUCUAUGGUGGUGGUUUUUCGAAAUAUAGCCUAUGUGGUGUUCAAGAUCUAAAAAAGAAUAUGAUGAAUUAAAAGUGCAAAAUAAAAAAACAAUGGUUUGUUGAUCUAUUUGGCAGAAAACGUAAAGUUUGAUGAGAGGAUUAUAUUGGUGGUGAAGGUGCGGCCAACCAAGACAAAACGGCGGUGAUUCAAGGCCGGCGGCGGCUAGGGUUUGCAAAUAGAAGAGAGAAAGAAAUAGAAGUAACAUCAAUAAUGAAUAGAAAAUUGCUUUUUUGGAAAUGAUGAAAUUACCUCCAAUGGUAGUUAACUGCUGCUCAUUUCCUUGUUUAUAAUCAUCCACUGCUGCUACCUACCACCCCUCUUUCAUAAGUGUUAUUCAACUCUUGGUGGUCAAAAUGAAAUUGAGCAUCUCUUAUGCUAUGUCUCCUGAUUCUAUGGCUAACUUUCUCACCAGUCACCAUUUCUAUUAUAAAUUUAUAUUAUAAAGUUUAAUCAAUUAUUUUUCAUUACCAUCACCGUUAGUAAAACAUAGGCACUUUAUUGUUGUAGAUCUAGAUGAUGAGACAGAUCCAUACAUGUUCUACUUUGGCAUAUCCACUUCUUAAAUUGGGUCCAAAAAUUUUCUCGUACCCAAAGCAUGGUGUGUGCAACAAAAAUGCAGAGGUGUCAAAAAGCAUAGGUAAAACGUUGAAUGUUGUUGGAGUUAAGGCGAGUCCAUUUUUGUCUCCAAUGAUAGAUAUAAUGGAAGGUGAGAAGCGGAGAGAAAAACAAGAGAUAAAUAAUUAAAAAUACCAAUUGAACAAAGACACGCAAGAUAGAUGUAAUGCGUGUGUAUGCCUCAAACUUUAUAAACUUUUGAUGAAAUGAGCGGUAGUUAACUACCGUUGAGGUAAUUUCGUCAUUUCCAUGUGUUAUUAGGAAACUUUUGAUGUCAAAACAAUUUUCUAAUGAAUAUAUGCUAGAAAACAAAGAAUUCAGCGGUAAGGAAGAUUAUGAUUGUGUGCAAAAGACAUCGUACGGUUUACCUUGUGCGUAUAUUAUUGUCAUGAAAAGUAAGCAAAAAUUGCAUCUUGUCUUGGAUGAUAUAUACCCUCAUUGGAAAAGGUUAAGUGUACAAGGACAAGAGAUUGAUGAUGAUUUUUCUGUGAUGGAAUAGUGGAAUGACAUUCAAGAACGUCUCAAGACAAGCCCUUACAAUAUGAAACUCUACAUCAAAGAGAUGAUGUGUCAAAUAACAUUUCCGGAAACCACAAAUUUGUCUCCACCUUCAAAAAAGGCGGUAACCAAGGGAACACCUAAAAGGAAGAGGACUACACUAAAAGCGUCAUCAACGGAUCGAAUCCCCUCUAGGUGGGAGACUAUUGAUUCUCAAAAUCCGGAUAGUCAACCUUCACAACCCAAGAUGUCACUUCGAAAGAGGAAAGAUGCACACCUUGGCACUUACUCCCGCUCACAAGCUUCAUCCUCUACUUCAAAACCGUUUCGGAAUACCCCAUACAUUUCACAAAUCCCUUCUAUCAUGAGACCUUUUGUUGAAGAAAUUGUGAAUGUUAAAGGGAAUGGUCAUUGUGGCCAAUAUGUAACUAGUAUUAUAUAAAUAUAUGAAGUGAAAUUUUUUUUGGUGGCCGGUUAUGUCACGCCAAUUAUUGCUCGCAUUUUUUUGUCUCUAAUUAUUCAACUAUUUAUUUUAUCUCAAUAAGCUAAUAUUUACUCAAUAAGCUAAUAUUUGUUUUUCAUUAUAUUUUGUGAAAUGAAACAUGUCUAAAGAUUUACAAGAUCCAAUUAAACUUCAUGUUCGUUAUGUAGAUGUGAAAAAGAGGGCUAGGUUCUUUGUAAACCCCACCGACAAGUUGGAUGAGUUGAAGGCAAAACUUGACGACUUCUUUAUCCAUAUUGGUUCAAAUCAUAGAACAUGUGAUGUGAUAGUAAAUGUGCCGGGAGGCGUGUACUUGGGGGAGGAUAAUGAUGAAUACUUCUGAAAGACCGUGUAUUAUCCACAACUUCUCAAAGAUGAUAGCGACGUUGAUUACAUGUUUAGGUAAAUGGUUGAGGAUAACACUUUACAUCUUUAUGUCUGAUCCGUUGAAGUGUAAUAUUAAUGAACGUGUAAUAGUAUAAUGUGUUCGAAUUUGUGUCUAUAGUGAUGAAUUUAAAUGAAUUUGUGUUAUGUGUAAUUUGGAUCGUUUAUGUGAGACUUUGUGAUUUUGAGAAUUUAAGGACAAAUUGAUGUAAUUUCGAUCUUUUAUGUGUCAUUAUAUGCGAUUAAGUGAUUACGCGUCAUUAACGACGAAUUUGUGUAAUUUGGAUCGUUUAUAUGUGAUUAUGUGAUUUUGAGAAAAAUGAUGAAUUUUGGUAGCUUAUAUCCCCUCUUUUAUUCAACUUUGUCAAGCCAACGGAUAUAAGCUUCAUGUCCGACAUGGGGAGCUGACCUAAAAAUUCUAGAGUUCAUGAAGUCAAUCACAUAAGUACCUUCAACGAAUAUCCUAGGGCUAAAUUUGUGGUAGCUAGGGAAAAUCUCUCUAAGUUUUUCACUAUCUUUUCUAGACUUAGGAAGGGGGCCUAAGAAUGCAUGGGUGUUUGUGCUAGGAAUAAGUACCUGAUAUUUCCAAAUUAAUGCACGUUCAUCCUUCAGGCCAGGUUCAUCUACGAACUUGCAGUUUCCAGGUUGAAUGGGUUGUUAGAAGUUAAUAGUAGCAGCAAUGGUAGAGGUUGCAUGAUCCAGGGUUGUUGCAUGCAAAGUCGACACGACCAUUUCUCUUGCAAGAUCCGGAAUUGGAGUUUUUUUAGUUUUGGGAAUUUGAAACAAUGGGAUUACUGCACAUAAAGCCUCGCAGAGAUUGGAAUAAAGAACUCGCGAACAAUGAACGAAUGAGAAGAUGUACAUUUCAAGGUGGGUUUAAAAAGUAAUCUAAGGGUUGGAAAUCCCUUUUAUACCUUCUGAAAUAAAAAAGGUUCUAGGCCUUUUUGAGUUAUGGAGUUCAGAUGUUGACAAGUGGCGUUAUCCCGCAAGGGCAGUUAUAAGAAGGAGCUUAGUGGAAAGUUUUAAGGUUAAGGUGUGAUCCACUAUCUUAAUGUGAGUGGCACCACGAAAUGGUAUUUUUUUCAAAUGUCAAUUUUCUUUCUUCAUUUGAAAAAACAUUUUUAUAAGGACUAACUCGUGACACUUGGUGCCCUAGGGCAAUGGAAAGACCCCACUAACUUUUCAACUGCAAAGUGGCGGCCCACUAAAUCUUGAAGUUGUGCAAUAAAAGAAGAAUUGAAAAGACUAUUCUUGGAAGUAAUUAGAAACAUGAUGUCAUCCUCCAAGGAGUACAUAAUGUAUUUUCAAAAAUUCCACCUUCAAUGUUUUUUCCAUUCGAAAAGGCAUUUUUGGGGGACAAUUUGUUAGUCUGUAAUUUCGACAGGCUCAUUUAAUGCAAUCAAUGAGAGUUGACUUUUGCUCUUUCAACAACUAAACACGUUAUGUCUAGCCUGAAGAUUUCGACAUGGUCUGGGACUGGGCAUUUAAAAGAGUUCAAGAGCUUUGAGGUUUGACAAGAGGUGAUUUAGUCGAGAAGUUUGGUCGAAGCCAAGCAAUUGCUGUUGAAACAAAUUAUAGUUCAAAUUCAAAAAGCAACGGUUUCUCAGUAAGAUGUGGGGGACAAACGGUUUUCGAUCGUGGGAGUGCAACUCGUGGCAUUUUAGUUUUUGUGGUUGUUUCUUCUAUGUAUAAAUAAGAGUUUUUCAUAUGAAAAACAAGACGCAAAUCAUUUAUAAAAUUCUAGCACUCGAAGUACCGGCGUCUAGAGAAAAGAGUCAUAUAGAAUGUAUGUAAACUGAUUUGUCGAACCACCUUUACAUUUAAAUGCAACACAUUUUACAUUUUCUUUAAGUUUUUGUGUUUUAAACUUUUAAUCCUUUUUUACAUGCAUUUAUCUUUGCUUCUAUUCCCGUCGAAAGACGUUUUGUUUUUUAUACAAAAAUUGUUGUAUUCAUUAGGCAACCUAUGAAUAUGAUGAAUACUCACGCAUUUUCUGGAUAAAAGAUUACACAACAAGACCCAAGAUUUCUAGUUUGAUCCUGCGCGUAAUAAUAAAAAACACAGGUAAACAGACUUCCACCUCAAGUCUAGGGGAAGGGGGAUAUUAUGUAAAGAUAAGUUCUUACGUUGGAGUUGACAUCGUAAAUUUUUUUAAUUUUAUAUCAGAUGAAAUUCAAAAACUUUUCACUUCAAUACUUUUAAACUCAUUACUCACUACAUGACCAAGGGACAAGAGGGCUAGUGUUAGUACGGGCCUAAAAGGCCUGAUCAAAUUAUUCUUUGGAUUUUCCAACACCACAACCCAUGGGAAGAUGGCAUAAAGGUCUAAUAAAUGGGCCAGGUCAUGGUUCACCAAGGUGACCAUGUCGUCUGGCCUCAUGAUAUUCGACCUCAUGCACCACCUCAGGAGAUAUAACACCUCAAAAUGAUGUGCUAGUCAGGGUAACUACCAUCUACUAUACAUAUUAGGAAUCACUUUGUUCCAACUAGAGAGUUGACACGGUCCACCCCUUUAAGAAUAUCAAUCUUGUGGAUAGCUAUCAGAUCGUUCCUAUUUACAGAGACCUCCUUUAAAAGGGAGUUAAAUCAAUUUAUUUUUAUAGAGUAAAAACUAAUUACCAUGUAGUAAUACUUUUAAAAAAAAUUAGUAAUUCAUUAGAUCAAAACUCGGGAUAUUACAAAUGGGGCUAAUGGUGUUUUACCCCCCUGUAAUAUAGGUCAUUUUCAGGUUUAUCCCCUGUAAAAUAUUUUUUUUUAUUUACCCCCCUGUAAAAGUUUUUUUUUCCAGGAUAGCCCUUAAUAGGCCAUACAAAAACCAAAUUAUUUGUAAAAAAAAAAUAAUAAUUCUUUUUUGUUUGGCCUAUUAGGGGGGUAUUUUGAAAAAAAAAAAUCUAUUUUACAGGGUGGUAAAUAAAAAAAAAAUUAUAGGGGGUAAACCCGAAAAUGGCAUGUAUUACAGGGGGUAAAACUCUAUUAACCCUUACAUAUAUUCUUUUGGUUAUUGUUUGACCUUGAUAUUUCUCCCCCUUAUUUUGAUUAUAUUCAUACAUUUUUAUUUUAUGUAUUUAUUUUGCCCAUCAAUGAAGUUCGAAUUCCUUAUGGAUAUUGACUUAUUGUUGAGAAUAAUUUCUAGUAAUCCUAGUACUCCCUUUUGAGGUAUCUCUUUUUAGUAAUUUAACUACUAUUGAGUUAUAUAACAUGAAAUAGAAAAUGAAUGAAUUUAAGUCAGCUCGUUGAACAAAAUAUACAACAUGAAAUUGUGGUAUUUCUUUUCCAUAUAACUCUGAUAAUAUAAGUAGUAUAAUCUAAGAACAAUUGAUUUAUGGAUGGAUGUUCUUUUUAUUAUAAACUAGGCAUGAAGUAUGAUAUAGUUGUGAUUUUAUUAUACAUAUUGUAUGGGAUACAAUACACAUGUGUGUGAGUCUUAUAUCCAUGGAUGUCCCCAAUCCCCUCCAUUUCGUUAUUAAAGCAACCUUCCUAACCUCUCUUUUUCCCCAAACCUCUCAUACAUUUCUAAUUCAUACCUCCACCAUUGUAUCCAUCUAUGUUGUCUCUUCCACUUAUGUUGUCUUCAUCUUUUCCUUUUGCACCUUUUUCAUGUGCACCUUCUUUGUUUAUUCCACCAAUAUUCUCUUUCUCAUCGUCCCAAAAUGAGCCUCCCCAGUCUCUCCAACCUUCUGUUACACUUUCAUGGACUUCACCUAUUUCUUUUGCACCUUUACCUUGUCCACUAUUUUUUUUACCUCCACCAUUAUUCUCUUGUCCAUCUUCCCAAAAUGAUCCUCCCCAAUCCCGCCAACCAUCGGUUCCUAUUUUUGUUUUGGAUUCUCUUGUUACACCAUCUGCAAAUAAAAAAAAAUACUUUUUAGUAUAUAAUAAAUAAAAUGCACAUACACCUAUAUAUAUAUAUAUAUAUAUAUAUAUAUAUAUAUAUAUAUAUAUAUAUAUAUAUAUAUAUAUAUAUAUGUAUGUAUAGACACACACAACAACAACAACUUUGAUCUUUGGAAGCCUAAAUUGCCCUAGUAGAGAUAAGAAGUAGUAAACAAAGAAAGAACAUGAAGAAAAAUUGGUUGAUUUUCAUCCUUGAUUAACCAAUAUUAUAUUUUAGUCAAUAUGAAUACAAUAAGAUGCUAUUUAUAGAUAUUAUUUGAUAAAAUAAGAAUACAAUUAUUUUGAUUAGAUAAAAUAUAAUGUACAAUAAAUAAUGAUUAUUAUAUAUAUCAUUUGGUUGAUUGUGAGAAUAAUGGGUUAUAUAAACACCUAUUGAGAGAUUGAAAGGUUAUAUUGGGUCAUGUUUAUCAAACGAGGUAAGAAUAUUUGUCACACAACAACAGCUAACAAGUGAUUAUAACGUUUGAUAUUUUCUAUAAUAUUAAACAUGGUUUUAACUAUUUGUAAAACCAUAAUAGUCAUCAUAAAGAAAGAACAAAUUAUUCUUCAUACCAAUUCAUCUAAAUAAUGAAAAAAAUAUUAGGAUCAUCAUAAGUAAAUGUAUCCAUUUAUUCAAUCACUUAUUUUUAAUGAAAUAGGAAUUGACUUCUAAUAUGUUAAUAAAUUUAUAUCAUUCCUACAUACUAUUAUCAAAAACCAUUGAAUAUUAGUAUAUGAUAUAGUCUACCUUGUCCUCCUUCUUCCUCACCUCCACCAUUAUUCUCUUCUCCAUAUCCCCAAAAUGAUCCUCCCCAAUCUCGCCAACUAUCAAUUCCUAUUUUUGUUUUGGAUUCUUUUGUUACACCAACUGCAAAUAAAAAAAAAACUUUUGGUUAAAUAUAACAAUAGGUAAAAUGCACAUACAACCUUAUGUUAUAUUUUCAUGGACUUCACCUUUACCUUCUCCACCUUCUUUGUCACUUCCACCAUUAUUCUCUUGUCCAUCUUCCCAAAAUGAGCCUCCCCAAUCUCGCCAACCAUCAAUUCCUACUUUUGUUUUGGAUACUUUUGCUACACCAACUGCAAAUCAAAAAAAUACUUUUUAUUAAAUAUAAUAAAAGAAUAAAUAAAAUUCACAUACAAUUUAUAUUUAUACUUUGAUUCCCAUCUUUGGAUGUCUGAAUUGCCCUGGUAGAGAUAAAAAGUAGUAAACAAAGAAAGAACAUGAAGAAAAAAUGCUUGAUUUUCAUCCUUGAUCAACCAAUAGUAUAUUGUAGUAAAAUAUGAAUACAACCAUAUUCUAUUUAUAGAGAUAAUUUGAAAAAUAUAAAAAAUUAAAACAUCUUGAUUUGAUAAAAUACAAUGUACAAUAGAAAAAAAUAGAAUAUAUAUAAUUUGGCUGGUUGUGAGAGCAAUAGGUUAUAAACACCUAUUGAGAAAUUGAAAGGUUAUACUAGGACAUUUUUAUCAAACGAGGUAAGAAAAUUUGCCACACAAUAUCAACUAGAAAGUGAUUAAGACGUUUGAUAAUUCCUUAAUCUUAAACAUAGUUCUAACUAUUUGUAAAGAUGUAAUAGUUAUCGUAAUGAAAGAACAAAUUGUUAUUCGGUGCAAAUUAUCUAAACCAUUAAAAAAUGUUACGAACAUGAUAAGUACAAGUAUCUAUUUAUUCCAUCACUUAUCUAAAUCGAAAUAGUAAUUGACUUCUAAUAUUUUAAUAAAUUUACAACAUUCCUACUGACUAUUAUAAAAAAAAAACCAUUGAAUAUUGGUAUUUUCUAUCGUCAGAACUACUCGAAACAUCAUCAAAUAUUUUAGGAAUCAUUAUUGAUGGCCUUAGUUGUCGCUAACCUCACAUGUGCAUUAAAGACGACCUAACCCUUGAAAAUAAAUUGUGACAAAAGGAAACAUUCAAAUCUUAAAAUUACUAAGGGCUUCAUUGAUGGACAAGUUAGCAAGUAUACAGAAUCACACAAAUAAUAAAGUGAUAAGUUAAAUCCACCACAUAGAUUGUUGUUUUCUACUAAAAAAUUAAAGGAAUACUUUCUUAAAAUAGUAAAUGGGGGGGGGGGUCAAAAUUUAUUUUCAAUUGAAAGUAAAAUAGAUAAAUUUAGAAUGAUGAAAGUGGUUAGAGUUUCUUGAAUUCCUUCUAUUUCCUUAAUCCAUAAACAAUUUGAGGUCUAUGUUCACGACGUUUCACCAAGUAGACAUAUCCCAAUUAUGGCUAAAAGUAUUGUUUAUAUAAUAUAGAACCCUAAUUUCAUAGGUGAAACUUUAUUAAUAAAAGCAUUAAAGAACUUUAAACCAUGUCAUUCUAAUUGAAUUUCCUAUGUAUAGGCCAAUUACUUUAACAUAUAACAUACCUAGACCAAGAACAAGAUAUAUUAAGUAGAUGUUGGAAUAUUUGAUUAUUUAAUUAUAUUCUGAUAUCAUUAUAUGGGUAAAUAUAGUAAUAAUAAUAGGGAGCGCCUUAAUUGAUUAGUGAUCAAAUUAAAUGAUAAGGCUAAUUAUAUUUUUAUUUGGAUAAUUAACUAAUAUAAAUAAUUGAUAUGAACUCGAUAUGAGUGAAUGUAUGGAUGACUCAUCAACGGAAUAAUGGAAAACUCUAAUGGCGAUUCAAUAUAAAAGAGGCAAUGGUCCCAUUACACCAUACACGACAAACAUUAUAUUCUCUCAUUCCGAAGAGAAUUUGAGGCAUCAAGGUACCUAUUGAGGAAGAACCAAAUCAAUCUCCUCUAACCUUGGUGUUUGUUUCAGAUCAUCUUCACUAUUUGUUUAUCAUUGUUGUUGAUAGAGCUGCCAUCAAAACAUCAUCCAGGUAUUCCUAAUAGUUAAUUAUUGUUUUUCUUGUUAAAUCAAACAUGUCCUUUCAUAGUUCAAUGUUUUGUUUGCCUCCGCUAUUGAUCAUCUUCCUUAUUUUUCUGAAUUUUUGGUGGGUCCGAAGUAAAUCUGGUGGACUGUUGCCAUUACGCCAUGGGAUUUUAAUAUUUUGGAUCAUUCUCAGAUGAAAUCAUUUAGUUCAAUUUUCAUAAAUUUUGGUGUAUUGUUAUAUAUUUAGUCAUGGCUAUAACAAUUACAUGUAUAUAUAUAUUUAGUCAUGCGCAGCCCUACCAGCGUCUACCUUACCUAGAGGUCGAGGGUAAUGGUCUUACUUAGGUUUAUUCUCCUUAGUGUUUGUUUCCCUAAUUAUUUAAGUAGUUACAUCCUAAGUUCAUCAGAUUUUACUCAAUAUUAGUAAUGUCACCUCCUAAGUACUUACUACUAUAGAGUCAACUCUCUUUCGGUAUCUUUCACUAGUUUACUAAUCACUUACUUCCUAGACAGAUAGUUACUAAUAUAAGGAAAUAAAUAUCAAGAUAUAUGCUUCAAGAUAGUAAUAGCAAUGUUAAGCCCUAUCACGACCUAAGUAUCUAAUCUAGGGUUGUACCUCACCAAAAUAAAUUAAUCAUAAAUAAAACUUAAUAGCGAAUAGAGAAUAUAACUCCUCCUUGGCUCCUAGAAUAGCCUUUCUCUUGAAACGCUCCAGUUCUGAACGAGAAAUUGUGAAUGAAGAAGGCUGGUAUUUGUAGGGAAUGUUUCCACCGUACUUGGGCAAAAUCAAGGGCUUCUAAGGGCGAAAAAGUCACGAAAAAUUACUUUUUCGUAAGUUUUCAUGUGGCUAACGCCUAGGGUUGUGCGCCUGGCGCAUGUGCCUCAGACUUCUAGGCUCGAAGUUCCUAAAGGCAUGCGCCAGGCGCUUUGGUGCUUUACUUUCAUGCGCCUCGCGCUUCGUUUUGUGCGUCAGGCGCUUUGGUGCAUUACUUUCAUGUUUUCCUGUAAUCUUCUCUUAUUGAGGUGUUUUCUUCAUUGUUAAGUUGUCUUGGAUAUUGGGAACAUAAUUUCUCCCAUUGUAAAGUCUUCUGAGACAUCUUGAAUCUUCAUUGUUCAUCUUCCCAAAGCCAAAUAAUCUUAUGAGGUCUUGAUUUGCCAAAUUUCUUCGUGAACUCCUUCAAGAACCCCUAAAAUUGCUAUGUUUCGAGAAGAGUAGAAUUAUAGAUUCAAAUAUAGGAAACAUUAUAAAUGUCCCGAAAUCUUUGGCAAUUGAUCUAACACUCCUCUGGUUUAUGGGUAAAACCUACUAAAAUAUAUUGAAAAACAUGUUAAGAAUAACGUAAGAUGACCUGUCAUUAGAUCACUGGAACAUUGUCCUUUUUUAGGAUAUAUUUUGGUACUCCGAUUAGAUCAUGUGCAGUAGUGGAAUGAAGUGUCGUCACUUUUCGGGGAGGUGAUGAGGUAGUACAUGCGUGUCCAAAAUAUUAUGAGGCCUCCUACGUCUGUGGCAGAUCUUGACCCACCCAAGAUAGCCCAAGCUCUUGACAUUUGCGUAUUCACAUUUUUAUUUAUGACAUUUGCAUUAUUUGGAAUUAUUUUUUAUUUCAAUUUUGAUUGAAUGAAUGAAGUGAAUGAACAUUGUGGUAGUGAAUGAUUGGAAAUAAAAAUAUAAAAAAAAACAAGUUUAGGUGCUUAAAAACACAACAAUUCUUGACUGCAUUGUUAUUUUGUUAGAAGACCUGAAACCAGUGCAAGUUUACUGCAGUUGGGACCGAGCAGCAGUUAACUUGCACUAGGCUCAUCUGGGAGAAUUUCAGGGUGGGAAUGAGCAACUUUGAAAAGGAGAAAAAUAAUUUCCAUUAGGAAUAUGACAUAAACGCCUAAUAAACAAGCCAAGUCAUGGUUCACCAAGGUGACCAUGUCGUCUAGCCACAUGAGAUCUAACCCCAAGCACCGCCUGAAGAGAAAUAACACCUCAAAAUGAUGUGUGAGUCAGGCUACUACAUAUCAUGAAUCACUUUGUUACUAAUAGAGGGUCGACACACUCCACCUCUUUAAGCUUAACAAACUUCUCGAUAACUACCAUGUUGUUUCUAUUUACAAAAACCUUAUUUAAAAGGGAGUUAACUCCAUUUAUUUUUAUAGGGUAAUAACUAAUUAGCAUAUAGUAAGAAUUUUUUAAAGGAAAAAGUAGUCGUCAUUGUUUUAAAGUUAAAAAGGUACUUUGAUUAUAUUCAUAGAUUUUUAUUUUAUGUAUUUAUUCUGCCUAUCAACGAUGUUCGAUUUUCUUUUGGAUAUUGACUUAUUGUUAAGAAUGAGUUGCAAUAAUCCUCGUACUCUAUUUUUAAGAAUAUCUUUUUCCCCAUUAAAAAAAUAGCAUGAAAGUACUUAUUAUCACUUUCAACUAAUUUAAUCACUAUUUCUUUAUAUAACAUGACACAACUAAUGAUUGAAUUUAAAUCAGCAAAUUGAACAAAAUAAUAUAAGAUGGAAUCAUGGUGCUUCUUUUAUGUAUAGCUUUGAUAAUAUAAGUGGUAUAAUAUAAAGAUAUCAAUAAAGAAACUACUUAUUUAUAGAUAGAUGUUCUUAUUAUUAUGUAAUUGGCAUGAAAUAAGAUAGAGUGGUCAUUUUAUUUUACAUAUUAUAUGGGAUACAAUACACACAUGUAGAGUCUUAUUUCCAUCGAUGUCUCUCAUCCUCUCCAUUUUCAUUGUUAAAGCCACCUUCCUUACAUGUCCUUUUCCCCAAACAUAAACAUCUACCAUUCUCUCUAUUUAAUUAAGUGGUUGAGACUUUCAUUUUUGGUGUCUUCACCAUUUUCUUUUGCAAAUUUUCCAUGUUCACCUUCAUUGUUUAUUCUACCAACAUUCUCUUUCUCAACGUGCAGAAAUGCACCUCCCCAGUCUCUCCAACCUACUGUUACACUUUCAUGGGCUUCACCUUUUUCUUUUGCACUUUUACCUUGUCCACUUUCUUUGUCACCUCCACCAUUAUUCUCUUUCUCAACGUCCGGAAAUGAGCCUCCCCAGUCUCGCCAACCAUCAAUUCCUAUUUUUGUUUUGGAUUCUUUCAUUACACCAACUGCAAAUUAAAAAACAUUUUUAUUAAAUAUAAUAAAUAAAUAAAUAAACAUACAAUUUAUAUAUAUACAUUGAUUCCCAUCUUUGGAUGUCUGAAUUGCCCUAAUAGAUAUAAUAAGUAGUAAACAAAGCAAGAACAUGAAGAAAAAAUGCUUGAUUUUCAUCCUUGAUCAACCAAUAGUUUAUUGUUGUCAAACUUGAAUACAAUCAGAUGCUACUUAUAGAGAUCAUUUGAAAAAAUAUAUAAAAUAAGAAUAAAAAUAUCUUGAUUAGAUAAAAUAUAUUGUACAAUAAAAAAUGAUAAUAUGUAUCAAUUGGUUAAUUUGAGAAUAAUAAGUAAUAAACACCUGUUGAGAAAUUGAAAGGUUAUAUGGGAACAUGUUUAUCAAACGAGGUAAGAAGAUUUGUCACACAAUAAAAACUAACAAGUGAUUAAGACUUUAGAUAAUUUCUUUAACAUUAGAAAUAGUUCUACUGAUUAGGAACAUAAUAAGUACAUGCAUCUGAAAGAAAAACCAUAAUAGUAAUCAUAAAGAAAGAGCGUAUUAUUCUUCAUACCAAACGAUCUAAACCAUGAAAAAAAUUAGGAACAUAAUAAGUACAUGCAUCCAUUUAUUCCAUCACUUAUCUCAAAUUAAGUAGCAAUUGACUGCUAAUAUUUUAAUAAAUUUAUAUUAUUCCUACUGGUUUUUAUUGAAAAUCAUGGGAUGAUGGUAUUUGCUAUUGUCAUAAUUACUUGAAACAACAUUAACUAUUUUAGGAAUCAUUAUCAAGGGCCACGGCUACCGCUAACCUCAUAUGUUCAAUACGGACGACCUAACCCUUGAAAAUCAAUUAUGGAAAAAGGAAACAUUCAAAUCUUAAAAUUACAAAACGUCUCAUUGAUGGACAAUUUGGCAAGUAUAUACCAAAUUAAACAAGUAAUAAAGUGAUAAGUUAAAUUGUCUACACAUGGAUUAUUGUCUUCUACUCGGCAACUAAAGCAAUAUUUAAUUAAAAUAUCAUCUCCACAUAAAUUUUGUGUUUAUGAGGGUUAGUUUUGUCAUUCAAAAAGGCUUAGUUGCAUAACUUAUUACUCGUUUGCCUUCCACUCAAAUGUAUAUUUUUUUUGGGUGUGUGUUUGUGUGUGUGUGUGUGUGUGUGUAUAUAUAUAUAUCAAUUUCAAUUAAAAUAUUCAAAGGUAUUUCCAAUUGAAAGUAAUAUAGAAUAAAUUCAUAAUGAUGAAAGUGAUUAGUGUUGAGAUUUGUCUCAAAAUCGAUGGUUGAAGGUUCAUAAAAAAUCGAGGCAUAUUUUUUAACUUCGUUUUGUUCCGACAAUCUCCCCCUUUUUUAUGAUGACAAACACAAGCAUUAAUAGACAAUUGUUGUUAAUUUAAUUAACGAGCUGACUUUAGGAUCUGAGGUUUGUAAGUUUCCCAUAAGUUUGAUUGUCCAUAAGGUGAGGUUUGCAAGCUCCCCCUAAGUUCUAUCCAGGUUAAUUAAAUUCAUUUUAAGUACAUUAAAGUAUAAUAACGCAUCACUCAGAAGACUAACACAAUAAAUCCAGAGGGUAAGAGAUGAGAAGAAGAUUCCUAAGUCAAAUUUAAAAUUAACCUAGUGGAUUUUGAGCCAAAUAUUUCCACCUAUUCUACUACUAUACUUCUUUCUAUUAUGAGUAUGAAUCCUAACCGCUACUAAUGUUAUUCAAUCAAAACAGGUAAACUUUGUUAUGUUGCAAGCAAAUUAAAUUGCAAAACUCUAAACUCUUUUCUCUUUUAUUUUUAUUUUAUUCCCAAAUAAGUAGCGUGAAUUGUUUGGAUGAAAAGACAUUACCUAUGGAUACGAUACUCUACUUAUCACUUUAUUAUUUGGUAAAGGAUUUGGUACACGUGCUUAAUCUGGCCAUCAGAAACCAAAGGGUGGAACUUUAGGGUUGAGUGUCUUUGGUGAGUGUUUUUUCUUUGGUUGGAAAACAUUUGUAAACACCUUGGGUAGUGAGAUCUCAUUAGCUGAAGGAUAAAAAAGUUUCCUUUAGUGUUUUCUCUUAGGAUUCAUUGCGAGUGUGUAUGACUUGAAAAAUGGGUAGAAAUUAGAGUUUGUUCUUUGUGAGCUUUUAAGCUAAUUUCUUGUAAUAUCUUUGUAUCAUUCUUAUCGUAGAGGAUCGGAGAGCUGCUCUAUCCUCCAGAGUAGGUCAUUUUUAGACCGUAUAGGUAAAAAAUAUUGGUGUCUUGUUUCCUUUCUCUUCUUUAUUAUAUUUUUUGCUUUGAUUAUGCUUGUGGUGUUGCUUCACACUUAGAUCUAGGUCUAUUUGUUGUAGUUGUUGUUGCUACUGUUUGCGACUACUUCGCUCAUUGAUUACUACUUCAUUUGCACCACACGUCUAAAUUUUAUUGAUAUGAUUAUUUGUUCAAAUUCACAAUAACAAAAAAUUAUAACGACCAAAAAUUUAUUUAACCUAAUGAAUAAAUAUCAAAGAUAGUUAUAUAAAAUAUUGAUACCACAAAGAAGACAACCAACUGAAAUAAAAAAUAAUAAUAAAAAAUCAAGUAAGAAAAUCUAAAAAGACCAACUCAAAAGAAUUAACAUACAGGUGAUAAAACUGCAAACUAAGCUUUAUGUAAAUCAAUGAGGUGAUAUGAAACAAUUCUCGAUAUGACAUUUUUACAUCUUGAUCGAACUUCAGAUUAUUAGUUCUCCUUAAAACUAGAAGGUUAACAAAAAACUAUCUAAUUCUACAGACUACAGGCAAGGUAACUAAACUACUGGUCAACUAUAUAAUCACCCAAGCGCAAAGCGGAAAAAAAAAAAAAAAAGUUAAUUACCAAAUACAAAGUUAUAGUAAAUUCGAACAACUAGUUAAUUACCAAGUACAAAGUUAUAGUAAAUUCGAACAGCUAAUGAUACCAAAGUAAAGGAAAAAUACUAAGGUCCCGUGAGUUUAGCUCAGUUGGUAAGGACAAUGCAUAAUAUAUGCAAGAUCCGCGGUUCGAACCCCGGACACCACCAAAAAAAAGGAAAGAUACUAAGAUAGCACACAAAAGGCACAAAAUAAUAAAACUACACAGAAAUCUUCUUCAUCGGUUGAAGAUUAAGCAAAAAAAAAAAACAUUAGCAAAAGAAACAACGAUACCAAUUGAAAUUGAUAUCAAGAAAAUGUACGCUAAGAUACUAAUACAAAAAAGUCUUUUUUAUUUGUUUUUAAGCAAAGUAUAAGUUGAAUUAAAAUAAAAAAGGAAGUACAAGCUAGGGGCAUGAUCCUGACCCAAAUAACCACAGACUCAAACCCUAACAGGUGAUUCAACAAAUCUGCACAAGAGUGGUAAACAAAACAACUCCAAACAACACUACUACGACCAGUCCAGUGAACCCAUGUGUGGAUACGAAAUCAAACUAAAAAAAAUGCAGCGUGAAUGUUUAGAGUAUCAAGGUAGGUGUAUGAAUCGUUUGCCAGCACAGAAAUCAUCCAAGGUCCAACAGCUCCCUAAAACAUUUCAGCAAGUCAAAGCGCCCUUUCGGGCCAAAUCAAUCCAAUUGAAGUUCAGAUCAAUGAAAAAACGACGGAUGUAACAUCCUAAAGUCUAAAAGCAAUAAAUUACGCUAAUGAUACAAUCAUAUAAAGAAUUUAGAUGCUACUUCGCCAGUAAUUCACCAAACAUGCAUAAAUAAUUUUCUCAAAACAUCGCAGUGGAAUAAUAACAUCAUUAUAUCGACAUUUAAAUAAAACAUCUCAACAUUCAUCCAUAAUAAAAUAAGUCAUCAAGUAGCCAUGUCAUCAUACAACUCAUGUCAACAUUAAUACAGUCUCGAAAAUCUCCAACAGACAAAAUAAUAAAAAAAGAAAAAACAUAAACAUCAAAGACCGACCCCUAAUUAGAGCCUAAAGUCUAAGAUACCGAAAACAAUAGACGAGGUAGCUCCAAGCUAUCCUCAAGCAACUCACCAAAGCAAAGCAAACUAUUCUUGCGCACCGUCUACCCAUCCAUACGGAUAAGGAAGGCGGUAAACCAAACGAUCACUGGGGGUUAGUUCACAUUUCACAAUUAAAGUAUAAUCAAACAUAAGCAUUCAAGGGUUCAUACAUGACACAUAUACAUACUCAACAUUCCUAGUAUACUACCAUCACAUAUAUAUUAUCUCCAGUUCAACAUCAAUCACGUUAUCAUACUUCUAUCAAAACACAUCAAGCAUAUUCAUUCUUUAAUCAUCUUUAAUAUUCAUCACUUAUAACAUCCAUCAAUAUAAGAAUUACUCACCUUAUUUCUCAUUUAGCCUAAUCAAAUCAACAAAUACAAUACAUCAUUUCAAAAGUAUAAGCAAGGAAAUCAUCGUCACAAAAAAGAUCAUCAAAUCACAUUCAUAUAAAUCACACUUCAUUAUUUUCACCAAAAUAAACACCGUUAAUUAAAAUCACCAAAUGUACAAGUAUAACCAAGGAUAACAAACAUCAACAAGUACACAUGUUCACCAAAUUUCACCAAGUACACCAUUCACCAAAUUCACCAAUGCACAUAAAUCAUCAAGAUUCACCAAGCAUAUAAUUAAAUAUAACAUAUUUAACAACUGCGCCAAAUGUAUGCAAUGCGCCUAGACACGACUCUAUAUGCAUUUGGUAUCGGUCAUCGUCAAGGUCAUCACCUCAAGAUACAAUUGUAUCAUAAAUAUCGCAUCUGGAUACAAAAUAGUAUCGUAAACAUCGCCUUUGGACACUUAUGAGUGCAUGAACAUAUGACACAACAAUGCAUAUGUUCAUACAACAAAUCACCAACAUUUUACACAGAUGCAUUCAUCACCAAUAACAUCUACUCUUUGUAUGUAAUAAUUCCCGACCAAAAAUAAAUCAUCAACAUUAAAAUCAUCAUCAUAAUCAUCAUCAACAACCAACAUAUUUAUCACCAAACAUUCAUCAAAUAGUCAUCACCAAAAAGAAACACAUUCACCUCAUAAUUCACUAGUCAUAUUCAACAAGAGUCAUCACCAAAUCAUUAAAUUAAAAUCACGAAAGAAUUAUCAACAACAACUAUCACCUCAAAGAAAUAACAAGGUUUCAAAUUCACAUUUUCAAAAGUUUAUGAUACAAUUCACAAAAUCAAGUUCAAUCUAACUCAAUUGAUAUUUCCAGAGGUUUAGAAAACUCAAAUACAUUUAAUUACAUCAAAAUAAUCAGUUUGGAUGGUCCGGAUCAAUUCACUAAGGCCCGGAACACCCAAAACAUGGGGUGCUGUCAUUGGGCAACUCGCUUAAGCUAGUUCAACUUGCUUAAGCGAGUUUUCUCCAGAACAGUCCCUGUUCUAGUGUUUCUCUUACGGGAACACACCAUUUUUCACCCAAAAUCCCCAAUUUUGAUCCCUUUGACCCCAAAUUCGACCCAAAAACUUAUACACUUGAUUACAAACAUAAAUAGACAUUUAAAUCAACAACGAACAUCGGAUUAUAACACCAAUUCAUCUUAAAUCAACAUCUAGCUCAUUUUCACCAAAAACCACUAUUUUCUCAUUUUUCAUUCAAACUUCAACACAACCACACCAAUUCAAACCCCAUCAACAUACAAACAUCCAUGAAGUGAAUUCAAACAUGUUUCAACAACAAUCACACAUCAAUUCAUGAUUUACACUCAACUAGUCAAAAAUCAUCAAAACAACUCAACAAUAACAACAACUAUGAAGUUUAAGCUCUUAACACAACAAUUUCAUGAAGUUUAUCAUACCCACAAUUUCACAUAAAAUAGAAGCACAAAUUCUAUCAUUCAAAACCACAAAAAGUCACAAUUACUAUAAAAGCACUGAAACUCAUAAGUGAAAUUAAGAGAUUAUAGCUUAAUUAGUGAAAAUAGACUAUCCCCCUUACCUCUGGUUCUUCAAGAUUCCAAACCCUAACUUCAAUUUAGCUCCUAACCUCCAAUCCCAAACUUUCUUUCUCUAGCUCCUCUUCUAUCCUUUCUCUUGAUUCACUUUCUCUCUCUACCUCUCUCUCAAAAUGUUUUGUAAAAAAAUGAGUGAAUGAAUGUAAUGACCUAACUUUCUCACAGGACUAGUGUUUAUAUAGUCACUACACAAAUGGGCUUAGUCUAUAGUUGUCUUAAUAGGCUCAAUAUUCUUACCAACUAAUUCACCAAAGUUACUACACACUUAAACCGUCAAAAUAACGAAUAAUUACCGUCUCUAAGAUAAUUACCUCAACUCACUGGUAACUUAGUAAAAAUAACGAUUCCCACUUAAAAAACUACAAAUAACCCUCUUAGCAAAAGACUAAUUUGCCCUUGCUCACCAAAUGACCAAAAUACCCAUGAGCCUAAAAUGACUAAAAUACCCUUCUUAAGCCAAAAUCCACUAAUCCUGAAUAAAAUACACACACAGACAAAUAAUCAUAUACAAACACAUAUAAUCACACGUAAUAAAUAAUUAAAAUAUUCUAGCGAAAAACGGGUUGUUACAACGGACACAGUCCACCAACGGCACAACCGAUAACUGAUGAAACAGUUCUGAAGGUACGAUUAAUGACUACUACCGCCAACACGGAGAGAUUAUGUGUAACAGCCCAAUUUUUAGCUAGAUUUAUUUUAAUUACUUUUAAUUGUGUUUGUGUGUGAUUAAAUGUGCUUGUGUGUAUUUAAUUGUCAUUGGGUGCAUUUAAAUGGAUUACCGUAUUAGAAGGGUAUUUUGGUCAUUUGACGGGUAAGGGUAAAAUGGUAAUUUUGGUGAGAAUUAUUUUAUUAAUUGGUGAGGACCCUUAUUUUACUAAGUUACUAGUGUAGUGAUUAGUUUUUACCGUUAGUGACCGUUGGUUAUAUUUUACCGUUGUUAGUAAUUACCGUUGAGUGUAUAGAAACUUUUGAAUUAUGUUAGAAUGAGUUAGGCCCAUUAGAAUUUGGAAUUGAGCCCAUUAAGGGAGAUAACAUUAGGGUUGUCAUAGGAAAAUAUCUUUCAUUCACUUCACAAAACACUUUCCUAGAGAGAGAGGGAGAUAGAGCGAGAAAGAGGUGAAGAGAAGAACAAGAGUGUUGAAGGGAAAGCUUGGGGAAUCAAUUUGGGUGACCUAGGAGCUGAAUUGAAGCAAGGGUUAGAGAUAAUCAACUUCAAAGGUAAGGGGGUUAGUUAUUAUCAUAAUCAUGUACAAUCUUUGCAUUUUCUCAUGUUGUAUGAAAAUGGGUUGGUGAACAAUUGUUGUUAAAUUCGUGCUCUUGCUGUGAUGCUAUUUUCUUGUGCUUGAAUUGAUGAUUAUGGUAUGUUUAUGGGUGAAAUUACAUGUUUCAAAGUAUGUAUAAAUGUUAAGUUAUGAAAUUAUGCUUAAUUGAUGAAAUUUGAUAUGCUUUGAUUGAAAAGAGAUGUGAUUCAUAUUCCAUUAAUGUGGUUAUUGUUAACUGAUGCUAUUGUAAGUGAAUUAUGAUUUGGGUAUACUUAAUUGUGGAUUGAUGAUGAGAAAUAAAUUGUUGUUGAUGGUUUUGUGAAAUUAGUGAAGUUGAGUUAAGUGUUCAUGUGAAGGACCAAAAUGAACUUUUUGAUAUAUAUAUGGUUGUUGACUGAAAUUUUGUUAUUGUUGGAUGAAUUGAACCUAUGAGAAUUUCUGUUUUCACGUUGUGGUUAUGUUAGUUGAGUCGUUUGGGAGAAAACGGGUUUUUCGUGUGAAAUGUCGAUGUUUAAGCGUUUUCGCCAAUAAGUGAUUAUGUGAGGUUUUGGAAAAUGACUUUUGGGAUGGUUGAAACAUGAAAUUUUUAUAGAUUAUGUUAGAGUCAAGUGUCAGGAUCGUGUAGGUGAAAACGGCAUCAAAAUCCGAUUAACGGUUUGCAUUUUACGCGCGAAAUAGUGAAAAACGCACUUUUUGGAAAAGCUGUAAGCGAACACUUCAGAAGCAAACUUCAGAAGCAUACUUUAGAAGCAAACUUCAGAAGCAAACUUCAGAAGCACACUUCAGAAGCAUACUUCAGAAGCAUACUUCAGAAGCACACUUCAGAAGCAGGCCAGUUCCAGCAUCUCCUGUUUCGCGUUCUUGCGUCUUUUUCACCUAUUUCUGUUUCGAAUUGGCCUUUGGUGUAAACAUGAAAGUUUUAGAUAAUUUUGUUAGCUUUCUAAUGGCGUUGGUUUCAGGUCCAAAUGAUUUUUAGAACUCGAGUUAUGAUCAAAUUACUACACAUGGGUCAUGUGAAUUUUUGUGAAAACUUAGCAUAACUUUUUCUAUGAGUCGUGAAACUUUUCCAAACUUGAUAUUGGGCUUAAUGAAGUAUUAGAGGGAAUAAUUGAGUAUGUAAAUAUGUAAUUGGGAUGUGAUAAUGAUCAUGAGAUAUAUUUUGCUAUCUUACUUGGAAUAUGAGAAUGCUUGAAUUGGUGAAACUAUAUGAUAUAGUUGAUGUUGAGUGACAUUGUUGAUUAUUGAUAAUAUGUUGAUGUGUGAUGAUGAAUUCUAUGAUUUAUUUGUGUGGGCAUGUUUUCUUGAUAAUGCAAUGUUGUGGAGAUAAUCAAUAUAAUUGGGUGUUGUCCUAUAUAUUGAGUUGAGAUUGUGAUUUGUUGUCGCAUUAUCGAGUCCUUACACAUGUCCAUGCAUCAUAGUCGUUGUUGCUGUAAAAGGGAUGAAUCUUUUACUUCGAGAUUAUUGUAAGGCAGAGGUGAGCCUUACAUGCGAUGUUGACUUGUCCAUCGGAGGUGACGACCUUGUUGAGAUUUGGUACCACAUGCAUUUAUGUGUCAAUAAGUGCAUAUCAUAGCAUGAGUCCUAUGUGAAAUAUGUGAUUGGUGAUGAAUUGAGAAGAAUGAAAGUUGACAAUGAUUGUUUAUGAUUGAUGUUGUGAAUGAAUAUUUAUGAUUGGAUAAUUAUUCAUGUGAUUGAUAUAUGUGGAUAUGAGCUAUCAAGUUGUGAUAUAAGUAUUUAUGCAUGACUAUUAUUAUUCAAGUACAUGAUAUUUAUUUGAUUUGAUUAUUAUCUGGAUUAUGAUAAUGUAAUGCUUACCCCCAGUGGUUUUAACCGCCUACUUGCCUGUAUGGGUGAGUAGACGUUGUGCAGGAGUAGUCUCGGUGAGUCUUUGCUUGGGAUAUCGGGAGCUUCCUCCGAUAUCGGUGUCGUGUCGGCUCUGAUCUAGGCUUGUCGUGUCGGUCUAGAUUAGGUUGUUUAUAUUUUCGUUGGGAUUAUUAUUUUGUUGAUGACUACCCGAUGUUUGGGUUUUGAGAUUUAUCUUUUGGAUAUGAUUUAUUUGCUCAUGGCAUGUAUAUAUUUGAUCACUCUGAUUUAUAUUCCGCUGUAACUGUUGAGGUUUACAUACAUGUCUAUCGGUUUUUGAAUUUUGAAUAAGACGUAAUCUCUAUUUCUUGAAUAAAUGUAUUAUUCGCAUGUUUAAUUGCUUUAAUAGAAAUAGGAGCGUUACAUUAUGCACCAAACUCUUUCGAGAAACAUCUGCGGAAUCAAAUCCACACAGAUGAAACAGAACUUUUUUGUAACCAGAUCCUAAAUCAAGAAAAUCCAGAUUUAAGAUUAACAUUAAACCAAGAUCCGGAUCAAACCACCACCAGCUUCAUCUUCCUGAAAACAAAACGAAAACAACAAACAUACAGUGCAACACAACACACAAACAAAACAGAAAGCACAAACAGCAGUUUAACUUUUUUCUACAAAAAAGUAUUAGAAUACAAAAGAACUGAUUAGUAAAAUAACAUUGAGAAGAUAAUAAGUUGACUCAUCCUCUCUCCUUAAAGCUUCUUUUACAUGAUCAUGAUCAUGAUCAGUGAGAUAAUGGACGUAACCACGACAAUGCUAGAUGAGUUUUCUAGUUGAUUUCCUCCAAAUGAACUGUUGGUUACUAUAUAAUAAUGAAACCUCUUAUACGUUUUUUUUUUUACACAUUUCUAAUUCCCUUCUCAUUUCUAAAGUUAAAAAAGAAAGCUCUCUUCUUUCUUAUUUUUCAUCCUCAUCUCCAUAUUGACAUAAAGGGAGUUAUUAAAGGAGAUACUGAGGGUUGGAAAGUCUACAUUGUUUCUUCUCGUCCAUGUUCCAUGUUCUCUAUCUUCAUUUCUAAUUUACUUUGUUAAAUUAUUUUGUUUAUAUUCUUCAUUCUUUUGUAAUAUAUUUUUCACUUAAUUGCUCUUAUGGUCCCUUACCUAUUUUUGAGGUUUCACGUUGAUCCAUGAACUAGUUUUUGUUCCAUUUGAGCCCCUUAACUAUAUUUUUGUCAUUCAAAUAGGUCCAUUCCAUUAAUAUUUGACCCCAAUUUAAUGUAGACCAACAUUGUAAGUGUUCCGUCAAAAACCUCAUUAAUCUUUUUAAUUUUAAUUUUAAUUUUUAAUUUUAACAAUUUGAUUCUUUUUUCAAAAAAAAAAAAAAUCAUUGGAUCUUGAAGGUCUAUUGUAUCUCACAAUAAACCACUCACAAGGAUCUUUUUUCUAUUUCUUCAUUUUCGUCAUCAUCUUCACAAGCCUCUCUAGUUCAUUGUUAGAUACAAUAGACCUUUAGGAUCAACAAUUUUCUUUUUGUCAAAAAGAUCAAAUGGUUUUCUUUGGUGGAUCACCUACAUUAUUGGUCAACAUUAGACGUUUGAGGUUAAAUAUUAACGAAAGGGACAUAUAUACUUUAGUAACGUAGAUAUAGUUGAGGGACCUAGAUGAACAAAAUUUAGUUAAGGGAACAAAGUGAGACCUCAAAAAUAGUUAAGGGACUACAUAGUAAUUUUACAUAUAUUUUUUAUACUCCUAUAAUAUAAUUUGCAAUAAUAGAAAAUGUCAAAUAAAAAGUACAAAUCUAAUUUUGAAAAAUUGAAGCAGAAAAGAAAACAUUUUAUUUUUGAAGAAGACAAAAUAAAAUAUAUAUUAAGAGCACUGCUAAAUGAUGCGAUUGGGUUUUCGUGUAAAACACACGACCGUGUUAUUGAAUAUGCAAUCCAACACUUGUGUGCUAUAUUUUUUUUUAUUAUUAAAUUAUCAUAUUCAAAACCGAAAAAAAAUAUUUUCAACUCCAAACCGCUAAUCUCUAGUUUGACAGCAUAAGUAAAACUAAACUCCAAUUACAAUUCUUAAACAAUAGAAACAAGGGGUAAUUGUAACAAAAAAAAAAGUAAUAGUCAAUUUGGUUCAUAAAUGUGUAAUGAGUAGUCAUAAGAGUUCUUUUGAUGUAUCAAAAUUUUAAAAUAGUCCUUGAUUGUGCACUUCGCUAGUCCAAAUAUUGUGAGUACCGAGAUAUUAUUUUAGCGUCUGAAUCUAUUUUGACUAAUAUAGUGUACAAUCAAUAACUAUUUUAAAAUUUUGAUAUAUUGAGGAAUUAUUGUAACUAAUCAUUAUACAUUCAGAUAUCAAAAUGACAUUUGAAAUUUACUGUAAUUGCCUCUAAAACAGAGAUAAAUGUAAAAAAAAUCACAUAAAUGAAGCACACCGUCAUAACUUUUGCCAAUAUACAAACAAAUUUGAGCAAAUUACAAUCGUUUAGAUGAAUUUAUCCAUGUAUCUCAAUGCCAAAAUAUGAGUAAAUAGGCAACUACCCCCCUGAAAUUGUAAGUUUCGUCAAUUACCCCCCUGAAAUUAAGAAAACUUCAAAUACCCCCCUGAAAUUGCAUGACGUUGAUAAAAUUCAAUAAUUCUAUUCCAAAAACUUAAGAGGAGACAUAAAGCUAAUUGUUAAUUGUUUGUCUUUAAUAUCAUUUGAGGAAACAUAAUCUUUAAUAUAAAUUUUAAAGUUCGGGUAAGUGCAAAACUUCAGGGGUAUUUGCAAAACGUUAUGUUAACUAACAGAAAAACUUGACGAAGGGGGUAAAUUGAUUAACGUUGUGCAAUUUCAAAGGGGUAAUUGAAGUUUUGUUAAUUUCAGAGGAAUAAUUAACGAAACACAAUUCCAGAGUGUAAUUGCCUAUUUACUCGUCAAAAUAUAUUUCAGUAUAAUUACUGUAGUCAAAGGCUUGUUUUUUUUUUUUUAAAUAAUAGUCAAAGGCUUGUCUAGUUGUGUGAAUAAAGAAAAAAGAACUAGAACAUCAUUAUUUAACUUCGUGUGUAUCCCGCGAAUUAAUUAUCGUACUAAGUAGCAUUUUUCAUAUAUUAAAUCAAUGGAUCUCCACACCCAUACAAGAAGUGCUAGGCUAAAACUCAUAAGAAGUUACAGUCAAAAUACAAAGAACCAAUACAAACACUAGCUAGAAAUAAUCGAGCAAAACUAAUUGGGGAAUAAAGUAAAACACUGAAUGAAAUUAAUACACCAAUGAUGAAAAUAAAAUACGAUAUUUUGCUUGUAACUACCUAAAAGUGAACUUUAAAAAGAAUUUAUCGGAAGGGAAUAUUGAGCAUUUUUUUUCUGAAGAAAAAUCAUAUAUAUAUUAGAAAAAUACUUAUGACCCAACAAGGCUCAAGUCAGCAAAGUACAAAUCAGAAGCAAAAAGGGAUAACCCUCAACCUACACCCUAUCACUAUUUGAGAGAUCAAAUUUGGCUAUAGCCUAAACUAUGCCACUCAAAAUCUUGUCCUAAGACCCAUCAUUCUUGCAAAAUAUCCAAAUGAAAACAUGUGCCUUUAUAUAUAGGCAUCGUUUUGCUUUGUGUUACACUUCAAGAAAUAGCCUUAUGGCGCUACAAGAUUUGGAGAUCAACGAGAAAGUAAACAAGUGAAGGAACCACCUUGAUUGUCUUGCACUUCAAGAAAUAUCCUUGUGGACUGUAAGACUUGAUGAGGAAAAAUCAAACAAGUGAAGCAGCCGCAUUGCUUCUUUUGCUUUUCAAGAAAGAGCCUUGUGGUCUCCGAGAGCAAGAAAGCUGCCUUAUAUUUACAAUUUCUUGAUAAACAUGUAGCUUCAGUGUAAAAUAAUUGAGUCAGAUACAAAAUUCUUUAAACAAUGUCAUAAGGAUACUUUUAACAUUUUUUUAUAUAAUUAAACCUUUCUACACUAAAAUUGUCAAUGAUAAAAAUAAAAAAAAAUAAAAAUUGAAAUUAGAGAGUUGGGAUUGACGCCUAAUCUCCAUAACAAAUUUCAAUGAGAAAAAUAUUUGAUAAACACCCAAAAGUCGAUUAAUAUCUUUAGAGAGAAGGAAAUUGAAAGGAUGGUGUGAUAAAUGUGAUGAAAGUAAAGAGAUAUUAAAAAAAGGGUUGAUAGUGUUUUACCUCCUGUAAAAUAUGUUUUUUGGAUUCCGUCCUUGUAAUUUAAAGAUUUUUUGGUUUUAGACCUUCAUAAAAAAUUUUGCCCCCUGUAAUUUGUGGAAGUUUCGGUUUACCCCCCCUGCAAUUUGAGCAAAUUUCGGUUUACCCCCUGCCAUAUUAUCGAUUUUGUACGGUCAAAAUUCAUGAAGGUCUAAAACCAAAAUACUUCAAAUUACAAGGACGGGAUCCAAAAAGAAAAUUUUACAGAGAGAAAAACCGAAAAUAAUCUAUAUUACAGGGGGUAAAUCACUAUUAACCCUUAAAAAAUGAAGUGUCCAUGUAUCAUUACUCUUUCAAUAAUCCGUCCUUACGUUUUUCACAUAAUAAGGUUCACCUUUUCUAAUAAAAGGCAGACCUAGCUCAUCUCUCCUGACUUUUAUAUUUCAUUUUAGUUUUAUAAAAAAAAAAAAGGUUUACCUUUUGAAAGAACCAAGUUAUUGUUGGGAAAAAAAAAGUCAUACUGAGGAAACAUUUCAUAUCAAUAUUUAUCCUUAUAGCAGCAAGUGUCAAUAAUAACUCAUUUCUUAUGUUUUUUCCUUUGAGCAGCAAGUGCCAACAACAUAUAUAGUUGAUAUAAUAAUCAUACUAAAUUUGAUAGAUGUUAAGGUUAAAACAAAACUUCGUCUCUCUAAAUAUGUAUAAUAGUUUUCCUUUUUCAGUUUGGUUUGCUUUUCUUUGAGAUAUCGGAAAUUUGCCAUUUGGUUGUUAAUAUGAGAUAUAUAAUUCAUCAUAUUUCAUGGACUAAAAUUGAUAUGCCUAGCAAAUUAUUAUAAGAUUUAAAACCAACAUGAAUAAAUAUUGAAGUACCAAAAACAAUAAUUAAAUUUUGUAAAAGAAAACUACAUGUAAAAGCAAAUAUCAUUUAUUUCAAGAAUCUUUUUUUUUUUUAGUGGCCGCCGGGGUUUGAACUCCAGACCUUGCAUAUUUUAUUUAUGCAUUGUUCCAACCAACUGAGCUACAAAAGUUUUGCAAAGAGUAAAAGCAAAUAUUGACAUAUUUGCAUGAACAAAAACUUGUUUAAACUUAUACAUCAUAAUUUUCAACUUAAGUAGCCAAGUCAAACUCUGAAAUGUUGAAGAGCAGAGAUCCCAUCAAUCCCUUUUGUAUUGUAGUAGGCUACAUAUUCUGAAAUAGUUAUUUCUUUGUAUUUGGGAGGAUUGUCUUCUGAUAAAAAUUCUUUUAUAGGUCCGUAUUGGUUUGAGAAAGAGUUAAGAUCUGCAUUGAAAAAACAUGCAACAGAUACUCUAGGACCUAUGAUGUUUGCCAACACUUUGUGCUCCACACUCUUGAAUUUGUCAUUUGUUACCAGCUGUAACUCAAAUUACAACAAUAUUAAUUAGCUACAUUCGUAUAUAUAAGUUCCUUACACACACAAUAAGAACGUGUAGGGGGAAUAAUUAGAAUCAUGACAUUAAAGAAGGCAAGGAGUGGAACUAUAUAUAUUACUUGCAACACUGAACCCUAAUUUAUUACAGUAAUACAAACGGAACUAUAGUUUUUUUUUAUUUUUUGAAUGGCACAAACGGAACUAUAGAUGCUUUAUAGUCGCAGAUUUAAUCUCCAAUAAAAUAUACUACAGAAGUAGAAUAGAAAAGAAGAAGAACUUGCCUGUAGAAGAUCACCAACAUUAACAACAAGAGCAUCAGGUAUUGGAGGUAUAUCAAUCCACUUGUUCUGGUGAAAAACUUGGAGGCCACCAAUAUGAUCAUCUUGAAGAAGCAAUGUGAGAAAACAACUAUCAGAAUGUUUUGUGGUUCCCAUAGUUAAUUCUGGUUCAGGACAAGCAGGAUAGUAAUGACUAAGUGAUAGAAUCCCCUUAGCACAACCCAUGUCUUUUAAAUGGUUUGGAUGCAAUCCAAGAGCUUCUGAUAGUAAUUCAAAGAGUGUCAUUCCAAGUUUCGUUACAUAUUCACCAUAUUCCAAAAGUUCAUCCCUACAAAAUAAUUCAGCAACAAGCAAAUGGGUCAAAUUAUUUAUUUAAUUCAUUCAUGUUGGUUCGAUACAAGGACUCUCAAUUGUUAUUGUUUUGUGAGCAUAAUCAGUCUAGAAUACUCCCGUAUUAUUUUUAGGCUUAAAUAUGAUAAUCGUCCAUGUAAUUUAGUCCAAUUUUAAUUUUCGUCCAUGUAAAAAAAAAACUUUGAAAUAUCCUUGCAAAAAAAAAUUUGUUUGAAAAAGGUCCCUGACCCCACUUCAUCAUUGAGUUGGUAUGGUUUUGCCCACGUGGCAGUUGCUGACUGUGCAACUUUUGCCACAUGGCGAUGACGUGGCAUGCCACAUAAUUAAAAAAACAUAAAAAAUAUUUUUAAAAUUUUGAAAAUAGUUUUUAAAAACUGAAAAUAAAUUUAAAAAAUUCCAAAUAUUUUUUCGAUCAUAUAACUUUUAAAUAUAUAUUUUGUUUAAACUAUGAAGAAAAAAAAUUAGAAAGUAGUUUUUUUUUUAAAAUCUGGAAAUAAAAUUUUGAAAAUUAAAAUAUGAUAAGAAAUUUUUUAAAAAUUACAUAAUCUCAACAUUCAUAACUUUUGACAAUAUAAUUGUCAGUAUUUUAUAAAAAAAAAAAUUAAUAUAUCAUUUUUAAACUAAAAAAUCGUAUUUUUCAAGAAUCUAAUUUUCACUUUUUUUUCAAAAAAUUAAAUUUUAACUGUGUUUUUUGUCAAAAAAAUAAGUUUUCAAAAAUUUUAAUUUUCGAAGUUUUUUCUUUUAAAAAAAAAUAUGAAAAUUAUACGUUCAAUUUUUUUUUUAAAUAUUGACAAUUUUAUAUUCAGAUUUUAUUUAAUUAAAUAAUUUUCCGUUUUUUUCAUAUUUCAAAAAAUUAUAUUUUUUAAAAAUAUAUAAUCGGUUUUUUUUUUGAUGAUUUUUUUAUUUUUUAAAAUUAUUUUCAGAUUUUUGAAUUUUAAAAAACAAUUAUCAAAAUUUUAAAAAUGUUUUUUAAAAUUUAAUAUUAUGUAGCAUGCCACGUGGCAAAAGUUACACAGUCAGCAACUGCCACGUGGCCAAAGCCAUGCCACUUCAGCUGAAUAGUGGGGCCAAGGACCAUUUUCAAACAAAAAAAAUUUUACAGGGAUGUAUUUCAAAGUUUUUUUUUACAGGGACGAAAAUCAAAACUUGACCAAAUUACAGAGACGAUUAUAAUAUUUAAGCCUUAUUUUUACAAUAGAAUGCACGUGCUCCUAUUGUGCUUUACCAACAAUAGAGACCAUAUGAGUUUAUUGUUUUAAGUAGAAAAUAAGGUGAUGAUAAUGACUACAAGAGUUCCUUGUAGCUCACAUGCAAAGUGUAAAUUUAAAAUAUGUUUAUUUGUGUUAACCCACUAGUUUUUAAGGGAGUGAGUAAUAUAGAGUUCAGUCCGGAUGUAAAAAAAUGUUUUACGCGUGAAUCAAAUUUGAAUUUUCUUAAAUAAUUUAUCUUUCGGUAUAUGGUUCACUAACCAUUUAAAUUUAAUCACUUAGUUGAACUUCAAAUAUGUUUUGCUUCUUCAAAAAAAGUGUUUUGAUAAAGUAGAAUUGUGAGUUUUGUCAUUCUUUUAAUAGUUUUUCUUUGCGAGAACUUGAACCCUAGACAUUUAACUCCUUAACUCCUUAAUUUUUUUAGCUCAAAUCAGUUGAACUAUCUAAUCCUCUAGACAAUUAAUUUGUUGAACUUGAUUCAGUAAUCAAAUAAAUUUAACUUGAACUAAAAAAUAAAUUCAUUAACUAAAUGAGAUGUAUUUGUGCUAUAUAACUUGAUUCGAGUGGAAUUUAAAGCUAAAUCAAUUCUUAUUGACUCGAGUUGAGGCAAGUUCGACUCACUUAAUUACAACACUACUCAUCACCGAAUUUCAAUGAUCAAAUUAGCCUAAAAUUUUGGUCCCAACUAGAAAAAAAUAUAAAAUUAGCAACGGACAUUAUAGUGACGAAAAAUAUGGUCAUUAUUCUCUAGUUUUCUCGUCAUAAUAUUUACCGACAAAAUUAGAAGAAGAAAAAAAACUUAUUUUUUCUCUCUAAAUUUUUCUCGUUAAUUUAUAUUUUGGUUUAAAUGCACUUUUACUCUUACUAAUUCCUUAAAAAAGGUCCCCAUAUUUCUAUGUUAACGUGGCUGCGUUUUUUCCAACUCGCUAAUGUUAUAUCACUGCCAUGUCAUUAAUAAGAGCACCAUUUCAUCAAAAAUAGUAGGGGAUAAAAAAAAUCCCAAAAUUUGAUUAACGAAGGACCAAAAAAUUUAUUUUAAAAAUAGGGGACUAAAAAUUCAUUUUAAGGGAAAUGUGAGAACUACCUCAAAAAAAAAAGGGGGGGAAAUGUGAGAACUAAAAUGCAUUUAAUCCUUAUAUUUUUUUAGCAGUGGGUAAUACUAAGACAUGAUCUAACCUUCUUUUAUUUGCCAUUUAAAAAAAAAAAAAACUAACCUGCAUACUAGUGGCAAGUCUUGUGGUUUAGGAGCAUUAGGAGCCAAGGAACACACAAAAGUAUCCCUCCAAUUGAGUGCUGAUGAACUAUAAAGAUUAAAAUUGCUAUUGUAUGAAAAUGGCCUCAUUGGAUCACGAGAAUAUAACUCUUUUUUCACUUCAACAUCUUGUUCAAAGAAUCUAAUCACUCCAUUUCUCAUAUCCUCAAGAACAUUCAAAGGAAUGCCAUGAUUGACCACUUGAAAGAAACCCCAUGUCUCACAUGCUUCCCUUAUUUUGCUUGUAAUUUCAUGUCUUGUUUUUGGAUCAUUACCAAAAUUUGCAAAGUCUAUAAUAGGAAUAAUGUGUUGUGUAUUGUUUGAAUUUGUGGCCUUUCCAAAUUUAUCAAGUGGGUGGUGAAAUAAUGUUGGGAUUUUGACAACACCUUUAUCAACAAGGCCUUUAACACCGGUUUUUGUGUCAUCAAAUGCUUUGAGCUCAUGCAGCCUAUUAGAGUCCAUGUUUGGAACUAAACAAAAAUUGAUUAUUACAAGACAAGUUUAGCAAAUAGACAACAUUAAUUGAAACUAUAUAAUGUUAGCAAAAAAAAAUGAAAGUAUAAAUAAUACUCCUUCCGUCCCAAAUUGUAUGACGUUUUGGGCAUUUCACACAUAUUAAGAAAUGUAAUUAAUAUUGUGUGGGAAAGAGAUAUUAUGAGUUGUUUUACAAAAUUAUCCUCAAUAAAUGAUAUGGGAAAGAUAAAUGAAGGAAUUGAAAGAAGAGAGAGUAAUAAAUAGUUAAGGAUAUAAUAGGAAAAGUAACAUUAAUUUUUUAUUGAUAUUGUAAAGCGACAUAUAAUUUAGGACAAAUAUUUUUUCUAAAGUGACAUACAAUUUGGGACGGAGGGAGUAAUAUAUUAUGGUGGACUUUUGAUCCACCAACUCUACCAAUAUGAUACAUGCCUUAUAACUUGCCUCCAUCAAAUAUUAUGUAGCACUGAUAAAAAAGGCAUGUAUAUAUGUCAAGAUUAACGAAACACGUCAGUGACUUUCAAAUACGCACUAAUUGGAUAUUAAUAAGAUAAGUAUAUUAAUAGUAUAAUACGCAUAGAUAAUAUUGUUGUUAAUAUUUAGAUAAGAAUUGUAACUCAAAAUUUUUAAUAAUAAAACCAAUUCAUUGCACUAUAUAUUUUUAUUUGUAGCUUGUUUUACCAUGCCUUUUCCAUCUUUGUUGGUUGUACGACACGACAAAUAUAACCCCAGGUCCAAUAUUCAAUUAUAAUAUUUUUGCUAUAUCACAUUAACAUCUUUAUAGUUUCCCCUAAAAAAAACCUUUAGUUUAUCAAUACAUGUAAUAUAACUUUUUUUUACCAAAUAAUAUAACUUAUUUUUAAUCCAUAAUAUGAUAAUAAAUAUUCCAUAAAUAACAAAAUAAUUCUAAGUUUGUAAAUUUUCAUAUUCUAUAACUUUUAUUGGUCAUUUGCUUUGAGUUGAUAAAUAUGUGAUUUGAAGUUGUUUUGAUUUACAAGAAUUUGUCAUUUGCUUUGAGUUGAUAAAUCUCACAAGAUGCUUGAUAAAAGUCAUAUUUGAUGAUUCUGUUGCUUUCUGGUGUUGGUUAUAUGGAGUAUAUUAUGUUUAGACCUAUUCUUGAGUACAAUACUAAGCCAAAUGUGGAAGCUUUAUUCAGUAAUAUGGUUGAUUCUAUUGGAUUUGUGGAGUCAUGCAGAUUUGUAUUCUUGGUAAUUUUUUAGUUCAACUUUGAUGUUGCGUUGGAGUUCCUCUUGGUUUUAUUCACCUUUGCAUACAAUUUUGAGAUAGAUUUGUUUUAAGGGUUGUGUAUUGUUUUGUUACUUUAAGUACCAAGAUAUGGUUAAGGAAGAGUUGCAUAUUAGUGCUUCCUUCAUACUUAUACAUAUUGAUGUCUACAUUUUGGUGGUUGAUAUAUAUAAAGCCUAUGUGUUAGUGUUAGAGCACUUGCUAACUUUUGUUUCUUUGUGAUGAAGAUUCAAUGACUAUUCUUCAAUGUGCUGUUAGGCUUCAUAUUAUCUUGGAUUAUAUCAAUGUCUUUUGUAUGUCAAAUUGAAGAAGAUCGGUUAGUCUCAAUCACAAAAUUUGGUUACUACGAGAUUAAAUUAUCCGUCUUACAAAGACUAUAUUUAAUAUCAAAGACUAUAUUCGAGAAUGUAGGAAUGAAAUCCUUAUUUAAUAUGAAACGCUUUUUUAUUUAUAUUUUUCUUGUCUUCUUUCUUUCAUCGAUUAGAUUUAUGUCCCUUCAGUUUAUUCUUUUUCGCAAGUGCAUUUCUUGCUUAUAAAAGAAAUUAUCUAAAAAAUAAUUGAGAAAUCACAAAGUUUUCUCCGUCUAAUAUUUCAAAAUUAGAUUUCUACAAAUAAUUAAAUUAAAAGUCAAACAAAGAAUAUUCAAAUGAAAUAAUUUAUGUAAUAAUGUAAAGGUGUUGGACUCUGAAAAAUUGCACCAUUGAAAGAUUGAUAUAUUGCUUAAAAUUGACGUGAUAUUAAAACACCACUUAAAAUUACAAUUUAAGUUCAUUAGUGAAUCUUUCCAAGAAAGAAAAAAAGUACAUCAAUGAAGGUCAACCACAAGAUAAUUUAAGUUAUUAUUUUAUGCAUUUAUUUAUAAAAAAAAAAAAAAAAAAUCAUCAUUGUAAGUAAAUAUGAUAUAAAAAUUAUAAACAUAUGUAGAAUAAAAAUUAUGUCGACCUAUAUAAUUCUCAAAAAAUACCAUAAAGUAUAUUAAAAAAUCAAAUAAAUAAUAGAAAAAAUUACACUUUUAGUCUCUUAACUUAAUUUCAGGUAACAGUUUGGUCCUUUAUCUUUUUUUCAUUUCAAUUUGGUCCUUUUUGUCCAUUUUCAUACACAUUUUCAAGCUUCAAAUCUAAUAUUCUUAUACAAAUAUAGACGAGGAUCAUAGAUUUGAACACUGAAAGACCAUAAGAAAAUAAAAUCAUGAAUUUUAAGCUUAAAAUUUCAUUUGAAAAUGGACAAAAAGGACCAAAUUGAAAUGAAAAAAAGAUAAAGGACCAAACUGUUACCUGAAAUUAAGUUAAGGGACUAAAAGUGUAAUUUUGCUUAAAUAAUAUGAAAGGUAAUUCAAUUUUCUUUCAAAAAAAAGUUUGUGUCGAUCUCAAGCCGCGUUUCAAGCGGAAAAAAUUCUUAAACUCGACUUGACGCAUUUCCAACUCUAGUUACAACCUAUCUUGAAUGUUAAAGAAAGUCAACAUUCUUAUUAAAGGAGGAAUUUAGUUCAGAAGCAUUUGAAGAUCAGAAACAUAUGAAGGAAUGAAGACUAUGAAGGAUAAAGCUUCUGAAUGUGACGUUAGAAGCUGAAAGCUCUAAACCAGUUUGUCGUCUUAUGGAGGAAUGUCUCCAUCAGACUCCAGCAGUACAAUUUGUCUUCUUAUGACCACGUGCAGAAACAAAUAAUAGAAUUCAAAGACAAAGAGAAUGUAAUAGAUCAUUCUAUUAGAAGCAAAAGAAUUUUAAAUGUCUAUUCAACGACAUUAUCCAUUUCAUAAAAAGUUUCAACGUCUUUGAUUAAUUUUUUCAAGAGCUCAUUUGAUGCGCUGAUGCUCUUCAAUAACGGUUAUCAUAAACUCUUGUAUAUAAGGACCUGAGUAGUUGAAGAAAAUAAAAAGGAGGCUUUGAAUUUUACAAGUGUGCUUACUCUGUCAAAAUCAAAUAGUGCACAAAACAUUUAAGUUAGACUGUAAAAGUCUCUUUCUUGUGUAAUUGAGCAAUAAAAGUCUUCUUGUGUGAUUAAGCAAAAGAAGUCUCUUGUUUGUGUGCUCGAUCAAUUUGAGCUUAUAGUGAAAAUUCAUUUGAAGUGCAAGGGGACUUGACUACUCUCAAUUCGUGGGAGGAACCAAUAUAAUUGUUUUGUGUCAUCCAUUUCUCCCUUUGUGUGUGUGUGUGUGUGUUUGAUUUUAAUUUGCUGCAUAACUUUGUUCCAGACUCUGAACACGACUCUGUUUUGCUUCGGACUCUAAACCUUUUUACAAACACUUAGAAAAUGUUUUGAAAAAGUCAACACAAUUCAACCCCCUUCUUAUAUUUUUCUCACCUUCAGAGCCAAGUUUCUAGCGGAACAAAUUCUUAAACUUGACUUGACUCAUUUCCAUCUCUAGUUGCAACAUAUUUUGAAUGUUAAAGAUGGUGAGGCUUCAGACUUAUUAGCAAUUAUCGUGUUGAUACAACAAUUAGAGUUCAAUCAAGUUAUGAACCCUUUUAACUUGUAAGCACUGAUACAACCGAGGAAGUUUCUAUUUUAAGUAGAUUUCUUUUAUCAUCGUUCUAUAACAACUUUAUGUCGAGUUUUAUAGGAGAUACACUAAUAUGUAGGGGGUGUUCGUGGUGCGGUUUGGUUCAGUUUUGAUGUUAAAAGUCAUCUGAACCGCAAGAUAAAAAAGCAUGCGGUUUGAUUAGAUUCGGUUGACUUUUAAAAUAAAAUCCAAACCAAACCAAACCAAUGUGGUUUGGGUCGGAUCGGUUGGUGCGGUUUUUUCCGAGAUAAUACAAUUUUUUGUUUCCAACAUUAAAAUCGAGUUAAAAAGCUAUAACACAACAUAUUUCCAACAAUGUUCUUGACAAUAUUUUAAAUUUCAUCCAACAUUGCAAUUUUAUUUUCAACAAACAAUAUAAACGAAAUUAAAAACAUUAACAAAUAGUAAUUCUAUUAUAUAAGAAAUGUAAAACACUAUGAUUUUGUAUUUGUAUAAAAUUUCAAGUAGAACAUAAAUAUAUUUUUGAAAUAAAAAACAAAGAAGAAACUUAACAAGAGAGAAAAUAUAUCAAUUUUAAAAAGUUUUCUAUGAAUAUUGAUUUGGUUGGUAAAAUAAAAACCGCAAACCGAACCAAAUCAUACGGUUGUGUAAAAAUAUGAUAUAAAUACAUUCAAAUUAAAUACGGGUUUAAUUUGAUUUAGUUCAAUUUACGAAUUUUUUAUUGGAUUGAUUUAGUUUUGAAGACCCAUGCUGAGAUGACUUGCUAAAAACCUUGAAAAGGUGAGCACUUAACUCAAGAAGUCAACUUGCAAAAAAUAAAAACAAAAGAAAUUGGAUAUUUCUCAUUAAUUAAUUAAUUAUUUAAAUUGAUUAACAUACUUACAAUAAAUGAAAAGAAGAAUAAAAAGGUUUAUUGGGCCAUAUAUGUUGAAGCAACAAAUCCAUACCCAUUUUGUCCUUUGGCCCAUGCAGGAGUAAUAGUGUUCAGCGUUGCGGCAACCCUAACAAUAAAAACCUAUCAGACUCUCAUUUUCAUCACAAACAGCCGUCUCAUCUCCUCCAACUGCUCUGUCUGUCGGUGGAGAUCCGCCUUUGGAUUCAUGUAAGUUAUCAUCUUCUCAUUCAUCUUUUCUUCUAUUCUAUAUUCAAUUUAUUUUUGUUUCUUCAUUCUGUAACAAUCUUUUAUUUUUAUCUUUCCAGUUCUCAACAACACUCUUUUUGCGUGUGGAUUAUUUCAAAGACUAGUCACAAUGGUAAGUUAAACUCAAUGCUGUUGUUUUUUGUUUUGUAUGAAUAUGAAUAUUGAUUUGUUUUUGUGUGAUUAUAUCUGCAGGUGAAGUUUACAGCUGAUGAGUUACGUCGGAUUAUGGACUACAAACACAACAUUCGUAAUAUGUCUGUUAUUGCUCAUGUUGAUCAUGGUAUGCUUUGUUUCAUUCAGAAUUUCUUGUUGCAUUCAUGUUUCGCUUAAAUUCAUAUUACUGUCAUGAUCUGUCAAUUUUUUUUUCUUUUUUCAAAUAUUUGGUAGAAAAAUAUAUAAUGUGAGUUUUUUUUUUUUUUUUUUUUCUUUUUAUAAUUUAGCGUAAAUAUGUAAUAUGACUGUUGAUUAUGGUAUUGUUACAUAAACAGAUUGAUUUUGGUGUUUGUUUGUAAAGAAAAUAAUAGUGUCAUAAUUUAUGAAGUUGUUGUAUUUUAUUUUAAUGUUUGGUAAUGAAAAGAUGUUUAUAAUAUUUGGUUGAAAUAUGUUGUUAGUCUCUAUAGAAUCAGACCUGUUCAAUUUCAAGUUUAGUGUCUGUUUGGAUAGGACUUAUUUGAGUCUAUCCACUGACAUAAUAUUUUUGAGAGUUUUUGGGAUAAUUUAUGGAAACAACUUAUGAAAUUGUUCAUAAGCUCAAAUAAGCUGAUCCAAAUAGGCCCUAGUUUAUGAAACCAAUUUACCUUUAUUUUAGUUUUUUGCUAUAUGAAUAAGGCUAGGUUGUUGUUGUUGCUAUAGGAAUAGCUUAUACAUAAGUGAUUGUAAUGAUAGGUGCUUGUGCUAUAAGCUGCAAGUAAGCUUUUUAUCCAAACAGGUUCCUUAAUAAAUUGUAUCCACUGUUAGUCCAUUUCUGUAAACUUUUUAUGAAAAUAGGUGCUUUUAGUUCCUCCAAAUAACCCCUACGAAGAGGAAAAUAAGGACUGAAAGUGGAUGCAAUUUAUUUAGGGACUAUUAGUCUAAAACAUAUUUAUUCAUACCAUUUUUUCAAUUAAGAUUUUUGUUUUCCAAAUGUUAAAGAUGUUGUAUUGUUUACAUACAGUUGUUUAGCUUUUUUAUCUGAGUGAAUUGUAAUAUUUUUGUCAUGUUAUGAACUAUUUUCCUUGUGAGAAUAACAAUUAUUGUUUUGAAAUUGCAGGAAAAUCAACUUUGACAGAUUCCCUUGUUGCUGCCGCUGGAAUUAUAGCACAAGAGGUUGCUGGAGAUGUCAGAAUGACAGAUACCCGUGCUGAUGAAGCUGAACGUGGUAUCACUAUCAAGUCCACUGGUAUCUCUCUAUACUAUGAAAUGAGUGACGAGUCUCUCAAGAGUUUUAAGGGGGAGCGCAAUGGGAAUGAGUAUCUCAUUAAUCUUAUUGAUUCCCCUGGGCACGUCGACUUCUCAUCCGAGGUUACUGCUGCACUUCGAAUUACUGAUGGAGCACUAGUGGUGGUGGAUUGUGUCGAGGGGGUUUGUGUGCAGACUGAAACUGUGCUGCGACAGGCUCUUGGAGAAAGGAUCAGGCCGGUUCUGACAGUUAACAAGAUGGACAGAUGCUUCCUUGAGCUCCAGGUUGAUGGAGAGGAGGCUUAUCAGACCUUCUCAAGAGUUAUUGAGAAUGCUAAUGUGAUCAUGGCUACAUAUGAAGAUCCAUUGCUCGGUGAUGUUCAAGUGUAUCCCGAGAAAGGAACAGUUGCUUUCUCUGCUGGUUUGCACGGUUGGGCUUUUACUCUGACCAACUUUGCAAAGAUGUAUGCCUCUAAAUUUGGUGUUGACGAGACAAAGAUGAUGGAGAGGCUUUGGGGUGAAAAUUUCUUUGAUCCUGCCACUAAGAAAUGGACCACCAAGAACACUGGUUCAGCUACUUGCAAGCGUGGGUUUGUUCAGUUCUGUUAUGAGCCUAUCAAGCAGGUCAUUAACACUUGUAUGAAUGAUCAGAAGGAUAAGUUGUGGCCGAUGUUGACAAAGCUAGGGAUCACCAUGAAAUCAGAGGAGAAGGACUUGAUGGGUAAGCCUUUGAUGAAACGUGUCAUGCAGACAUGGCUCCCAGCAAGCACUGCACUUCUUGAAAUGAUGAUCUUUCAUCUCCCCUCUCCAUCAACAGCUCAGAGGUAUCGUGUUGAGAAUUUGUAUGAGGGUCCCCUUGAUGAUCAAUAUGCUACUGCUAUCAGAAACUGUGACCCUGAAGGACCUCUCAUGCUUUAUGUGUCAAAGAUGAUUCCCGCUUCUGAUAAAGGAAGGUUUUUUGCUUUUGGUCGUGUAUUUUCUGGUAAAGUUUCAACUGGUUUGAAGGUCAGAAUUAUGGGACCAAAUUUUGUCCCUGGGGAGAAGAAAGAUUUGUAUGUGAAAAGUGUUCAGCGAACUGUUAUUUGGAUGGGAAAGAGACAAGAAACUGUUGAGGACGUGCCUUGUGGUAACACAGUCGCUAUGGUUGGUUUGGAUCAAUUUAUCACCAAGAAUGCUACAUUGACGAAUGAGAAGGAAGUUGAUGCACACCCUAUUCGUGCGAUGAAGUUUUCCGUCUCACCUGUUGUGCGUGUUGCUGUACAGUGCAAGGUUGCUUCAGAUCUUCCUAAGCUUGUUGAAGGUCUCAAACGUCUUGCUAAGUCGGAUCCUAUGGUUGUUUGUACUAUUGAGGAGUCUGGUGAACACAUUGUUGCUGGUGCAGGAGAACUUCAUCUUGAGAUCUGUUUGAAGGAUUUGCAGGAUGAUUUCAUGGGUGGAGCUGAGAUUAUCAAAUCCGACCCUGUUGUCUCCUUCAGAGAGACUGUUCUAGAGAGAUCAUGCCGCACUGUGAUGAGCAAAUCACCCAACAAGCACAACAGAUUGUACAUGGAAGCUAGACCGUUGGAGGAUGGGCUUGCUGAGGCCAUUGAUGAUGGCAAGAUUGGACCAAGGGAUGACCCUAAGAAUCGUUCCAAAAUCUUGUCAGAAGAGUAUGGUUGGGAUAAGGAUCUUGCCAAGAAAAUCUGGUGUUUUGGACCUGAGACCACUGGACCCAACAUGGUGGUUGAUAUGUGUAAGGGAGUCCAAUACUUGAAUGAAAUCAAGGAUUCUGUUGUUGCUGGAUUCCAGUGGGCAUCAAAAGAAGGUGCUUUGUCUGAAGAAAACAUGAGAGCCAUUUGCUUUGAAGUAUGCGAUGUUGUCCUCCACACCGAUGCUAUCCACAGAGGAGGUGGUCAGAUCAUUCCUACUGCUAGGAGAGUCUUCUAUGCCUCACAGCUGACAGCCAAACCCAGACUUCUUGAGCCUGUUUACAUGGUGGAAAUCCAAGCUCCUGAGCAAGCUCUUGGUGGUAUCUACAGUGUUCUUAAUCAGAAGCGUGGACAUGUCUUUGAAGAAAUGCAGAGGCCUGGGACUCCACUUUACAACAUCAAAGCAUACCUUCCUGUCAUUGAGUCCUUUGGAUUCUCCAGCCAGUUGAGAGCUGCAACAUCAGGGCAGGCGUUCCCUCAAUGUGUGUUCGAUCACUGGGAUAUGAUGUCAUCAGAUCCAUUGGAGGCUGGAUCACAGGCUGCAACCCUUGUGACCGAU